rnacentral:lncRNA from 1 species
UCAUACUAUAUUAAAUAGGCUGGUAAACAACUGUUUGUUGGAAAAGGCUGGAGAUGGUGUUAAGAUGCAUGAUGUGAUGAGAGAUAUGGCAUUGUAUAUCAAACACCCUUAUUUUAUGGUAAAAGCUGGCAUCGGAUUGAAAGAAUUACCAGGCAAGCAAGAAUGGAAAGAUGUUGAAAGGGUUUCAUUCAUGAUGAAUAUGGUAUCAGAAAUUCCUCCAAGCUUGUCACCCAAUUGUGAAAAACUUUCAACCUUGUUAUUACAAAACAAUGAGUCCUUGGAAAGGAUUUCAGAAUCAUUCUUUCAGCACAUGCAUAGUCUCAGCAUUCUUGACCUUUCUUAUACCAGUAUCGAGCAAUUGCCCAAUUCCGUAUCAAACUUGGAAACGCUCAAUGCAUUGGUGCUUCGUGGAUGCAAGGAGUUGAGAUAUGUGCCUUCACUAGAAAAGCUUAAGGCUCUACGAAAGCUAGACCUUCGGGGUACAGGUAUUGAAAAGGUGCCUAAAGGUUUGGAAAUGUUGGCGAAUCUAACAUAUCUCAACUUAUGUACUGAAAGCUUAAAGGAGCUGCCAAUAGCAAUUCUACCUAGGCUUUCUUGUCUGCAAUGUUUGAUAUUAUACGUUAAAUUACCUAGCGUAAAAAUGAAUGGAUUGGAAGUUGCCAGAUUAAGGAAGCUAGAGGUAUUUGAAGGGAGAUUUAAUGAGUUGAUAGACUUUAAUGCCUACAUCAAGUCUAUACAAGGUCGAGAGCUUACUUCUUACUUGCUUGUCAUGGCAUCGCCUAAAGCCAAGUUUGACGCCAGACCACUUGUAGAAGGGUUAAACAAUGCUUUCUUUUUCAACUUCGACUUGCUUGGGGAUUGCGACGUCAGGAAUGUGUUCAAAAUCGUGGCAGGACACCAAGGUACGAAUGCAAUCAAAUCUAUAAAAUUUUAGUAGAGUAGGGCCCAUUUGGAAGGCCGAUUAAUGUCAGUGCGGGUAAGUUGGUAGUCCCAACUGUGCUGAAGCCCCAUUUGUGCUCAUCCUGUGGCGCGGUGGAGACUACUGUAUCUCCACCCUGCCCUUAUAGCUCCAGUGGCACUACAGCAAUCCCCUUCCCAUUAUACCUUCUAAUGCUUUAUUUCUUUAUUUUUUGGGGCUUAAUGCUAAGUUUGGCCAUGCUUAUUUUUGAAUUUUGAUAUUUGAAUUCUUUUUUAUAGUUUCGUAUUUUUUUUGCCAACAUUAAAAAACACAUCCACCAAAUGGCAUUAACUAAAAUAUGUCACAGGACACAUUCAACCAAUCAACAUGUGACAAUUAAAUUUACUUAAAAUAAAAAUAUUAAAUUUAAAUAAAAAAUAUUUUCAACUUUGAUUUACUGUUGACUAGCUGUUGACCGACAUUGACCACCAUUGAUUGGCCCUGAUUAAUGUUAGAUUGCCGCUGACCAACGUUGGCCAUUGUUGAUUGCCAUCAACUAUUCAUGGGGCACUUAGAACGUGCAAUGUAUCUUUUUUUUUUUUUUUUUAAUAUUAUACAUAUUAUAUUGAUUAAAAUUAUAAAAAAAUUAUACAUAAUAUAAAUAAUUCAAAAAAAUUUAAAAAAUUUAAAAAAUUUAAAAAAUUUAUAAAAUAUAUAAAUAUAAAUUUCAAAAAGUCAAAUAUGAAAAUUAAAUUUUUUUAUAAAAAUUAAAAAAGGUAUUUAAAUUCUAAAAAGUUGCAAAAAGAAAAGUUAAAAUUUCAAAAAUAUAUAUUCUAUAAAAAAUUAAAUUAAUUUAAAGUUUUUGAAAAAUAAAAUUUAUGAGAAAUUUUUUAGAAUAUAUAUUUGAUAAUUUAAGGAUUUUUUUGCAAUUUUUUUAAAAUUUAAAUGCUUUUUAAAUUCUUAUAAAAUUUUCAAUUUUAUAUAUUAUUUUGAUAUUUUAAUAUUUAUAUUUAUAUUUAUAUUUAUAUAUUUUAGAAUUUUAUAAAAAAUUUAAUAUUUUAUAAAUUUAAUUAUCAUGUAACAUAUUGUGAUUGGUUGGAUAUAUCAUAUAUGACAUGUAAUUUUUUAAUUGAUGUCAUGUGAGUGUGUGACUAUGGCAUUCUUUAACACAGUUACAAAAAAAAAACUAAGCUAGAUAACAGAAUUAUAGUUGAAGUAAUAAUCCGAGAAAAUAAAAAUUCAAAAAGGAAAACAUAUGUAAUUGAGGAUUAAGUCUUCUUUUGGAUAAACCUUUAUCUCUCUUCCCACAUUUUGUUGUUUUUCUUCUGUUUCUAGAGGUUUCUAGUUUUUUCUUUUUUGGGUAGGGAACGAUGACAUAAAUGGUAAAACUCACUUUUUAAAGCCUUCAAUAUUUUGGAAAUUACAUGAUAAUAUAAAUGCAAAUUUACACUUUUAAAAUUCCUAAAAAUUUGUAAUUCAUUUUUAAUCUCCUAAUCUAAUUUUGCUCCAGUUAGCAGUUUUUAGGUAAUAAUAUAUAAAUUUAUAAAAUUAGGUAAUAAAUAAUAAAAGUUUUGAGUAAAUACUUUGCACAUCUAAUUAAUUACAUAAAAUAACUAUAUAUAAUUAAUGGGAAUAACUUAAAUUAAGAUCUUAGUAAAAUAUUUAAUUUUUAUGUAUUAAUAAAAUGGAUAAUAUAUAAGUUUGUGCUGGUUUUAGGCAUUAAAAAGUGGUACAAUGGCAAGAGAAACACUAAUGAUUAAUCAGAUCGUUACCUGUGCGAAGUAAUAAUUAUUAUGUAAGAAAUUGAGUUUCAUCAUCUGAGCAUGCCAUUUAACGGUUUGUCAUUAAUGGUUGGUGAAGGUGUGAAAACUGUCUCCUUAACUUGGGGGGAGAAAAAGCUGGAAGUGGUUUGUGAGAAGGAAAGGGAUCCUGCCACAUUUGUAGAGAGCUUGAAGAAAAGGGGGUAUAAAGUGCAGCUCGUGGAUGUGCAGGAGCAGGAGCCUCCAUUUCUUCCACGCAAGAGAGUCGUGAUAUUAAGCGGGUGUCCAAUAGGAAGAGAAGAUCCGGUAGAGCUCCCAAGUGAUGUUAGGUGUCUUAGAAUUUUUGAGUGCCCCGACAUCAGAAGCUUAAGUGAUAUGCCCUUCUUCCAACAAACAAAUAAGUUGGGGUUCUGUUCGAUUCACCAUUGUAGAGGGAUAGAAUCCGUGCUUGACCUGUCCUCCACAUCUCAACCAUGCAACUCAUUUCAGAACCUUGAGCUAUUGUGGCUUGAAAAUUUGGAUAACCUUCAUAUGCUUGUUAAAGUAGCAGAAGAGGCAUCUGUUGUUUCUAAAUCGAGUUCACUGCCAAUGCCAGGCAUCUUUUCCCAUCUUGUAUCAUUUGUGAUUAAAGGAUGCCCGAACAUGAAGCAGCUCUUCCCAUGUAAGCUAGCACAUGACCUCCAAAACCUGAAGAAGCUGGUGGUUUGUCAUUGUGUACAAAUGGAGGAAAUAAUAUCAUCAGAAGAAGAGGAAGAAAGUCGCAAGGGAAAAGGAAUAAACACUCGCACGAGAUUCAGUCUUCCCAAAUUACAAGAGUUAGUUUUGGCCUACUUACCAGAGUUGAAGAGCAUAUGCAGUUCAAAUAGGGCAGUGAUAUGCGACUCUCUUUGGGAUAUUGAAGUAAGGGAAUGUAUGAAGCUAAAAAGGAUGCCUCUUUAUCUACCUCAUUUCCGAGACACACACCAAUCAGUUCCUUCCGAAGAUAUCUGCAUAUCUCCAAGGGAAUGGUGGGAAUCAGUAGAGUGGGACUAUCCCAAGGCUAAGGAGGUUCUGCGACCUUGGUUAUAUUUUGUUUGAGAACUGAUGAAGCCUUUGAUUUUAAUCUGGUUGGAAUGUUGAUGUUGCAAUUCAAGUUUUCAUCUUGAUUUUAGUUUGCAUCAUUUCGUUGUUUGGUUGUAUUUUUCUCAUCUUACAAAUUGGAGAUAAUCUAAGUUGUUUGCUUAUCUCUUCUUUUAAAAUUGCCCCUUAGUGAGACUCGAGUCAAUUAUAAAAGAUAGAAAAUAGGAGAAAGGAUUGGUUGUGUAUUCCAUAUUAUAACCAACUUGCAGGUAGAGGCAGGAUCAACGAAAUAAUCAGUACUGAACCCAAGUUGCCUUUGGGAUGAUGCUUUGACGAUCAACAAUAACAUCAGGAAUGUGAGAUAUCUUCAACCACUCUGCUCCAUCAUUCAUUAUGAACUGGGCUAGUAGUGUUACAUGACACCUCCAAAUAUAUAAUUUCCAAACCGAAACAAUCACUUCUUUUUCUGGAAGAGAUUCAAGUUCAGGGCAAUCGAGUACCCACAAUUCUCGAAGAGAGUCCACAUUUCGAAACCCAGUUGUGGAUAAGCUUCUCAGGUUUCCAAAUCCGCUUAUGGUGAUGGUAGUUAGAGUGGGAGGUAGCACGCAUCCCUCUGGUGGAAAUGUCACCACAUGUGGACAUUCUUCACCGUCAAUUGAGAGUUUUUUAAGAGAGGUAAGUCUAUGCAGUCCCCAUUGAAGCAGUGUGCGACAAAGUUUAGGCCCUGUGACUGACAGUGAUGUUAAAGUUGUAGGAAGACCCUCUUUUGGAAAUGGCAAGUCAGGUGAGCAAUAUGACAGUGACAGUUCCUUCAGAGCAGUGAGGUUCUGCAUGUUGGGAAGGUCUCCUAAACUUUGACAGUCCAUAAUACAAAGCGACUUGAGUUUUCGGGCCGGCAAGCCACUUGCUGUCAAAGAAACCAGACUUUGACACUGCAAAAUAUUAAUCUUCUCAACAUGGUCCAGCUUCUUCAAUCCUUGAGGUAAAGCUUUAAUGUUUCUGCAAAGCCAGAUUUCAAGAAGUUCAAGAGAAGAUGUUUCAUGGAUUGUGUGCACAAUGGAUUCCAAUACAAGGCAGUCCUUUAUCACUAGUUGUUUAAGCCCCACAGGUAACUCACCACUUGAUGAUAAGGAGGCAAGCUUUGAGCAAUAUGAAACUAUGAGAACUUGAAGCCUAUUGGGCAAUGAUAAAGAUACUAGAGAUGGACAAUCCAUAAUUUCCAAGUGCUCAAGAAGAAAUGUGUUAUCGAUGCUGGUAUUUUCUCCUUGAUCCACCAAACACCGCAAAUUCGCACAACUUUGAAUCACUAACCUCUUUAAAGCUGGGGGAAAGUUAUUCUUCGAAAAAGAAACUAUGCAUGGACACCCUUUGAUUUGCAUCUCAGUUAGAAAUGUGAGGAAAUGCAAGUCUUGUGGUAGCCUCUGAAGCUUUUCACAGUUCCCUAUUGUCAAAGUUUCAAUAGUGCAGACCUUCUCAAGUUGCAACUGCUGUACUUCAACCUCAAGUAGUGGAAAACUUGAUAUUUCCAGACUACGGAGAGACCACAAAUGCCGGACCAAAUUGAACUGCUUCCAUGACAAGGACGCCAACUCAUUACAAUUACUAAUCCUCAGAUGAUCCAGGUUGGUUAGGCCUGACACUAGCCUCUCAGUUAGGGGAGAAAACUUUGAAACAUUUGAAAGAGAGACUUUUCUCAAUGGUGGCAUGUCUGCGUCAUCUCGAAGCACCAACUCUGCACACCCAUCUAUUUCUAAGUCAUGCAGCUGAGGGAGGUUCGAAACUGAAACAACCAAUUGUGUACAUUGACGAAUUACAAGUGUCUCUAAGGAAUGAAGAGAGCUUGGAAACCUUCCUGACAAUUGAGGACAGUUUACAAUACAAAACUCGCGUAGGCAGGGAAAUUUCACAGCAUGCUCAUUGAUGUCCCAUUCCUUCCAAUUUGACAUAUCCUUAAAGCAUAACGUCUCCAAUGACAUGAAUGAAUUCAAGUGGUUCUCUCCGUAGAACUCGAUGCCGAGUUUAGUCACCGUAUGCAUUCCCCUUAUACAAAGAUCCUUCAGUAGUGGCAGGUUUCCGAUUGACGGCAAGAAUUUGCAGUUUCUGCAGUUGUUGAGAUCCAAAGACCACAAGUUCUUAAACGAAGAAUCUGCAAUCCAAUUCGGAAACUUCGUACCCCCAUAGCUCUCUAUGACGAGCACUUUAAGAUCCCGGUGAGGUUCAAGCAUGUUCAACACCUCUUCUUCAACUACUUUAUCUCUUAUGCUACUGCCAGAAAUACUGCUCCACAUUAGCCUUAAUGCAUCAAGGCCUGGCUUGUCAAUUAACUUAGCUUCCAAUGCAUCUUGAGCUUCGACAACGUUCUCCAACCCCGAAAGGGAAAGAUCACCCUUAAGAUGUAAAUUCUUCAACUCUCGUAUUCGAUAUCCAUCACCUGCUCCCAAAAUAAAAUCUGACAGCCUUCGUAGAUCGGCCAAUUUACCUAUACCAUAGGGCAUUGCUUUCAUCUUUACACCACUGAUAUCAAUAUGAUUCAAGUUUACUAGGCGUUCUAUGUCUGAGGGUAACCACUCUAACAAACUCUUCUUUAAUAUCAAGGUUUCUAAAUUGUAAAGGGUGCAUAUUGAAGCAGGCAAACUUUUGAUUAAAGUGUGUGAGAAAUUUAGGUAGCGUAACUGUACCAAAUUUUCAAAUAUGUCCGGCAACACGGUGAUGCCGUACCCUUUUAAAGAAAGCACCCUUAAGCAUCGAAGUUUCGGCAACAAAUCAACGAGCACAGUGUUGGUUAUAUAACAAGUCCCAUCUCUUGGCAUCAUAUAUGGUAGAAACGCUCGCAAGCGUUUCAUGUGAUCAAACACUGCAAACUUCUCCACUCCGUCGUAGGAGCCACAAACAUAAGAUGAAUGUCGAGUGCCCUUUGGAAUUUUCGGUUGUUUAUCAUCCUCCAAUUUCAAGCAUAUUUCUCCUGAGACCAAUUGAGCUAGAUCAUUGAUUAGAUCAUGCAUUACAUACUGGUAUUUAUCCCGAACAGAUGUCUGGAAAAACGAUCUUGACACUAGAUCUUGAAAGUAUCUGCUACCAAGAUCUUCAAUGUGAGCUUUCGAGUCCGCUUGUUGUAGAAAGCCUUCUGCUUUCCAUAACAAGAUGAUCUCCUCCUUCUCAAACUCGUAACCUUUAGGCAGUAAAGAGCAAUAUGCAAAGCAACGCUUCAAAUACGGUGGAAGAUGAUGAUAACUCAAUAGCAAAGCCGGAAUAACUCCACAUUGCUCUUGCUGUAAAUCCCAUAUCUCACUCUCUGAUACAUAUUUCCAUACACCAUACUCCACAUGAGUGCCAAGCAAGCAACCAAUAAUUUUAGCUGCCAAAGGUAAGCCAUUGCACUUUUUCACUAUGUUUUCCCCAAAUGCUUCCAACUCUUGAUGCUCACUAAAAUCACUUGCUUUCAAUGCAUGAUGAGUAAACACAGAGAGACAAUCUUUAUGUGAUAACUUCUGCAACAAGUAAGCUUGAGCACUACUAACAACUGAAGAAACAACACUGCAACUCCUUGUUGUCAAAAUAACUUUUGUCCCAACAGUAAAAGGCUUUAACAAGAGGGCCAAAUCAUUGUAAUUCUCGUGCCCAACAUUGUCCAGCACAAGCAAAAUGCGUCUGCCGAACAACUUAUCCUUCAACAAGGCCUGAAGAUUAUCCAAAGAAGGAACUAUACAACGCACAUCGGAGAUGGACUGCAAAAUUGUCUUUGUCACCAGGGUGACAUCGAAAUCUUUUGAAACACGUAUCCAGAACCUGCGAUGGAAGGCCUUCUUUACAUCAUCACUGCAAUAAAGGAAUCGAACGAGAGCUGUCUUGCCGAUCCCACCAUCCCCAAAGAUGUGAAUCAAAGAAGCUCUAUUCCCAUUCCCAUUAUUGCACAAAAGCAAUUCAAGUAUUUCAGCCAUCUCCUUAUCCCUACCAUAAACAUGAGAUUCAUGCACUAAAGACAUAAAUUGCAGGCUUACUUUAACUCUUUUAGACAUUGCAGUUUCAUCAAUCUGUCUCAAACCCAAUCUGUUUUUUUCUCUUGCCAAACCAUUUAGUUCAUCAGUGAUCUCUUCUAAUUUGGAAAGCAUCUUCUUAUUAAACGUGAAAGCUCUUGAAUUAAUGAAACUAGUAAACCAAGAAGCAGUGGGUUUUUGUGCCUUACUUGUGCUGGCUUCACCUUCAUGCAGCUUUCGCUGUAAAGCCUCGACUGCAAAUUCAUUCAAAACGUCACCCACAUCGUAAGCCAAGUUUUGGAGGUGAGUCAACCAGAUCUUCACAUUAGGGUCUUUCAUUUGCUUCUCCUCUGCAUCAUUGAGCACUGCUUGAAUACUUGGCAAUAUCUUUUGCCACUGUUUGAGUUGCUGGUUGACCUGCUUUUGAGUGACGAAGUUGAGGAUCUGAUCAUAAGAAGCCAGCUUAGCGAAAAACUCCAGAAAGGCUGAAAGUGCCGUUUCUCCACCAGCAAUGGACAUGGUUGUGAAAGAAACUCAAAAAUGGAGGAUUGAAUUAGAGAAAAAGAGAGUGGUAAAAUGAUUUGUAAAAGCUUAAUGUUGAAAGUCUUUUCUUUUUUAAUCUAACUUAGUUAUGAAGUAUUGAAUUGGAACGUUGAAACUGUCAAUGAUCCCCAUGUGAUUGUUGGAGGUCAACGUACAUGCUUGGAUGAAUUUACUAAUAUAUUUUCUUGAGUAAAAAAAUAAUCAUUGAAGAUAUAUCAUAUCUUUUAUUAAUCUUUUCAAUGAAAAUUUAGCUGUGUGAAAGACGAAAAGACAACGAGCAUGGGGAAGAGUUGAAGUUUUCAGUAUAUUCUAGUUUACAUCAUAUUAAUUAAUCCAAAUAAUUUUUAUAAUAUUAUUCAUUGAAUCCUUCAAUAGUGAUCGACUCAAGUCAAGUUAUUUAAAGAGAUAGCUUUAAGUCCUUGAAUAUUUAGAUUCAAGUCCAACAAUGUACAAUUAAAAUGAACGAGUCUUCGAUCUUAUCAUCUGCUGCUAAUAUUAUUUAUAUUUGUAAAAUAUUUUUUUUCAAAAAUAAUUUAAGCAUAAUAGAAAAAUUAAAAUCAAAAUUUCUACUCUCUCUAUUAAUAUAACCAAACCAUUGUUUCGCCAUGGUGGUGGGAAGCUUAAAAGAUUCCCGCACUGACGUGCAAUCAUUGAACCAAAUGUCAACUAAAGCAGACCUCCUCUUUUAUCUUCAACAUUGGUUGAUACUUCUCUCAUCUUUAGCCAACAAUUGAAGAAUUUAUGUUGUAGAAAAAGGGAAAGGCAACAUCGUCUUCCACGGUAGCUAAUUUUGAAAAACUUUAUAAUUAUCUGAUUUGAAUCGCUUUUUUGUUCUCUAGACUUUGAAUAUUACUGGCAGCAAAUUGGUAAAAUCAGACACUCUGCAACUUUUGUCAGGUAAGCUUAUCUGUUGGAACAUUGGCAUUAAAACAAAAGCAAUGAAAUCGAAGCAAAAGAAAAGAAUGAACAGCAGCCAAAGAUUGUAACUGAAGAACCACACUAAUUUCAUUCAAAAAUUGAAAAUAUAUGAGUUACAAAGUUAAUUUGACAGUUACCUAAUAGCUUAACUGCCCCCACUAAUACAUGACUAAUUGAUAACUUAAAUUACACACAAAAUGGGCUGACAUAUCAGCCAUUACAUCAAAGACUAAUCCUACCAGCUUUGCUGAACAUGUUACAAGUAAACUAACAAAGUUACAUGUGAACAGAACAAACAAAACAUCCUGUUGCAUUCGGUUCAGCUCCCAUGCUGCACUUCAAGCAGUGUUGCUGCUGCUUCUGAGUUGAGUUGCUGCUGGUUGCUUGUUGCACUGCAGGCCAAAGUUCAACAUUAUCUUUCAUUUUAAAGGCUAUUUGAGAAUAAUCUGAGUUCAACACUUGUUUCAGCUAUGGGUUUUGAGGGAAUUUCAAAUCUCACUUCACCUCUUUUGAGUUUCCUAUCACAAUAAUCUUAGCUGUUAUAGCUUUUGUUUCACCUAUUUUGUUGCAGCUAUGGUAUUUCACUUGAUUUCAUAACAAUCUUAUCAAAAUUUUUAAGGCAGUAUCAAGAUUUCCAGAAUCAAAAUUUUCAUAUUUCUAAUAGAUAUAAAAUUUCUUAAAAGCAUUAGAUAUUUUAAAAUACUGAAAUUUAUAACAUAUUAAAAUUUUUAAUGGAGAUUAUUAUAUUUAUAUAAGACGAUAUUAAUGUUGGGAUUAAUACACCCGGUUCUUGUUGGUGCCUGUUUUCCCUAAUUUUAUCUUCAGAAUUUUCUUUUUCCUGCUUGUGUGUGUUCCAAUAACAUUUACCAAAUUUUCUAACAAUAUACUAAUAUUUUUAAUUGCUAUAAAAAUUUCUAACCAUAUUCCAAGAUUUCUAAUGGACUACCAAUAUUUUUAAUUGAUAUCAAAAUUUCUAAGAGUACCUUUUAGUAUACCCAAAAAUCUAACCAAAUACUGAAAUAUAUAAAAUGAUACUAAUAUUGUCGAUUGAGUCUUAGCUUGAUUGGUAUGGAUAUUAUUACCAAUACGGGAGGAUGUGGAUUUGAGUGUGCUGAAGUGCAUUAUCAUUCUAUUUAUGGGUUGAGGAGAAGCUAUAGAUAAUUUACAUCAAUUUUUUUAUGAGUGUUUUCCCAAAUUAAUCUGUAUACCUUCAAAUAUUUUGGUACACCUUUAGAAAUUAAGUUAUCCCUUCAAAACUAUUGGUAUUACUUAAAAAAUUUGGUACACCUUAAAGAAAUUUUGGUACCCUUCAAAGAUUUCAGAUAUUUUAGUUUCCUUUCAGAUUUUUGUAUCCCUCGAAAAAUAUUGAUAUCCUUUAGAAAUCCUGGUAUAGGAUAUAUGAACCAAAAUUUGAUCCAUACUAACAAAUUUUGGUGUUAUAAUUCCAUAAUUUCAUUGAAAAUAAAUUGUGAUAUAAGAAGAUUUCCUAAUAUGUAAAAAAAAAAUUGUAACACAAAAAUAAUAAUUUUUGGUGCAUCAAAAAAUUUUAAUAGGUAAAAGAAUAAAUUUUGGUUUAUUGGUAAACAAAAAUUUUUAAUCAUAUACCAAAAUUUUAUCGUGAACCAAUAUUUUUAAAGUAAUACUAAAAUUUUAAUAUUAGAAAUAUCAAAAAAAUUUUAAGGAUACCAAACUUUCUAUUAUAAUAUUAAUUUCUAAGGCAAUACCAAUAUUUCUAACACGGUAUCAAUAUUUUAAAGGGAUACCAAACUUCUAAUAUGAUACCAAUAUUUUAAACAUAUACCAAUAUUUCAAAAGAAUACCCAAAUUUUUAAUGUAGUACCUAACGAAGCACUAAAAUAUUUGAGCAAGUAAUUGGAUAACCGACAAAUUUUACUUUAUAUGAAAACUUAUGGUAAACACUCUCUAGGAAGCAUGCGCGGGAAUCUUUGGAGUAAAAUAUUAUAUGUAAACAAGAAAGUUACUUGUAGGUAGUGUCUUUUAAAUAUAAAAAAAUAUAAUUAUUUAUAAUUUUGUAUUAUUAAUACAACUUUAAAGUUUUUUAGACAUCUCGUUACAUGUAGUACGUGUUAUUUUGAUUUAGUUACAUAAUGAAGACCCGUUAUGCUAAUGGGAUUGUUUUAAUUAGAUUUAGUGCGAUAUUUUAUUCAUGUUUCGUUUUUUAUAUUAGUAGUGAAUCUUAACUAUAUAUCUAACCUUUUCUAAAGUCAAUUCUUAUUGAGAACCGUUAAUUAUGAUGAGAUUAAAAAAAGUGUGUUAUACAUGUGUGUAUGGCAUAUAUGUAUGCACAAAAAAAUAAGUGCAACUAAUGCAUGUACUUAUUGUUAUUGCAUUGCAGAGUAUUUGCUCAGUUAUGGAACUUGUGGGACCAAUUUUUGAUGUGCUAAAUUGCCUAAGAGAUCCAACAUGUACAUACAUAGAUCAACAUAGAAAUCUUGAGGAAAGGAUGAAUGAUCUUCAAGCAAGAGUAGACCAACUAAAUGCUACCAAGAGAGAUGUGGAAUUGAGAAUAAAAGAACUUCGAUGUGGAAGACUUUUAAGGGAAGAAGUAGAGAAGUGGACAUUAAUGAAAGAAUGCAAAAUGUGUCUUGUUUUUCACGUGCAAGCCUUGGAAAACGAGUUUCCCAAACAGUUGAAGAAGUGGAUAAUAUUAUUGAACAAGGCAAGUUCACUGAAGCUCUAGUAAUUAAUGAUCCAUCUACUAUUGGAGUGGCUUUUCAAUUAAUGGAACAUUUAGAAGGUGAAACCAUGGUGAAAUCAGACAUUUGGAACUAUUUGAUGAGUGAUGAAAUUGGAAUGAUUGGAGUUUGUGGAAUGGGCGGCAUCGGGAAAACCACUAUCAUGAAGCAUAUAUACAAUCAACUAUCGAAGGAGAUUAAACCCUUGUUUGAUGUGAUCAUUUGGGUCACUGUUUCCAAGGAACUCAACAUCACCAAACUGCAACAAGACAUAGCAAAUGGUAUGAAUAUUGGAGCUCUUCCAGAAGUUGAACCAAAGCGUGUAUCAGUGUUAAUGGAGGAAUUGAGACGAAGAAAAUAUGUAUUGAUCUUAGACGAUGUUUGGGAAAAGUUCUCUCUGGCGGAAGUAGGGAUCCCUAAACCGACAUCCAGCAAUGGGAGUAAGUUGGUAUUAACUAGUAGAUCGAUUGAUGUUUGUAGAUCUAUGGACUGUAAGAUAGUCAAAGUGCAUCCACUUUCUAAUGAGGAGUCCAUGAAUUUAUUCUUGGUUCAUACUGGGCAUGGGGUUCUAAAGGUUCCAUCUUUGGAACAAAUUUUGGGCGAUAUUGUUCGAGUGUAAUGGGUUACCCCUUGCCAUAGCCGUAAUAGCCGGGAGCAUGAAGGGAAUAUAUGAUAUUGCUGAAUGGAGGAAUGCAGUAAGGGAGUUACGUGACCAUGUAAGAAGUGUGAAGGGUACAAAUGAUGAAAUAUAUAGGCGAUUAAAGUUUAGUUUUGAUCGUUUGGGAGAUUUCAAUAUCCAAAAUUGUUUCCUUUAUUGCUCAUUAUAACCAGAAGACUAUAUAAUUCCAAGGAUGGAAUUAAUAGAAUACUGGAUAGAUGAGGGAUUUCUUGAAAUCGGGAGUCGACAACAAUCAUAUGAUAGGGGUGAUACUAUAUUAAAUAGGUUGGUAAACAAUUGUUUGUUGGAAAAAAACUAUAGGAGGUGUGAAGAUGCAUGAUGUAAUGAGAGACACAGCAUUGUAUAUCAAACGUUUGGGCCCUCGUUUUAUGGUAAAAGCUGGCGUCGGAUUGAAAGAAUUACCAAGUACGCAAGAGUGGAAAGAAGAUUUUGAAAGGGUUUCAUUCAUGAUGAAUAAGGUAUCAGACAUUCCUCCAAGCUUGUCACCCAAUUGUGAAAAUCUUUUGAUAUUAUUACUGCAAAACAAUAAGUCCUUGGGAAGGAUUUCAGAAUCAUUCUUUCAGAACAUGCAUAGUCUCAGCAUUCUUGACCUUUCUUAUACCAAUAUCCAACAAUUACCAAAUUCAGUGUCAAAUUUGGAAAAGCUAAAUGCAUUGGUGCUUCGUGGAUGUGAAAUGUUGAGAUAUUUGCCUUCAUUAGAAAAGCUUAAGGCUUUGAGAAAGCUGGACCUCCAUGAUACAAGUAUUGAAAAGGUGCCUGAAGGUUUGGAAAUGUUAGUAAAUCUAACAUAUCUUGAUUUAGCUACCAAAAGCUUAAAGGAGUUGCCAAUCGCAAUUCUUCCUCAACUUUCCUGUCUGCAAUGUUUGAUUUUGUAUGUUGAAUCGUAUACUGUAAAAAUGGAUGGAUUGGAAGCAGCAGGUUUAAGGAAACUAGAGAUAUUUGAAGGGCGGUUCAGUGAGUUGCUAAACUUUAAUACAUAUUGCAAAUCUAUAAAAGGUCAAAGACUCGCUUCUUACUUGCUUGUUGUGGCCCCAGCCGAAGCUAAGUUUGAUGUCAACGAGAGACGCCAACUAUUAGAGUAUGAUGGUUGUAGGGUCGAAGCCCCAGAAGUAAUGAAAGCGGUUGUGGCAGACAAAGGUACAAUCAAAUCAAAUCCAUAUUACUCAUUUGUGUGUAAUGUUUUGGGUUCGAAUUUGUGGAGGCACACCUAAGAAUAGUAUAAUUCUCUGUUAAUGAUCAAGUAACAUAAUCUUUUAUAUUUAAGAAUGUUAAUUAAAGAAGUGAAACAGCAAUAUUGACAGUAAUGAUUGAUUAGUUAUGUCUCCACUUGUACAUGAUAAUACUUAUAGUUGUCCCAUCAAAAUUUGAGUUUGACUUUUGUGAGCAUGCCGUUUAUUUAUAUACUCAUUUUUAACCGUUGAAGGUGUGGAAUCUGUGUCCUUUGAUCUGGAAAAAGUACUAGUGAAAGGGGUUGGUGUGUGGGAAACUGUCGAAUUUAAGUUGCGACAACAUGGCUAUUAUGGGGUCAUUUAUAAGGCUAAAAGUUCACAGUUUCCAGUUUUUUUACCCAAGAAGGAAGUAAUUUUAAGUGGAUGCCAUAUCCAAAGGGAAGAUCCAGUGGUGCUCCCAACUGAUCUUAGGGUUCUGAGAAUUUCUAAAUGCCACAAUGUGAGAAGCUUAAACGAUAUCUCCUUGCUCUUCCUGCAAACAAAUGAGUUGAGGUUGUGUUCAGUUGAAGAUUGUAAGGGAUGGAAUCUGUGCUGGACUUGUCAUCAUCUUCCUCGCCAUGCAGCUCAUUUGAGAAGCUUGAGUACUUGUGGCUUAAAAGGUUGGAUAACUUGCGUAUGCUUGUUAAAAUAGAAACAUCAGUUUCUAUUCCCAAGUCACUACCUCUGCCAGGCAUAUUUUCCCCUCUUAAAUCAAUUCUGAUUAAAGGAUGCUCAAACAUAAAGCAAUUGUUCCCAUUCGAGUUAGCCCAUAACCUCCAAAACCUGGAGAAACUGGUGGUUUGUGAGUGUUGGCAAAUGGAAGAAAUAAUAGGACCUAAGAAAGAGGAAGAAAGGUCUGAAGGAAAAGGAAAAAAAGCUCGCACGGAAUUCAGUCUUCCCAAACUAAAAAAGUUAGUAUUGAAGAACUUACCAAUGCUGAAGAGCUUAUGCAGUUCAAGUGGGACAAUGAUAUGCAAGUCUCCUAUGGAAAUUCAGGUACUGGAAUGUAGGAAUCUAAAAAGGAUGCCUCUCUAUCCUUCUCUUUUCCAAGACACAGACCAAUCAACUACUUUCUUUAUCGGAGUAAUAUACAUAUAUCCAAAGGAAUGGUGGGAAUCAGUAGAGUGGGACCAUCCCAAUGCUAAGCAGGAUCUGCUACCUUACUUGGUAAUGCUAUAGCGCUACUGGAAGCCUUUGUACUUGAUAAUAAACUUCAAUUUGGAGUUAAUAAAUCAUGUUUGUACUUUGAUCAUCUUGAUUUUAAUUAAUUUGCAUCAUUUCAUUAUUUGAUUGUAAGUGUAUUUUCUCAUCUUGCGAAUUGGAGUUAAUAAUCUAUAACACCCUAAACCUGGCCUAGAUGUUUAGCCCAAGUCCAGAGGGUUACAUCAUCAAUACUCAAAUACCACAUAUAUAUAUAACACAAUAAAACUGAACCAUACGUCACAUAAUGUCCAUCACAAAGAUUAGUUAAGUAAAUAUUCUUCCAAAAUUCAUAUUAUCAUAGUUUCCCGAAAUUUCUAAAGUAGUAUUUGAACAAAAGAUAAAAGCUUGAUCGAGCUCCCGCGGCGUCGACCCGUUCAAGACUGAGAACCACCUGAAAUCCAACCAAUAAUAAAGUGAUUUGUAAACUCAGUGCAUAAAGAAGUCUAUUUAAAUAGACACAUUUAUCAUACAGUGUCUGUAUUCAAAGAUUCGAUCUGGUAACAGAAGCAUUUCUAGUUCAAAUUUGAGGCAGAUUAAUUACAGAUACAAAAACAAUUUCAGUUUCUUAUACAGAACAGAUCAGAGUCAGAUGUAGAUAUUCCUAACCCCCAUCUGCUACACACCAUCUUCGGUCAUCCCAACACACCAAUAAAGGCGUUCAAUGCCUAGCCAACCCUACACACCAUAGAUUGUCUGUUUGACACGUUUAUAGAAACGCAGCUUAGCUGCUAGAUCAUAAUGCAACGAAGCGUUAGAAUCAUAGUUAUACUUAUGGUGUCUUAGCUACUAGUUUAGAACAAAUUACUUCCUUCUUCACAAUAUCCCAGCCCCUGCAGACACAGAGUACAAAUAUCCACUAUGUAUUCAAUUAUUCCAAAUUGUUUCACAAGUAGAUAGCAUAAUUCAAUAUCAGAUUAAGUAUCACAAUGCACAUACAGGUAUGGAAUUCAUGCAUAUGUCACAAAGUAUCAUAGAGUUCUUAUUCAAUUAAAUUCAGACUAUUCAAACUAUGGGGACAGCAAUAUCAGUCUUAAGUAACAUUUACGGCCUCAAAAAUGGCUUUCAGGCCUUUUUUAUACGCCACACGGCCUAGACACAUGCCCACAUGACCAGGGCACACGCCCAUAUCCUUGCCCAUGUGGUUAUAAAACAUAAAUAGAGAGUUAUACGACCUGGACACACAGUCGUGUCCUUGCCCGUGUGAUUCACACGGCCUGGGCACACAUCCAUGUGCUCACCUAUGUGGUCUUAAGUCACAAACAGGGAGUUACGCAGCCUAGACACACAUACGUGUCAUUUUCCCGUGUAAACCCUACACUAAUAUUGCCAUACACGGCCUGAACACACGCCCGUGUGCCUUACCCAUGUGGUUCCAAAUUGAUAACAGUGAGUUACACACCCACCGACACGGCCUGCCACACGGUCGUGUGGGGUCAACAGUCACUAUUUUCGACGACCAAAACUUACAAAAAUUAAGGUUUUCGGCACACACCUGGUCUCGCUUUGACGGAAAAACAAUGCAAAGACUACUCGGAACUUAAUUAACCAUUCGACAAUCAAUCAGUUGACUAAAAUGACUAGAUAAUGCAAACGUUAAUACUCAAUCAAUUAUGUCGAAUAAAUCGACACCAAGAAACUUUCAACAACGAAUGCUUACCGACGAUUCAACAGUGCUAAAUUGGCACAACACAUGAAGGGUCACUUCCCUCUGUACUCACGCCUAAAAGAACAAAACGACUAGUUAUCAAAGAGUUUAAGAAAAAUAAUCAAAGAAAUCCCAGUUUAACAAUGUAACAGAAAACUAACAAAACUUCUUAAAAGUUGAAGGAUUCUGACAGUACUUACACAGAAAUCUCCCAAUAACGUAAAGGUCUCACUAAUUUCCGAUAUUCACUUGUUGAACACAAUCAAAAAGGGGAAGAAGAAGGGGAAAAAAUUUAAUGAUUUUUUUUCUUAACUGCCAACCUAGUUUCGACAACAAGCAAAAAUUCUACUUAUGCUUAUAGUGGGAUUCAAACUCAAGACCAAACAAAAUACAAACAAAUGCUUAACCAGUGAACCAAUAGGCUCAUUCUUAACAUAGAUUUGUAUAGAAUUACACUUAACUAUGUACUGCAUGGAUAAAGGUUGUUCUAAAAGGAUUAAAGUUUUAACUAUGCAACUCGAACUCCAAACCACAAACACAAUAACAAUAUACAGAACCACAAAUACAAAAUUUUAAUUACUACAGAUUCUCAUAAUUAAUUUCUCAAAAUUUUGGGGCAUUACAUAAUCUAAGUUGUUUGAUUUUCUCUUUUUUUUAUGAUUUUGCCCAUUUUGUGAGACUCAUAUCAAUUAUAUUUUUUUACAAGACAAGUCCCUGAAAAGAUUGAAAAUAAGGUAAAAGGAUUGCUAUGAUUUCAAUUUUAUGUGUAUGGAUCAUAUUAUUCAAUUUCUUAGGAUUAGAGCUCAUUUAUUUAUUAAUACUAGAUUUAUGGCACACCUAAUAAUGCAAGUUUCGGUUACAAUGAUAAAGUUAAUUCACAUAAUGCAUGAAGUUUUAAAUUCAAAUCUCUUUAUAAUUCAUUUUUAUUAAUUUAUGACACUACACCAAAACAGACUUUUAGCGGCGUUUUUAGUGGCGUUUGGAUAAAAAACGCCACUAAAGAUCGAGUAUUAGCGGCGCUAUCUAAAAAACGCCGCUAAAGAUCGAGUAUUAGCGGCGCUUUUCUAAAAACGCCGCUAAAAAUGAGCAUUAGCGGCUUUUUCCAAAAAGCGCCGCAAAAACCUAAACCUAACGUCGUCGUUUUCAUGAGUUUUUGGGGGAUUUAGCGGCGCUUUUGAAGAAGCGCCGCUAAUGCUCUGGUCUUUAGCGGCGUUUUUGAAAAAGCGCCGCUAAAAACAUUUUAACUUAAUUGGUUUAUUUAUAUUAAAUAAAAUCAAUUUAUUUCUAAUUGAUUUUAUGGCGUUUCGUUGGAAGCGCCGCAAAAUAUCUUUACUAAAACGCGUAGUUUUAAUUUUGAUGUAUACUUUUAUUAGUGGCGCUUACUAGAAAAUGCCGUAAUUGAAUAGCUAAAGCGCCGCAACUUAUCUUAUCAAAACGCAGUGUUUGAUCUUAAGCUAUGUUACAUUUAGUGGCGCUUAUAGGGAAACGCCGCAAAAAAUCUGAACCAAAACGCACCGUUUUGGUCUCGAUGUAUACUUCAAUUAGUGGCGCUGACGUUAAAACGCCGCAAAAAUAUCUUAACUAAAACGCGUAGUUUUAAUUUUGAUUAUAUAAGUGGCGCUUACUAGAAAACGCCGUUAAAGAAUAGCAUUAGCGGCGCUUGAUCCAAAGCGCCGCAAAGUAUCUUAACAAAACGCAGUGUUUCGUAUUAAGCUAUGUUACAUUUAGUGGCGCUUAUAGGAAAACGCCGCAAAAUAUCUGAACUAAAACGCACCGUUUUGGUUUCGAUGUAUACAUCUUAACUAAAACGCGUAGUUUUAAUUUUGAUGUAUACUUAUAUUAGUGGCGCUUACUAGGAAAACGCCGUUAAAGAAUAGAUUCAGCGGCGCUUUGGAUAAAUCGCCACAAAUUAUCUUAACAAAACGCAGCGUUUUGUCUUAAGCUAUGUUACAUUUAGUGGCGCGUACAGGAAAACGCCGCAAAAUACCUGAACCAAAACGCACCGUUUUGGUCUCGAUGUAUACAUCUUAACUAAAACGCGUAGUUUUAAUUUUGAUGUAUACUUAUAUUAGUGGCGCUUACUAGGAAAACGCCGUUAAAGAAUAGCUUCCGCGGCGCUUUGGAUAAAGCGCCGCCACGUAUCUUAACAAAACGCAGCAUUUUGUCUUAAGCUAUGUUACAUUUAGUGGCGCUUAUAGAAAAACGCCACAAAAUAUCUGAACCAAAACGCACCGUUUUGGUCUCGAUGUAUACAUCAAUUAGUACAUUAUAUAUUUAGUUUAGCAUAUUUGGUUUAGGUUUAGGUUAUUAGAGUUCAUUAUAUAAUAUUUAGUAUUUUUAGAUUAUAAUUUAGGGUUUAAGGUCUGCGAUGUAGGUUUAGUGUUUUUGAUUUAGGGUUUGAGAGUUUGAUGAUUAAGGUUCAGUGAUUAUUAUAAGUUAAAAAUGUUAUCGUAUAUAGUUUAGGGUUUUAAGGUUAAUCAUUGUAUAAAGUUUAUUAUUUUGUGAAUAUUAGAGUUUUGAGUUUAGGGUUUAUGAUGUAGGUUUUGGUGUCUUGGGUUUAGGGUUAGUAGUUUGGGGUUUAAGUUUUAGGGUUUGGGAUUAAUUAGUAUUUAAGGGCUUGAUGCUUCUGGUUAACGGUUUGUAGUUUAUAAUUUAAGGCUUACAAUGCACGGUUUUGAGUGUAAGGUUACGGGUUUAGAGUGUAAGGUUUGUAGUUUAGGGUUUAAGAGUUUAAAUUUUAAAGGUUACGGGUUUAAAGUUUAAAGGUUACGGGUUAAAGUUAGGGGCCUAUGGUUUAGGGUUUAAAUUUCUUUUUUCCACAUUUAAGGGAUAUGCUAAAAACAUUGGAAAAUAUAUGUUAAAAAUAGAAAAAAGUGAAAUAGUAUUAUUUUAAAUAAUUUGAAAAUAAGUUUAACCAGUAGUGGCGUUUUUCGUGAAAACGCCACAAAUAUUUAUUGAAAGAUAGCAAAACUGUGUCGUUUUGUCUUAUUUUUUAGUGGCGUUUUAGUAAAAAUGCCACAAAAGGAGUUAUAUUAGUGGCGUUUUAUCAGAAAACGCCACAAAUUUGGUAUUAGCCUCUAUUAAACGUUGUCGUUUUUAUGUAAAAUUUCAAUGGCGUUUUAUUAUAAACGCCGCAAUUAUGUUAUAAGUGUUCCCUAAACGUGGUCGUUUUGUAUCUUUGAAAUUUUAAUGCGUUAGUGGCGCUAUUUAUAAACGCCGCAAAUUUAUACUGAACUAACGUAAACGACGUCGUUUUUGUCGCACAGAAUUUCCUUACUUUAGCCCCUCUUUGAUUUCCCCAAAUGCAUUCCCUAAUUUCCCAUUUCGUAUUCCCCCCAAUUCCCCGAUUUCAUUUCCCCCCAAUUCCUAUUCCCCCAGUUUCCCCGAUUUAAUUUCCCUAAACCCCCAAAUUCCCCCAGUUUCCCCGAUUUAAUUUCCCUAAAUCCCUAAAUUCCCAAAUCCCCCUGUCAUUGGUGUCGGCUCCACUCCGGCGGUCGCUCUAUAGCCCGCUUUCGCAGUCGUAUGCUUCUUCUAUUAGGUUAAGGUUAUUUUUCUUCGGAUUAAAGCCCAUUAUUCCGUAAUAUUUGUUACCUUGUUGAAUCGGGUGCAUGUUUUUUAUAUUAAUAAUUUGGAUUAUUUUGUUCAAGGUCACAGAGCAUCUAUUCUAGUGGAGGAUUAAGGCUUGGGGAGUUGUUCAUCUGCUGCAAGGGUAAGUUACUGAUUUGGGGGUUCAAAAUUUGAUUUGCGUUAAACUAUUGAAUUCAUAGACAAGAAGAUUAGGGGAUUUUUAAUUUUCCUUUAAACUUGGCAAUCGCAAUUGCAUCUGGGUUUUUUAACUGUUCGUAUUUGCAUCUGGGUUUUGUUUUUUUUUUAAACUUGGCAAUCGGCAAUUGCUUUAAAUUUUAACUGUUCGUAUUUGUUGUUUUUUAGUCAGAUUUUAACCCGAAAAUAUAUCAUCUUUGUUUGUUUGUUAAAAUUUUUUGUAAUCUGAUUCAUAUGUACAUAUAUAUGAAUAUACGUAAUUAUAUUGUGUAUUUAUGCUCUAUAUGUGAGGGUAUUUAUAAAUGAUGUGUUGUGGUUUGAUAAUGUUGUUUUGUUGAAUUAUAGCAUGUUAUUUCUGUCCAAUUCUGUGUGUUUAUUUAAGUUGACGUGCAUAUUUAUUAAAUAUUUUAAUUACCUUUUAAAAAUAACACAACAUUUGAGCGUUAAGAAAAUUGAAAACAUAAUUAUCAAAAUUAUUGGAAUAUGAUCUUGUUUAUUGUUAUUAAUGAUGAAAUGCCCUUCUCCAUUCCGACUGAAAUUUCUUAUUUAGAAUUUUUAAAAUGAAAUUUAAAUUUACUCGAUUAAUAAAACUUGGGUUCAUAUUUUAAAAGCAAAUUUGAUCACUUAUAAUUUACUCGAUUAAUAAAACUUGAAAUUCAAACUUAUAAUUUUCAAAUUUAAAAGCAACAUUGUUUAAAAAAUUACUAAUUUCGUGCUACAACCUCCAUCUCACUCACAAACCUAAACUUGUUUUAUUUUGAUUUACAAAAUUUUAAAAUUUCUUUUUAAAAUAUUGUAACAAUUUGGUUUUUAAUGGUGUUGGAAAUUAUGGGUUCCGGAUCCUAUUUUCGUAAAUCGAUUCUGUAGAUAUUAAAUAAAGGUAAUUAUGGACUUAUUAAAUUUUUAAGUUUUCUAAAUAAUUAUAUAUAAGCUUAUAUAUCUUACAUAAUACAUAACUACAUAACAAACAUAAUAAAGAACUUACAUAAUAACACAUCCUUUAUACAAAUUAAAUAAGUUACAUGCUACACCAAAAAAAAAAAAACUUACAUAACUUAGAUAAUAUCCUACAUAAUAAAUUACAUAAUAAUACAUACUUACAUAAAUUAAAUAAGUUACGUAAUACACAAAUUUCAUAACUUACAUAAUACAUAAUUUACAUAAUACACAACUAACAUAACUUACAUAAUACAUAUUUUACAUCACUUACAUAAGACAUAACUUACAUAAGUUUCAUAAUACACAACUGACAUAACUUACAUAAGUUUCAUAAUACACAACUUACACAGCUUACAUAACUUACACAACUUACAUAACUUACAUUAAUAUUAUACAUAAAUUACAUAACUUACAUUAAUAUUAUACAUAAAUUACAUUAAUAUUAUACAUAAAUUACAUAACUUAAUUAAUUUAUAUACAUAAAUUACAUAACUUACAUUAAUUUUAUACAUAACUUACAUAACUUAAUUAAUUAAUAUACAUAAAUUACAUUAAUAUUAUACAUAAAUUACAUAACUUAAUUAAUUUAUAUACAUAAAUUACAUAACUUACAUUAAUUUUAUACAUAACUUACAUAACUUAAUUAAUAUACAUAAAUUACAUAACUUACUUUAAUGUUAUACAUAAAUUACAUAACUUAGUUAAUUAAUAUUAUACAUAACUUACAACUUACAUAACUUACAACUUACAUAACUUACAUUUUUUUAAUUAUUCGUAAAUUACAUAACCUACUUAAUUUUCAUAAUAAAUAACUUACAUAACUUACAUAAUACAUAACUUAUAUGACUUACAUAACUUACAUAGCAUAAUUUUCAUGGUACACAACUUACAUAAUUUUCAUAAUAAAUAACUUACAUAAUACAUAAUUUACAUAGCUUAAUUAUACUUAUUCCUAAAUCCUAAACCCGUGCAAUUUAUUUCGAAGAUUAGGCUUCAAGAAAUAAGAAAUGGACCGGUCUUGGAUGAAUUUGUCAAGGGUAAGCGACGGUUACCGAAAUGGAGUACAACUUUUCUAAAUUUUGCAUUUCAAUAUGCAAGCCAAGAGAACAUGAUUCUUUGCCCGUGUAAGAAGUGUGUCAACAUAAACUGGCAUUAUCGUGAAGUUGUAUACGAGCAUCUAAUUGUUGAUGGGUUUGUUCGUGGUUAUAAACAAUGGUUUUUUCAUGGAGAAUGCCCGCCUAGUAGUUCCUCUUCAAGGAUGGAUGUAUCUUAUGAUAGUACUGCCUACCAUCAGUCUGUUAGAGGGGAUGACAUGGAAGGGAUGUUGCGGGAAGCAUUUAAUAUUCACAGUCAUGGUUUAGGGUCGUUCCCACCCGACUUUGUGCCAUCUGAUGAUUGUAAUCUCGAUGGAAAUGCUUUUACCGAACCCGGAAGAAACCAACAUCAUGAAGAGCCGAAUGGAGAAGCGGCAAAGUUCUACGCGCUACUUAAUGAGAUGAACGAAGAACUAUAUGAGGGAUCGAAAUUUUCAAAAAUGUCGUUCUGCAUUCGUCUUUUCCAAUUAAAAUGUUUGGGAGGGUGGACCGGGAACUCAUUGACAAUGCUGUUAGAGUUUUUGAGAGAAAUGUUUCCGUUUGCAAAAAUCCCUCAGUCAUGCAAAGAUAUGAAGAAAAUGAUAAAAGACUUAGGUCUUGGGUACAACAAAAUCCAUAGUUGUCCAAAUGAUUGCAUGUUGUACUGGGGCAAUCGGAGAAACCAACAGUGCUGUCAUGUAUGUGGCGAAUCCCGUUGGAUGAAUAGAAACACAGAAGAUGGGAACGACGAUGAAAAUGAUGCACAGCCAAGAAAGAAGCCGGUCAAGAUUUUACGGUAUUUUCCGCUGAUACCAAGGCUUCAAAGGCUUUUCAUGUCGUCGAAGACAGCAGAGUCAAUGACGUGGCACCAUGAAGGACGAACCGAUGAUGGACUAUUAAGGCAUCCGGCAGAUUCUUUAGCUUGGAAAUCAUUUGACAAUAAAUUUCCAAGCUUUGCAAGCGAUCCGAGGACUGUCAGGCUUAGCCUAGCAUCUGAUGGAUUUAAUCCUUACAAGAUCAUGAGUACUGCAUACAGUACAUGGCCAGUGGUGCUUGUUCCUUACAAUCUGCCUCCGUGGAUUUGCAUGAAGCAAUCUUCCCUUAUCUUAUCUAUGAUUAUCCCUGGAGAGAAAGGGCCCGGGAAUGAUAUCGAUAUUUAUUUACAGCCCCUUAUUGAAGAGUUAAAACAAUUAUGGGCUGGUGUCGAGACAUACGAUGUGCUGAGAAAGGAGAACUUUAAUUUACGUGCAGCUUUGAUGUGGACCAUUAAUGACUUCCCCGCUUAUUCCAAUUUAUUCGGUUGGAGUACCAAGGGUCGUUAUGCGUGCCCCUGUUGUGCUGCACAAACAUGUUCGCCAUGGUUAUACAAUGGGAAGAAGUUCUCUUACAUGGGGCAUCGUCGGUGGUUACCAGAAAAUCAUAGAUUUAGAUUUCAGAGUUCGGCAUUUGAUGGUACUGAAGAGUUCAGAGAAGCUCCUUCGCAGACAAGUGGAUCUGAAAUCUUGUUAAUGUUGGAAGAUAUGAAUUUCAGUUAUAGGAAGAUGAAUCAACCGGCAAACACGCAAAGAAAUAGAAGAUCAAAUGAUGAAGCUGAUGAUAACUCCGAUGAAGAGGAUGAUCCUAAUGAGGCGGACUUGUGGAGAAAAAGAAGUAUUUUUUUUGAGUUACAUUAUUGGGAGCACCACCUUUUACGACACAAUCUUGAUGUUAUGCAUAUUGAGAAAAAUGUCUGCGAGAACAUUGUCUGUACAAUUUUGAAUGUAGACGGAAAAUCAAAAGACAAUCUUCAGAGUCGACUUGAUUUAGUUCAGAUGGGAAUUCGACCUGAUCUUCAUCCGAAUCCACUUCCGAAUGGUAAAUAUCGGUUGCCGCCUUCUAUUUUCUCAAUGUCGAAGACAGAGAAAGAAGUGUUCUGCAUGGUGUUGAAGGAUAUAAAGGUUCUAGAUGCGUAUGCAUCAAAUAUAUCUCGAUGUGUUAGUGUUAAAGAUCGAAGACUAUAUUCGCUAAAGUCACAUGACUAUCACAUCUUGAUGCAAGAUUUACUGCCAGUUGCUCUACGAUGUUGUAUUUCGAAGAAGGUGACGUAUUGUAUAAUUGAACUAUCCAAUAUAAUGAAAGCCAUUUGUGGCAAAGUUUUGGAUGUUCAAGAACUUCAGAAGGUACAGGAUCGAGCCGCUUUAACUCUAUGCAACAUGGAGAAAAUCUUCCCACCUUCCUUCUUCACUAUUAUGGUUCACUUGAUAAUCCAUCUCCCGCAUGAAGCAAUUCUUGGCGGACCCGUUUUCUAUCGAUGGAUGUAUCCCAUAGAAAGGUGUUAAUUACAAUUUUGUAAAUUUUCCUUCAUUCACCCAUAUGCCUUUAGUUACAACUUUUGAUAAUGUUGUAUAUCGUGUUUAGGUUCCUAUCCAAAUUAAAGUCUUAUUGCCGCAACAAGCGUUAUCCAGAAGGAUCGAUUGCUGAAGGCUACUUGGCAGAGGAAUGUAUGACCUUCUAUUCAAGAUAUUUGGAAGAUGUUGAAACAAGGUUGAACAGACCAAAUAGAAAUGCUGGACUCACGGAUCGUAACUUUGCCGACAGUUAUUUGUUCCAAAGUUUUGGAGAACCAAUCGGUAAAGUUGAAAUUGCAGAAUUAGAUGAUUUAUCGUGGGUACAAGCACAUCGAUAUGUUCUGUUUCACCACGAAUCAAUGGAACCUUUACGCAAGUAAGUUCUAGAUAUUUGAUAAAUAUUUAUCAUUUCAAAAUUGUUUAUAGUCUAACAAACUUAACAUAUUUGUAACAUAGUGAGUACAAACAAAUAUUGAGAUCUCGUUCGCGCUCCCGAAGAACAUAACAUCGAGAUAUCAAUAAGUUGUUUACAGAAUCUUUUCAUGAAUGGUUAAGCCAAACGGUAUGUAAUUGGAGCUUUCACCGACAAAUAAUAAUAUUUGUUCAAAACAUUUUUAAUUACUCAGUUUACUUUCCAUUCAAUAGGUUUGGAGUGGGAAGAACGUCACCGACGAAGUUAAAUGGCUUUCCCAAGGUCCAAAUCGGGUGGUUAAAAGAUAUAGUGCAUUCCUCAUAAACGGAUUCAGAUUUCAUAAAAAAUAUCGCGAGAGAUUGAGGAGAACGCAAAAUUGUGGAAUAGUUGUUAAGUCCUCAAUUACAAGUUAUGCUAGUGCUAGGGACAAUAAUCCUGUGGAGGGAAAUGUGGAAUAUUUUGGACUUCUUACUGACAUAAUUGAGUUGGAUUACUACGGCAAAUGGAAAGUUGUCUUAUUUCGAGGUGAUUGGGCCGAUGUUAAUACUGCACGUGGAAUCAAGCAAGAUCAAUUUGGUUUCACAAUGGUAAACUUCGCUAGAUUGAUUCACACAGGACAACAAUUGAUUGAUGAGCCGUAUGUAUUUACUUCUCAAGUCAAACAAGUUUUUUACUCAAAAGAUCCAACUGAUGAGGGUUGGUACGUUGUACUCUGUAACAUCCCUAGAGACUUGUUUGACAUGGGCAGUGGAAGUAAAGAUGACAUUGACGAUAGAACACAAACUUUACCAUUUCCAGAACAGAACUUAAACGAAAACAUCCCUAGUACUAGUACACAAUUUCAAUGGGUCCGCCAGGAUACGGAUGAAGAUAUUUACGAAUUAUAAUGUAGUCAACUUUUACGAUUAUCUAAUUAUAUUUACGAAUGAUGUUAUUGUUGUAAUUGUAUACUAAGUUUUCAACUAAUUUAUUUGUAUGGCAUUAAGGUAACAAAACGUGUAUGUCAUUUAUAAUACUUGGGUUUAAGUUUCGUUUACAUUUACUUUCUUAAGUUGUGUUUUUUGUAGGCGAGAUUUGCUCUAGAGGUCUCCGAUGCUUAUGUGAAGAAGGCAUUGGGAAAAAGAUGGAGAGACCAUAAGAGCACUUUAAAGAAAGAAUAUUUUAAAACAAAAACAACACUCGACGAGAGAUUACAAAAUGUCCCGCCGGGAUGCUGAGGUACCAGUGGGAAGAGGUCGUUAGAUUUUGGACUUCGAAGAAAGGAGAGGUAUGUGUAACUUAUAAAAUUUUGUAAUUAUUUUGGUGUAUAUUAUUUCCUAAUUAACGUACUAAUAAUUUCAUAAUGUAGGAUCGUGAACAAGUUGGAAAACAAAGUAGGCAGCAACAAAAAUUCACUCACACAGCUGGGUCGAAAAGUUUUGCGUGUGUAGCUCAUGCAGAGGUAUUUUGAAAUGCUUUUAAUAUUGGCAGAUAUUUAUUACUUUCUAUCAAUUAAUAUUUUUACUAUUGUAUUGUAGGAACUGUCGUCCGGUCAAAAAGUUGGACGACUUCAAUUUUUUGACAUUACACAUAGGAAGAAAGAUGGAAACUCUAUGACUCCUGAAGCUGCAGAAAUUAUGGUACGUUUGCUUAAUACAAUUUCACUUGUUUUAAUUAUUUAUAUAGUGUUUACUUUCUAAUGAUUUAUUUCAUUUAUUAUAAUGCAAAUAUUUUUAAGUUAUGUUGCAUUCUUGUUUUUAAUAUAUAUUGUGUUCCUAUCUAUGUGUGAUUUAUUUUUUAGGAAAAAUUAAAGGAUAAAAAGGCGGAGUACGAAGCGAUUGCUUCUAGUGAUAGUUCUGUUCAUAUUGACGACAUAGAUAACCGGAUUAUCACUGAAGUUUUAGGUCCUGAAAGGUAUGGUCGGGUUCGAUUCCAAGGAUCUUUUGUUAACCCGUCCCAAUAUUUUGGAUCUAGCUCGCAACAAUAUAUGCCUUCGGGGAGUCGAGCUGAAGUUCUGAGGUUAAGAGACCAGAUGGCUCAGAUGCAAGCGACAACAAUUGAGCAAAUUACACAACUGAAAGCAGAUGCAGCAGCGAGAGAAGCUGAGGUUCAACGAAAGUAUGAAGAACUCCAGCAGCAGCUUAAAGCAGAUGCAGCAGCAAGAGAAGCAGAGACGGCAGCGAGGGAAGCACAGGCUACAGCGAGGGAAGCAGAGGCUGCAGCGAGGGAAGCAGAGCAGCGUCAAAAGUUUGAUGAACUCCAGCAGCAGCUUCAGAGUAUGAUGAAGAUGUUUCAGCAGUCGCAACAGCCGCCGUCUUAGACUAUCGUGUAAAAUAUACUUCGAUUUUGACUUUUAAUUAUCAUUUUAACUUUUAACAUUUUUGUAAGAAUAAUACGAAUUUUAUUUUAUUUAUUUAUAUUUAUUAUAUUAUUUGUUUAAUAUAUAGAUUUAUUAUUUUUGGCUGGUUUAGAUUUGAUUUUUUCUGAUUUGUUUUUACAGGAGGGCUGAAAAUAUAAAAAAUUUUAUUUUACAAAUCUACCAAAUUUAGUGGCGUUUUUAAAAAAAAUGCCACUAAAGGUGUUGCCCUUUAGUGGCAUUUUUGGUCGACGCGCCGCUACAGAUAGGGGUCUUUAGCGGCGUUUGUGGGGAAAGCGUCGCUAAAGAUUAGGUUCUUUAGUGGCGCUUUUGGUCGAAGCGCCGUGAUAGAUCAGGGUCUAUUGCGGCGUUUGAGGGGAAAGCGCCGCUAUAGAUCAGGUUCUAUUGCGGCGUUUAAGAAAAAAAUGCCGCUAAAGACCCUGAUCUUUAGCGGCGCUUUUCCCAAAAACGCCGCUAAAGAUCAGGGUCUUUAGCGGCGCUUUUCCUAAAGCGCCGCUAAAGGUCUUAGUCUUCAGCGGCGUUUGUGGGAGAAACGCCGCUAAAGAUCAGGCUCUUUAGCGGCAUUUUUUUCUCAAAACGCCGCUAAAGUUAGCGGCGCAUUCAUUACCGGCGUCUGUUGCGGCGCUUUUCAAAGCGCCGCUAAAAGUAUCUGCGGCGCUAAAAAGCACUGCUAAAGGCUUAAAAAAGCGCCGCUAAAAGCCUGUUUUGCUGUAGUGAACAAGACAAAAAUACUCUCGUAAAAAAAACUUAAAAUAUAUAUAGAAGUGAAUAUUUUGAUAAUUUCAUAAUUGAAUUGAUACAUAGUUGACUUGUGACACCAAUUAAAUAAAAUAUCUAAAAUAAGUAUAUAAAUAGAUAUAGAUGAUAAUUAUAAUAAUAAUUUAGGCAUUAAUUUCAAGGUGUUGUUAUAUCCAAUACCUAUCACCAAGAGGCUUUCAAGCUAUGGAGAGGGUCCAAAACACUAUCUAAUCCUUGCAUCUGAUGGUGGGUUCAUGUUUAGACUGCUUGCUUUAUUAUAAUCUUUGUAAAACUUAAAUAGUUAAAUUGGAGUGCACCUUUAGACUAUUUCUUACACAUUGUAAUUAAGGUAGUGUUUUUUUUUUAAACAUAAUUACGUAGUGAGUUACUAAUAACUUAUAAAGAUAAAUCUUGGGAAGCAUAUGUAAGUUUUGCAAAAAGAAUUUUAAAGAGUUACGAAUACAUCAUAAUAAUAUUUUUAAGAUAUUUUAAUUAUUAAUUGUCAAAAAUAAGAUAUCAAACAAAAAAUUAAUGUUGUUAAUGCCAUUCAAGAUGGAUUAUUCGGGAAUUCUAAUUCCGUUUUAGUUAGAAGAAUCCAUCAACGCUUAACAAAUUAUAAGACAUUGGAGACUACAACAUAUUCCUCGAGAAGAAAACUAAAAUCACAAAUAAUCUCAUUAAGAUGGUUCAUGACAGGAGAACAAGAUUAUAAUUGUUUGGAAGUUAGUUUUAGAAGUGAUGAUCUAAUGUAAGACGGUCCCACAAAAGUGACGGUUGACUAGAGUUAGGUUCCUCUAAAUCGUAAGUCUAAAAUCUAAGUGGAGCUGGUAGUCGUAGGCGUCCUCUUCCACUAUAACUGGCUUAUUCUAUUCAAGAAGGAUCAUCUAAAUGCAUAGGAUUGAACCAAGGAGGACCGAGAUAACCGGAGGCUAGAAUCUCUCAAUCAAAAACUCUCUUUUCUCAAUAAUGUUUCUCUUAACAAUUUCGAUUUCAAUUUAUACAAUUUCAACCCCUUCAUAUUUUUAAUUCUAUUUUUUUUGUUUUUUUUUCCAAAUACGCCACUUUUUCUUGGGCACGAUGUGCUCGGGAUCUCGAGGAACAAGACGUUGUGCAAAUUCAGUCCCUGAGGAUUUGACCCUACAUCCCUUAUACUAUUCUUUUUCGUUAUUUCAUUGGGAUAGGUUAUUUUUUGUGCUCUCAACGACACAUCAAUAUUAUAACAAUAGAGGGCCAAAUUAUGUUACAUUAAAAACGUACAUACAUUAAUUUUUAAAUUUCAGCAUAAUAGAGGGACCAAAACUAAAUUUGACUUGUUUACUAAUAUAAUAGGGUAAACUACACCACAAUUCACCAACUAUUGUCCUAUUUCUUUUUUGAUCACCCAACUAUCUUUUUUUUUAAUUUGGUCAUCUAACUAUUGCACAUUUUCUUUGUUGGUCACCCAACUAUCAAAUUUUUUUUUUAAUUUGGUCACCCAAUUAAUCAAGAUUUUUUUGUCCAUUUCCAUUUAGUGUCGUUAAAUAUUUGACGAGAAAAUGAUGUGAUAAUUAAAAAAUUAGUAUAAUAACAAAUUUAACUCUCAAUUUUUACAUAUUAUAUUGAUUUAGUCAUACUUUUAAAAAAUUAAUCCUCAAAUUUCACCUUCAUCUUUCACUUCCCCACCGCUACAACCAUAGUUUCCUCCACCUUUCUCCUAAAAGAUAUUUUAAAAAUAUAUUCAAAAUUUACAACUGCAUGUAAAAGCACCGUUGAAUUUAAAGCUGAACUCAAAUGGUUAAUUUCAUGAAGUUGGUUUGAUCCAACAGUUGUACAAAGCUCUUCCAAAUGAGUUUUCUGUUCUGUAGAAUUUGUGAUCAAACAUUAUUUUGGUUUAACACUCAUUUAGGAUUCUAUAUGAAAGACAUCUAAUAAAAGAAUAUAUUCAUAUGUUUUUAAAGCACCUUGAAAGCCAACAAGAUAACGAGUUAGCACCGUUGUAGGCCUCUGUAAUGAUGAACUAAUAAUGGAUCAAAAUCACGGAUGAGAGGACAGGUUAGCCAACACUGCCUUGGUUCCUUUUUUUUUUUUUGUUUAAUCGCUAACACUUUCUUGGUUGUAAAAGAAAGUUGUUUUUGGUAUUAAUAUCUAACCUAUUUAAAAUUCCCCUAGUAUUAAUUAAUAUUGGUUAAUAACUUGGUGGCAGACAAAGGUCGGUGGAGCUCAGCUAAUACCUACUUUCCACCAAAGCUGUCGACAGCUAUGUGCAAACUCAGGGAAAACUUUUUUUAGAAAAAGUGUAACAAUCUACACCCGGCCUAAAUGUUAUUGUUGAAUUCGAAAAUGUCACAAGGAAUGGGUUUUGAAAACUGAGUUGUUUCGAUAAACCGUUCAACUUUUAUAACUCAUAUUCAUUCAUGAUUAUUACUGAAAAUGUCAUAAAAUUAGUUCAUUUGUCAAAUCACAUAUUAUAGCAGAGGUUUAAUAAAAUCGAUACAUUUUGGAAAUUCGGUUUGUAAUUUUAGCAAAAAAACGUUUAUUUGCGUAAACCCGUCGUUUUCAUAAAACAUUUUAUCGAAGCAACAAAUUAUCAAACAAACGAAAAAUUAACAGUUAAAAACAUACUGUCCAGAGAGUCCCAAAAAUUACAAACUCUCAAAUGAAUCCAGAAUUUUAAAUAAACCAUAAAAUACUAAGUUCAAAUAGUUUACGGUCAAGUGGUCACCACUGAGUCUCCGCCGCACCGAUCUGCCUAAGUCUAUGGAUUACCUGAACAGAAUAGAUAAACAGAUGUGAGUUUUCGUAAACUUAGUGUGUAACCCAACAUAAAUAGGCAUACAAUUUAUACAGAAAUCACAUAUACAUUCAGAUUUAGAUCGGACCUAAGUCCUUUAUAAAAACAGAUAAUAGAAUCAGAUAUACAGAAUCCUACCCCCAUCCUCUACACACCAUCUUCGACCAUCCCAACACACAAUAUGUGGGGUUAAAAAAAUACCCACCCAUCCCUACACACCGUAUUGUGUCAUUACGACACGUAUCAAAUAAUAUGCAACCAAACUGCCAGAAAAUAGACGAGGGUCACCAUUUAGAACACAUCCUCCAUAUAUACAAUCCCACCCCAAAAAUAGAUACAAAAUACGGAUUCAGAUACAGAUAUAACAUACUUAUCAUGCUUGUGUACAAAUAUCAAAUAUACACAUAUUAGAAUAGUCAGGCAUGCAUAAAAAGUGUCCUACUCAGAGCAUUCAAUCAGAAUAUCAAAUCGCAUAAUCGAGGGUUUGGUUAGCCCUUACCGACCCUAUGGUAAGCCCACAAUCGAUCGGAACGACCAGAGCGACCCUAGGGAAAAUUUCAAAAAUUUGGGCUCACAUGCCUGUAUGGCUUGUCCGUGUGGGCCCACACGCCCAGAUUGGCCUUGCUCGUGUGGCCCACACAAUAUGGCCUAAAAUCCACAUGCCCGUGUGGCCCACAAGCCCAGCUUGUCCUAGGCCAUGUGGCCUACACGGCCACACUCACAUCACCACACAGUCAUGUCUUGCGCACGACCAUGCUUUCGUAGAACACACGGCUGUGUCUCGCACACGGGCAACCACAUAGCCAGGUACAUGCCGAUGUGGCAUCGAUAGUAAGGUUUUUCGAUCUCGAUUUUCUGCGUUUCAGGUACACACCUGGUACAUUUCUGAUGCAAUAACACUUCUGAGGUCCUCGAAACCUAAGAAAAGCAUCCAACUGCCGAUUUAGCAAUCAAUUUACAAAUCGAUAGAAAACCCAAAAUAACGCUCAAGAUGUACCGAAAACACGAACAGACCCUAGCGCGAUUUAAACUGCUGGAGUAAACCUUCACCGCUCACCACUUUCACCUACACCACGAAUUGGCAGAAAUCAAUCUCUUAACUACUCACCAUUCUGCCGGAACAACAGAUAUAACCUUAACCAGCGUUAGAAAAUAGAAGUUACAGAAUACUCAAAACUUCACUUACCAAUCAAACAGGGAACGACGGAAUUCUUAAAACACAAGGAUUCGACAGCAGACUAACAGAAUAGGAAAAAGAAUGAAAUACAGAGAAAAAGAGAGAAAAACUGACGUCAAACUUUUCUUUGGAAGAGAGAGAAAAUUCUUAACAGAAGAAAAUUAAAAAUAAAAGAUAUUCCAAAUAUCCAUUAUUUUUCUCCCACUAACCCACUACUCAUAACUCUCAGAAUUUCAACUCAACCAAAAUUCUAUCAUACCCCCGAGCAAAAAUUAACACCUUCACUACCACAGGAAUUCAAACACAAGACCUCCAACACAACAAGCCCCAUUACCACUCGAACCAACAAGCUCAUUCUUAUAGAAAUUAAAGACAAUUUUACAUAAGCCUACUAGGCAAGGGUAAGGUCAAGGUUAGAAAAAAACAAAAUUUGGCAAAAGUAAGACUUGAACCCAAGACCUCAUACACCCACCCAAAACACUUAGCCACUGAAGUAGAUACACAUUUAUGUCAAAUAUUUACAGAAAUAGAAAUAGCUUAUUCGGGGCAUUAGGGAGAGAUGGAGGCAAUAAUGGUCGAGGCGAUGGGGAAGCGAAAAAGAAUAGUAAAUUUUGAGUAUUAAAUUGAGAUUAUUUUUAAAAAUUGAAGUUUAAAUUUUUAAAUUAUAAUUAAAUUGAUAUAAUAUAUAAAAAUUGAGAGUUAAAUUUAUUAUUAUAUUACUUUCUCGUCAGAAAUUUAAUAACACUUAACAAAAACAUACUGAAAAAAAUAAUCUCAUUUGGUAUGAGAAAAAAGAAGCAAUAGUUAGAUGACCUGUAAUGAAAUUUUCCCAUAUUACUAAAAGAUGUGGGCCUCCUAUAAUGUUUUAUAAUGGGGGAAUGUAAAAUUCCGAGACUGCCCUGCAAUCAUUUAAUCAAGUCAACAUAAGUCAAGCUGAUGUCCUUUUAUUUUUCAACAUUGGCUGCUGAAAUACCAGUAGAUUUCUCAUGAUUUAGGCAAACAAUUCCAGAGUUGAUAUUAAAAAAAAAAAAAAAGCAGCAGAGACGGUGAAGCAACGCCGAGAUAACAUCCAUUUUCCACAGUAGCUAAGUAUAUUUCUUAACUAUGAAUCAAUAUCGGAUUUGAAUCGCUUUUCUGUGUAGUAGGUUUUGAAUAUUACUCGCAACAAAUUCGUAUAACCAGACGCUGUUCUCGUUUGCUUGAUCUGAGCGUAAUAUUUCAGGUAAGCUUUUCUUUUAUUUUAAAAGUUCAAAGACUAUGGGUGUGGAUUUGAGAAUAAUCUGAUUUCUUCUUUGUUUAAGCUAUGGGUUUUGGAGGAAUUUCAAAUCUUACUUCCCAGAUUUGAGUUUCGCAACAAUCUUAGUUUUUAUAGUUUUUUUUUUCUCUGCUUUCCCCGCUUUGUUUUGGGUCUUCCGGCCUCUUUGACUUUUUGUCUAGCAUUUUCUUUGUACAACUUUUGAGAACUUUAGUCCACCGUGUGUAACUUCUUUUAAUGAAAGUUUCUUUCAUAAAAAUAUAUAGCUAAGCUACUUAUUAGUCAUUUUUAUUUUGAUGAUUUUUUAAAAAAAAAUUGUUAAUUUAGUUUCAAAAUAGAAAUUAAUUAAAUUAGUCACUCCACUGUUAAAUAGUAAUAAAAAACUAACGAUACAUUUUCACAUUAAUCACCCUAAAAGUAGGAUAAACUACCUAUCCAUCACUCUAAAUAAAAUUCGUUGCUACUUUGAUUUACCCAAAUAUAUAUUUAAAAGUGGAUAACAUCAAUCCUUGGAUUUUUAUUCAUGUUAGUUUUGUGAUUUGACAACUAUUCUCAAUUUUAGUCCUUGCGAUGAUAUUAAAUUAUGGUAUUUUACCAUGUUAUUACUUAAAUUUUUAAAUAAAAAUUAUAAAUUUUAGGUGAACAUGACAUAAUAUUGAGGUGUCAUGUUAUCAUAUAAAUCAAAAUUGUCAAGUUUCGAGACUAAUGUGGAAAAAAAAUAUAGACAAUAAAUAAGAGAAUUGUCAAAUUCAAAGAUUAAUGUUGUUUUUUCCUAUUUAAAAAGAAGCUUAAUUUAAGGUUGCAAUAAUUUAUAACUCAUUUUUUAAAAAUUACUUGAUAUAAAUUAAUUUAAGGUGUGUUUAAUAAAUAAUUGAAAAUUUUCAAUAUUUAAGACCUAUUUGGACAACACAAAGUAUUUAGAUGAAAAUAUAAUUAUUAGGUAGUAAUUACACUAUUCUGUAAUUACAAAGAAGUAUAAUUUCCUAGACGUGUUUGGCUAAUAAAGUGUAAUUACAUAAUAAUUUUAUCAGUCAUGUUUGGUAGUACAAGUUGUAAUUAUAAAUUGUAAUUACACAAUUACAUAAUUUAUCUUUUUUAAAAAAUAUUAAAUACUAUAAAAAAUUAAACGAGUAAGAGAAACUAAAAUCAAUUAUCAUAUGUAAUAUGUUAGUCCAAGAAAGUAGUCGAUAAUUCUAUUACUAAUAAAAAUAACAAGAAAAUAAACAUAAUCGCUCUAGCAUUUUAUAUUUGUUGGGUUAUCUCUUUUUUAAUGUUUAACAUUUAACAUCAUCUAAAUCUAAACAUGUAUCAUUAAGAUUAUUAAGAUCUUCCAUGUAUUCUUAAAAAUAUAGAUUAUCUUAAUUUCACCUAUGAGCAGGGGCGAAGCCAGAAAGUUUUUUUAGGGGGGCCGAAAUUAAAUUGUAACUUUUACAUAGUAAAAAUGUAAUUUAACAAUUUUAAUAGUCUAUAACUCUAUAAUAUUUAAAGGAUUAAAUCGAAUUUUUAUCAUUUUUAGGGGGACAACGUGCAAUUUUACUUUUACUAAUUUAAAAUUUUAAAAAUCUUAAAAUGCCUAAAUGAAAAAUUUUCCAUUUUAGAGGGGCCCUGCCAACCCCCCCUAAAUACGUCUCCGCCUAUGAAUGAAGUUGUGUAGUAUGCAACAAGCUAAUACAAUCUAACUUUUUUUUUAUGCUUUACCAAAGUGAUGUUAAUAUGAGAAUAUUUUUUUUAAGGAUAGUAAAUGUCUUUUCAAUUAAUUUCGAAGCUUUAAAUGUCUAAAACUAAAAGGUCACAAGUUGCCACCAGUGCUUAUCUGAUUUCAUUCUCUCAAAUGGUACUAUACCCUACAAUAUGAUGCAAUAAUUUUUUUGUAUUUAUAUAACUAGCAUCUAUCACAUGAUAUUUGAAUCAGGUUAAAAUAACUUUUUUUUAUAAUAUGUAAAUUAGGUUAAAAUAAUAGAAAAUUUAUAAUAUAUAACUUUUAUAGAAAAGGAAGUGUCUGGAACUUUCAAAACAUUUCUUAUAAAUAAUAUUUUUUUUUGCUAUAGCUUUAUAAAACUAUUUUUAUAAACACAUUAUGGCAAAAAUUUAUAACACUUUUUUUAUAAAAAAAAAGUAUAUUAUUUUUAUAAUAUAUAAUAUGAAAAGUUUUGUCUGUAACUUUUUGUCAUAAUUUUUUAUAAAUAUGUUAAUUAUAACACUUAAAUAAAAUGUAUAUUAUAUUUUAUAAUAUACUUUUUAUCACAACUUUAGAAAUUUUUAUAGUAAUUAAAUCAUACAAUUUUUUUGUUACAAUUUUAUAAAAUAUCAUAAAUUAUUUUUUAUAAUAUACAUAUUUUCAGAUUUAUAAUAUAAUUUCAAAAAAAAUUUUGUCAUAAUCACCCCCAACACUUAUAUGUGUUUAUAUAUAUAAUAAUUUUUUUAUAACUUAAACUUAUAUAAAUAUAAUUUUUAAAAUUAAAUAAUGAAUGAGUGUUUCGAAAGUCAUAGGGUAAUUAAAUUUGGGUGUGAGUACGUGUGUAAUUACUCCAAUUCUCACCCUCUCCUUAAGAAUUGAAAUUUGUAAUUAAAUGCUCCAAUUACAUUCAAUUUUAUGGGACCCAUCAAUAAUAAUAGUUAUCCAAACAAACCAUCAUUUUACAAUUACAAGCAAUUAUAUCCAAAUUCAAUUAUUAGGUGACUUUUUAAAUACUACAUUAAUAUUUUAAACGUGUUUGAUAAUCAUUUUAAUUUUUUAUUUAUUAUAAAAAUUUCAACAAAAAUAAUGUUGAAUAAAAUAAGUAGGGAUAAUCAAUAAUUAGAAACACGUAUUAUUUGUUUGGGUGAGAGAAGAAGACUAUGGGUGGGUUUGGAUGGGCGACUGGGUGCAGUGCGGUGCGUUUAGUUUAUUUUUUGUCUCACGCUACAGAUCGCUACAGUGUCUAAUCUCACCGCCACCGCUGUUUUUACACUAACCGCAGGUAAACGCACCGCCCAUCCAAACUCACCCUACAUAGGCAAGCUACUCCUAUUUUUAUUUUAAAUCAUUUCAAACAAAAUUUGUUAAUUUAGUUAUCUGAACAUAAAAAUUAAUUAAUAUGCUUUACGAGAUAGUAUUAAAUUCAAAAAGGGGAUAAUUUCAUAGAAGGCCCUUAUACUAAUAUUUAAAAAAAAAAGAGAUAUUUCUUCCUUAUACACUUCUACUUCCUUUUCUCUCCCCGGGAAACUAGAAAAAUUAGUAAUUAUUAUAAUAAACAAAAAUUAAUUAAAAUUAAAUGUACUAUAUUACCGAGAGAACAUCUAACAUCAUUGGAGGGAAAGAACAAGAAAUGAAAAAAUAAACAUAACAAAAAUAAAAAUAAAAGAUUAUGUUGAAUUUGAAUUUUGUUAGGCGCCGUCGUCACAUGCAACACAACACACAAAAAUUAAAUGCGCAUUUAAAUUAAACUUUUAAAUAAAAAAUAAAUGAAAGCAUAAUAAAAAAUCGAAAAAAAUUAUUUCCCAAAAUAUUCAUUAAUGUAAUUAUUUAAAAUAAAAAUUAUAUAAUAUAUUUGAAUUUACCACGUGAUGCGCUCUUGUUAUAGGUUGCAUGUGCCACAUAAUAAGUUGAAGGUGAUAUUCAAAUUUAUCUUCAAACAACGAUGAGGCUUUGGACUAAAUCAUGUAAACAACUUUAAGUAGUAAGAAUAUUUGGUCUGUUUGAUUGACGGAAUUGAUUUUCUGGAAAAUCAUUUUCAACUUUUCCGGCUUUUGAUUGGCGGAAAACAUUUUUCAUUUGGAAAAUGAACUCCAAAACAAGGGAAAAUGGGUUACAUUUUAGGGAAAAUGUCUUACCCUUUUAAUUUCCAUAAGACAUUUUUCGUGCUCUCCUCUCUAUCGCCUCCUUCAUUCCUUCCUUCAUUUCCGGUAGAAAACUGCUUCUGUUUAUCGAUUUUCCAGUAACUUGUUUUUUUAAUUAUUCAGUACUUGUUUUUUAACACAAUUACAAAUAAUUUAUUUGAUAUUAGUUUUUUUCAAUUUAUAACGAUUAAUAUUGUAGCUUAAUAAUUGAGUAUUAUUAUAAAUAAAUUAUUGCAAUAUAUGUAAAAAUAAUUUAAAAUAUAAAAAUUUAUUAAUAUAUAUUAAUAUAUGUAAAAAUAACUUUUCCGGAAAAUAUUUUCAGGAAAUCUGCCAAACAACAGAAAAUAUUUUACACAGAUUCAAUCAAACACCAGAAAAUAUUUUCCAGUAAAUCAUUUUACAGAAAAGUAAAACAUUUUCCAGAAAUCAUUUUACGGAAAAUAUUUUACUGGCAAUCAAACAGACUUAAUAUGUAUGAAAAUCGAAAAGUAAUUAUUUUUCUUAUACUCUUAGAAUUUUUUUUUCAACUUUAUAGUUUUUUUUAAAAUUUUAAAAUUUUUUUAUGAUUUUAUAUAUUUUAAAUUUUAAUUUUCAAAUAAUGCUCCCACAUGUUUUAUUCUGACGCGUCAUAUGGCGGUAUACUACUGCCUAUGCCAAUCAGUCACUCAAGUAUCUAAAAAAAGAAGUGUAAAUUAUACUAGUAUUCACUCAACUCUUAGAAUUUUUUUUGUCACUUAACUAAGAAAAGUUAUAAAAAUAGUAAAUUUUUAUUUUGGUCAUUCAACUAUGAAAAGUUAUAAAAUGAUCACCAAACUAUUCAAUUAUGUCUUUUUUGGGUCACCAACUGGUUAAUGAUGACAACCUUUAAAAUUUUCAUAAUAGCAACUUGAACUCUCAACAUUUAUAAAAUAUGUCAAUUCAGUCUUUAUCCUAAAAGAAAUUAACCUUCAAUAUUUACACAUUCUAUAAUUUGGUCCUUUUUUGUUUGUAGUUUUACUUUUCUUUAGACCCUUUCAUAUGAAAUACUGAAAAAAAAAAUAUAUGAAAUACUAAAAAAAUAAAUUUAUCAACUACAUUUGAUUGAAAAUAUACAAAAAAAAUAGGAACACCAAAAAAUCUAAGAUAAUAAUUUUCAUAUUUUCUCAUUCUUUUAAAAUUAGCCCCCAAUAUCAUAAAGAAAAGUAAAAUUACAAAAAAGAUAGACCACAGUACACAAUGUGUAAAUGUUGAGAGUUAAAUUUACUAUUAUGUCAAUUUUAAAAGAUGUCACCAUUAGCCAGUUGGUGAUUGAAAAGACUAUUUUGUAACUUUUCAUAGUUGGGUGACCAAAAAAGAAAUUUACUAAUGGUUGAGGAACUAUUUUGUAACUUUUCAUAGUUGAGUGACUACUAAAAUAAUUUUGCUCAAUUCAAUGAAGAUAUUUUUUUUUUGGCUACUUGUUAACUCGGACAAUUAUUUUACAAUUUUACUUUAGAAGGCAAUAACACAAUGCCACAUGGCAGCCUCAAUUUACAAUAUUUGGUAAGCAUUAUUUAAGAAUAAUAUAAAGUAGAGAUAAAUUGAAUAAUAAAAUAUGAAGAACAAAAGUGUUGUUUUCAUUGGUUUCUUUCUAUUUUCCAAGUUAUUAGUACCUCAUAACAAAUAUCUGUCAUACUUUUCUUUGGGAGUAGUAAUAUUUGUUCUACUUUUGUUCACAGCUUCAACGACUCUGCUUUCAGAUUUAGAGUUGGAGCAGUCUCCUUGAAGAAAGGAGCACGCCUUUUGAACCUCACAUUAUAACCUUAAUCUUAAGGGGUAACUCUCAACCUUUUCAUAACUUUUCUUUAAUUUCAUUUAUUAUUCGCUCAACUGUAUUCUCUACCACUUAGCAGAUUUGUUAUGUGAAUUCAGAUUAACAACAAUGUGUUUGGAGCUCUGUCUCGGUACUGCUUCUAGUUUCCUGGCAACAUUGUUGGUAGACUAUUUACUGAAGCCGAUCGAACGUCGUAUUCGUUACUUAUUUCGUGCCAAGCUUCCUAACUUAAAUUUGGUCACAUCUAAGAAUCAUGUGGAUUCAAAAUCUUCGGAUGCUGCUUUCAAUAAGAUCAUGGAGGCAUUGAUGGAUGAUGAAGUAAAAAAAAUAGGGGUGUGGGGGAUGGGAGGGGUGGGCAAAACCACCUUAGUAAAAAAGGUGGGUGGUGAAGCCAAAGGAUUUCAUCGAGUUAUAAUGGUCACUGUGUCCGAAACUGUAAAUAUUGAAAAAUGUUGCGGAAAGGAUCGAUUCGAGAACUCCGAUAUGACUACAAGUAAAUUGACCGAAACGAAAAAUAAAGUGAACACAAGGAUUUACGUGGUUCGGCUUUAAUGCCUACGUCCACGGGCAGAGGCGAAAAGAAAUUUCACUAUAACAAGAUGAAGAUUACAAGUGUUUUACACUCAAGACACAACCCGAGAACCUCACAACUCUCAACCCCUAUAGAAAACCCGAAAGCUAAAAUCCUAGCUUUCAAAGAACAAGCUUUGCUCUCUCUUGGUUUGGGAUGAUAAAUAUGGCUAAUGAACCUCUCUAUUUAUAAGAGAGUUCAAGGACAUAAUUGUCCAAAACUUUGGCAAAGAUUUGUGGUUGAAAAUGGACACCAACAACCAUCCACUAAUCCACUACCACCAACAACCCACUACCAACAACAACAAUCCACUACCAAUUUUAAGCCAUUUCUUAACAAAUCUCCACCUUGGCUUGAAAUUUACCAAGCUGAACAUCAUAGUGAACUGGAUCACCUCUUCCAAACGCCUCUCUGGCGCUAAUCAAUCCCGAAUACCUAUCAAGUCCAAGCAAUGCUUGAACUUAUAUGCAGGGAUCACCUUAGUUAACAUAUCUGCAGGAUUCUUCUCGGUAGCAACCUUGCUGAUAACAAUGUCACCUUGCGUAACAUGUUCCCGAACAAAAUGAUAUCUGACAUCAAUGUGUUUGGUCCGUUCAUGAAACAUCUGAUUUUUAGUCAGAUGUAUGGCACUCUGGCUAUCGCAAAAUACAACAGUGAAAUCCUGUUGUAAACCCAAACUGCUUACUAGACCUUUCAUCCACAAUGCUUCUUUCACUGCUUCUGCUAACGCCAUAUAUUCCGCCUCAGUCGUAGAUAAGGCUACGGUAGACUGUAACACAGCUUUCCAACUAAUGGCUCCUCCAGAAUAAGUGAAAACAUAACCCGUCAGAGAUCUUCUUUUGUCCAGAUCUCCAGCAUAAUCAGAGUCCACAUAGCCCGUGACACUGCUAGUGCAGUCACUCUGAUCAUAUACCAAGCAUAAAUCUGCAGAACCUCUCAAGUACCUGAGAAUCCAUUUCACGGCCUGCCAGUGUUCCUUGCCAGGACAACUCAUGUAUCUGCUGACCACACUAACUGCAUGUGAAAUGUCUGGACGAGUGCAAACCAUUGCAUACAUCACGCUUCCAACUGCACUCGAGUAUGGAAUGUGAGACAUUUGCUGCUUUUCUUCAUCAGAUUGUGGUGACAACUCUGCAGAGAGUUUGAAAUGUGGUGCCAACGGAGUACUCACAGUUUUCGCUUUAUCCAUGCCGAAGCGUUGAAGAACCUUUUCAAUGUAGUUCUUCUGCGACACACGAAGCUUGCCCGCCUUGCGAUCUCUGUGAAUAUCCAUGCCCAAAAUUUUCUUGGCAGCACCCAGAUCCUUCAUCUCGAACUCACCACUCAACUGCGACUUUAACUUGUUGAUUUCCGACAUGUUUUUGGAAGCAAUUAACAUGUCAUCAACAUACAGCAACAAAUAAAUGUGCGAACCAUCUGAGAGCUUCCGAUGAUAGACACAAGCAUCAUAGUCACAUCUUGUGUAACCAUGCUGAAUCAUGAAGCUAUCAAACCGCUUGUACCACUGCCUUGGGGAUUGUUUCAAUCCAUAUAAAGACUUCUUUAAUAGACAGACAUGGUCUUCUUUACCAGGAACUGUAAAACCCUCUGGUUGACGCAUGUAGAUUGUUUCCUCGAGCUCACCAUGCAAGAACGCCGUUUUUACGUCAAGCUGCUCAAGUUCUAGAUCAGACUUGGCCACCAUGGCAAGUAAUAUACGAAUGGAAGAAUGCUUUACGACUGGGGAGAAAACUUCAUUGUAGUCAAUCCCCUCUUUCUGAGUGAAGCCUUUAGCAACCAAUCGUGCCUUGAAUCUAGUUGCUUCAACCCCUAGGAUGCCUUCCUUUUUCUUGAAGACCCAUUUGCAACCAACUAUCUUCUGGUUACUUGGCGGCUUAACCAACUCCCAAGUAUGGUUCUUGUGAAGAGAUUCUAUCUCCUCACUCAUAGCAAUUGCCCACUGUGCCGACUCAUCACACGUGACAGCCUCAUUAUAACUGGAAGGUUCUAUACCAAUGGACUCCGCCACACUGAGCGCGAAAGACACCAGAUUAGCGUAACGCGGAUUUGGUUUGAUUUGUCUCUUCGUUCUUCCAGUGGCAAUGCUAUAUGGUUUUUCUUGAGGUGACUUAUCUUCAUCGGAAUCUUGCACCUCAACUUGAUCAUCCUGGACUGAAGUACCUUCCGUAGGAAUUGGAGCGUCCACCUGACACUCCACCUGCUUCUCAACACCGUGAUCUCCCAUUCUAUCUGACUCCUCCUUUUCCCGGGAAUUUGUGGUGGAUCGAAGCAUGGAUGACUCAUCAAAAGUCACAUCUCUGCUGAUGAUGAACUUGGACGAAACCGGAUCAGGACACCACAACCUGUAUCCUUUCACCCCUUGGCCGUAUCCAAGAAAUAUGCAUUUCUUCGCCCUCGGUUUGAGUUUUCCCUCAUUUACAUGAGCAUACGCAGGGCAGCCAAACACUCUUAAACCAGAGUAAUCAGCAGGAGAACCAGACCAUACUUCCUCAGGAGUCUUCAGCUCAAUAGCUGUUGACGGAGAUCUGUUAACCAAAUAACAAGCAGUAUUAACAGCUUCAGCCCAAAAUUCUUCACCGAGCCCAGCAUUUGAUCGCAUGCAACGAGCUCGCUCCAAGAGAGUUCUAUUCAUGCGUUCUGCAACUCCAUUUUGUUGUGGUGUUCGACGAACAGUGCGGUGUCUCACUAUUCCUUCAUUUUUGCAGAACUCAUUGAAUUCACCUGAGCAAAACUCCAAGCCAUUAUCCGUCCGGAAUCGCUUGAUCUUCUUUCCUGUUUGAUUUUCGAUCAAAGCUUUAAAUUGCUUGAAGUUGAUGAGAACCUCAUACUUGCUCUUCAGAAAAUACACCCAAACCUUUCUCGAGUAAUCAUCGAUAAAGGUAAGCAGAUAUCUGUAACCACCUUUAGAAAUUGUCGGAGAAGGCCCCCAAAGGUCAGAAUGGAAGUAAUCCACUGUGCCUUUUGUCUUGUGAAUCCCAGUGCUGAACUUUACCCGAGUCUGCUUACCGAAGACGCAGUGCUCACAGAAAUUCAACUUUCCUGUACACUGCCCAGACAAUAAUCCUCGUUUGCUUAGCACCGAUAAGCCUCUCUCGCUCAUAUGCCCGAGCCGCAUAUGCCAUAACUUCGUGGUGUCAGAAUCUAGAUCAUCUGAUGAUGACACUCCCGCAACACCUGUAACCGAGGAACCAUCGAGGAAGUAAAGGCCCCGCUCCAAAUUACCACGUAUCACAGUCAAAGCACCCGAGAAUACCUUGAGAACUCCACCUUCAGCAGAGUACCGAAAGCCUUUCUUGUCCAACGUACUCAAAGAGAUCAAAUUUUUCUUCAUUUCUGGAAUGUGCCGAACAUCAGUUAGAGUUCUAACAAUACCGUCAAACAUCUUUAUACGAACUGUGCCAAUCCCCAUGACUUGACAUGCGUGGUCAUUUCCCAUUAGUACUGAACCAGAAUGCUUCUCGUAUGUUGAGAAUGCAUCUUUCGAAGUACUUAUAUGAAAUGUAGCUCCCGUAUCAAGAAUCCAUCUCCCACCAGCGUAAGAGUCGGAUACUGCAAGAACGAUCUCGGCAUCACUUGAAGAAUCUGCAUCAGCUACAUUCGCACGAUCAUUUUGUUGCUCCUGUGAUUCUGAUUUCUCCUUCCUUUUCGGACAAUCUACCUUCAUGUGCCCGUACUUCUUACAGUAGUAGCACUGUAUUCUCUUCUUGGACUGCGAUCUAGGAUGGCUUUUACUUGAACUUCCACCCUUUGCCUUGGAUCUUCCUCGAGCAACCAAGCCUUCGCCUUCAUUGUUUUCGACCACCUUACCAGUGAUUUUCUUCCUCAACUCACUGGAACUUAAGGCAUUUUUCACCUCCUCUAGAGUCAGGUCAUCACGACCGUACAUCAUUGUAUCAACAAAAUUCUCAUACGAGGGAGGCAAAGAACACAAAACAAUUAUUGCUUGGUCCUCAUCAUCGAUUUUGUUAUCGAUAUUAUUCAAAUCCAUGAUAAUGGAAUUGAAUUUAUCCAGGUGCUGGGAAACAGGUGUACCUUCCUCCAUCUUCAGGGCAUAGAGUCUUUGCUUGAGGUAGAGCCGGUUCGUCAAUGACUUCGUCAUGUACUUGCUCUCUAACCGGAGCCACAAACCGGACGCGGUUUUCUCAUCCGCUACUUCUCGUAGCACUUCAUCUCCUAGACAUAGCAGAAUAGCACUAUGUGCUCUUUCUAGCAUGUCAUCCUUUUGCUCUUCCGAAAGCGUGCUUGGUAAUUUAUCUUUACCAGACAAUGCUUUUAGCAAUCCUUGUUGAACCAGCACUGCCCGCAUCUUGAUGCGCCAUAAACUGAAACUAUUUUUCCCGGUAAAUUUCUCGACAUCAUACUUAGUCGAUGAAACACUUGUAGCCAUAAUUUGGAACCUUUGAAUGAAUGAUAAUAUUUUCUUCCUGAUGUGAAAGAUCAGACAAAGCUGCAGUCACAGGGCAAUUCAGAAAAUAUUAUCACUCCUUCAACUACGCUCUGAUACCAAUUUGUUGCGGAAAGGAUCGAUUCGAGAACUCCGAUAUGACUACAAGUAAAUUGACCGAAACGAAAAAUAAAGUGAACACAAGGAUUUACGUGGUUCGGCUUUAAUGCCUACGUCCACGGGCAGAGGCGAAAAGAAAUUUCACUAUAACAAGAUGAAGAUUACAAGUGUUUUACACUCAAGACACAACCCGAGAACCUCACAACUCUCAACCCCUAUAGAAAACCCGAAAGCUAAAAUCCUAGCUUUCAAAGAACAAGCUUUGCUCUCUCUUGGUUUGGGAUGAUAAAUAUGGCUAAUGAACCUCUCUAUUUAUAAGAGAGUUCAAGGACAUAAUUGUCCAAAACUUUGGCAAAGAUUUGUGGUUGAAAAUGGACACCAACAACCAUCCACUAAUCCACUACCACCAACAACCCACUACCAACAACAACAAUCCACUACCAAUUUUAAGCCAUUUCUUAACAAAAAAUUACAAAACAAAAUUGCAGAUGACAUAGACUUGAAAUUUGAGAAGAACACUGAAGGCGGCAAAGCAACAAAGUUAUGGAGUAGAUUGAGUAAUGGAAAGUUUCUCGUAAUAUUCGAUGAUCUAUGGAACGGGUGGGAUGAUGAUGAGGAUUUGAGAAAGAUAGGUAUUCCAUUGAUUAAAGAUAAAAAGGGUUGCAAAAUCAUCUUGACAACACGCAACUAUAAUGUUUGCCAACAUAUGGAAUGUGAGGAGACAGUUCAAGUGAAGGUUUUGGAAGAUGAUGAAGCAUGGGCUUUGUUCGAAAUGAAUGCAGGUCUCAAGAACGCUGAUUCGCGUGUUAUUGGGGAGGCUAAGAAAAUUGCAAAAGAAUGCAAGGGCUUACCUUUAGCCAUUGUAACGCUAGCAAAGGCUUUAAAAGGUAAAGCUCUUGAGAGGUGGAAAGAUGCACGGAAAAAACUUGAAAGAAGUGGAUUAAUGGAGAUUCCAAGCAUUCAAACAGAGAGAGAGAAAAAUGCCUACAUUUCUCUAAAGAUCAGUUAUGAGCAGUUGAAGGACAAGAUGUCCCGAACAUGUUUCUUCCUAUGUGCAUUAUAUCCUGAAGAUCACUCAAUUAAUGUAGAAGACUUGGUGAGAUAUGCUUGGGGUUUGAACUUAUAUGAUAAGACUAACUCCAUUGAAGAAAUGAGAAUCCAAGUUUUGAGCGUCAUCGAUCACCUCAAAGAUUGUUGCUUGUUAGAAGAUGGAGAUGAUGGAAGGUAUGAUCCCUAAACUCUAGGGCAAAACUAGACAUAUUAGCCCUUUUUAUUAAUUGGUAUUUGGGUAUAUUAAGAAGUAGAAUUCUAGAUAGAGUUUUCUUGCUAAAUUUACAAAUUUACCCAAAUUUAAGAAUUUUUAGAUUCGAACAUGAAAAUUAUUAUUUCCCUAUAAAUAGUAUUUAUCUUAAAUUAUAAUUUUAAAUAAUUUUUAACUAUUAAAAUAGAAGUUAAUAUUUGAUACAUUGCUAAUGUAUUUUUAUUAUUAUUUCGUUAUUGCUAAUGAUUGAGAUAUAUAUAUUAUAGCUAAAUUUCAUAUUUUCCUUCUUCUUUUUGCUUUAUUAGUUCCUCUUCUUCCUAGUGUUCCUUUUCUAGUUUCUUUAUAUUUUCAUCUCCUAAAAAUUGUAUUGUAAUAAUAAAACACUGUUUAACGUAUUUACUUUUAUUUUGGCUUCAUCAAGUAUGUUAAGCGAUAUGGAGAUGUUAAAAGAUAUGAUACUGGCAAAGCUGCACAUGUACAUAUAUCUGUCCAAAUUAUUACUUUAAUGAGUUGGCAUUUCCGUAUCUUAAGAGCUUCUUUUAGGAAAAUAUCUUUUUUCUUCUUCAUGAAAACUAGAUUUAUUUUCUGAAAAAUGAUUUCUUCUUUUAAUAAAUGUAAGUAAUUUUUUAUUAGUAAUUUAAUUUUUAUAUAAAAAUUAAUUUAAAAAAGUCAUAUAUUAUUAUAUUAAUAAUAAAAUUUUAUUUUAUAAAAACAUUAAAUUAUUAAUUUCAAAUAUUAUAAUUUUUAUUAUUAAACAUACAUAUUUGUAUUUAACCAUAUAAUAAAUUAUUAAUAUAAUUUAUUCUUUUAGUAAAAUUAUUUAAUAUUAAAAUUUUAUUUUAAUGAUAAAAAUAACAUUAAUAAUAAAUUUAAAAUUUAAAUAAUGUUCUUAAUAUUUUAUAGAAAAAAUAUAAUAUUUUGACAAUAAAUAUAUUACAAUCUAUAAAUGUUUAGUAAUACAUAUUUUAUAUUAUAAAAUAUUGUUAUUUUAAUAAAAUAAAUACAAAUAUUUGUUUGAAUCCUACUUCAUUUCAUUUAGCCAUUAUCAGGAAUCUUGAGAUAAUUUUAGAUAUCACAUGAAUCCUGGUAAUCGAGGGGCCCUUUGUAUUCCUUGUUCCUUUGCUCUGCAUUUUCUCAUCUCUGUUUAAGAUUUCUACUGCAACCGUUCUCUCCAUCUUUUUUUCUUUUCACGAAAAAUUAAAAUCUGGUCUUUCCUCUGUUUUCAUCUUCUUCAGUUUGAUUUCCAGUCUCCUCCUUUUAACAGGAAACGGAAGAAGCUACCUCCUUUUAAGUUCUUCAAAUAAAAAAUAUUAAUUGAAUAUUGACAAGUAAAUUGAUAUAAUAGUCAUGUUGACAAUGGAUCAAAUAUUAAUAAAAUUUUAAAUGACAUAUUUUUUAAUCUUUUCAUACUAUUAUAUUAUUAUUUAUUUUAUGUGAUAUAAAAAUAAAAAAAAUUAUAAUACAAUUGUAUUCUCUUUUAUUUUGGCUUGACUAGGUACGUUAAGUUACAUGACAUAGUUCGUGAUGUUGCUCUAUGGAUUGCAUCGGAAGAAAAAAGUGAUUUUAUGAUCAAAUCUAGAUUGGAGUUACUAAAUAGAAGCUCUGAAUCUUGUAAAGCAAUAUCAUUGUUGGACGAUAAAGAGAAAAAUUUUCCUGAUAGCUUGAUUCUUUCGGAGCUUGAGAUCCUAUUGCUUAAGAAUUGUAAUGUACAAGGUACAUGUUUUCUAGAAAUGAGAGAACUAAAAGUUUUAAGUCUUACAGCUGUAGAUGGUUCUACGGGGGUUAUUUCCUUAUAUGCUCUUUCGUCCCUGCAAAAACUUCGUGCUCUACAUUUGGAGAAUUUUGAGGACUUUUCGUUCCUUGGAAAGUUAACGACACUUGAGAUUCUAAGUUUGCGUCAUUCAAAAUUAAAGGGUUUGGCGGAUGAAUUAGGGAGGUUGAAAGAUUUAAAGAUAUUGGAUCUUACCGAUUGUGCAUUUUCCUCAAGCUUUUCCUCUAAUGUCAUUCGAAGGUUAUCUCAGCUAGAGGAGUUGUACCUAUCAAUCACGACAAAUGAUAUCUGUCUCGUGUCUUUGGCCAAAUUAACGAGACUAAAUCUUUGGGUAUAUUUUCCUCCAGAGUUUGAGUUUCCUGAAUUAGAAAAUUACAAUAUAUGCAUAAACCAUAGCAGCAGCAGGCUUGAUAAUCGUUUUGAGGAAGCAAGAUCCUUGAAGGUUGAGACAGUGUUUCCUUACAAUGCAGUUUCCCAAUUACUUGGGAAUUUAGAGUCUCUUGUAGUGUCAGGUAUCAAGGAUGAGUAUGUAGAAUGCUUGACUAAUAAAACACAACAAAAGGUGUCGGUAUCAAUGAUCUUACGAAACCUAAAACGAGUGACAAUUAAACACUGCAGCAAUCUAAAAGUGGUAUUUCAAAUGGAGGAGGUGGAAGAAAAUGAAGCUCCGCUCCUUUCAAAUUUAAAGAUUUUACGUCUUGAAGACUUGCCAAAUUUGAGUUGCAUAUGGGAAUUGCCAACCCAACAUGUAAGACUUGAAAGCUUAGUUGAAUUGACUAUAGAAGAGUGCCCACGUUUGAAAUCACUCUUUUCACUUUCUCUUGCUCAAAGUCUCGUACUCUUGGAAGUACUUGACAUAGGAUACUGUGAUGAGUUGAAGCAAAUAGUGACAGAAUUGGAAGGUGACGAGGGAGAAAUAUCGGCCAUCAAUUCUCAUACUUCUUUGUGUUUCCCAAAGUUAACAGAGCUCAACAUAUCUACUUGUGAUGGUUUGGAGUAUAUUUUUCCGACAUCACUGGCAUCAGAUGGGCUUCAGGGUUUGACUCUUGACAUACGUGGUUGCCAUAAAUUAAAGCAAGUGUUUAGAGUUGCCAAUGAUAGUAUGCUCCAAUAUCAGCAGUCCUUGAAAUUGUUAUCGUCCUUUUCAAUGUCUGAUUGCCCUCUAUUAACUGAUUCAGUUGUUCAUUUAGAAGCUGAGAAUGCUUCCAUAAAGGUACAUUCUUUUUCUCCCUUUCUAAUUACAUUAUUGAUUUUUUUUUUUCAUAAAGGAUGCAUAACUCAUAUUGAUUUUACCGCAAAAUGUUUAAGAUAUUUUAACCAUACUACAAUUGGCACUGUUAUGCAUGUGGAAGUAAAUAAUACAAAAAUAAUAAUUAUUGGUGGUUCAAAAAUAUCAUUAGUUCUUUUUUUAUAUAAAAAAAUACGACAUCGACAACCUUGUUAAUAAAUAUUAUUUUACACAUUUUUUUUAUAAUUUUAAUGAGUUUUACUCUUUUUGUUGUUGGGAAUAAUAAAGUAGAAUGAAUCUCAUUCUUUUAACUUCCACUGAAAACAGAGUUAAAAUAUAAAACAGAGUUAAGCAUAUCCAUAUGCACAAUUAUAUAUUUAUUUGUAUUCCACAAAUGCAUUAUUUUAUUACACAAAAACCAUUUUUUAUGAGUUUGAUUACUUUAGCUUUUCAUUUUUAAGGAAGCUAUAUUUUUUACGUUUUCAUUAAAUGUACAUUACUCUAAUUGAUAUAUAAAUAUAUAUAUAUAUAAUUUGCGUUUUAAUGAUGAUGAUUUACGUGAAUUACAAUCAGAAUGUUCGAUUGUCAGCAUUCAAGGAAUCAUUCAAAACUUCGAAACAACUUGAGCUAGAUUCAAUUAAGGAUCAUAAUCUGGUUCCAGAAGCUAAUGAAGAUGGACUAAAUGGAGUAACUUCACUUCAACUUGAGAAUUGCGAGGAUCUUGAAUGCUUGGUUGAUACCACCGCUACUGCAACAAAGAAUGGCAUUCACUCAUUUGGAGACAUUAUUUAUAGAAGAUAUGGAUGGGUUGGAAGCCUUAUGCAAGGGUCAGCCUCCACAAGGUUUCCUCAAAAACUUGAAACAUCUGGAAGUUAGAGAAUGUUGUAAGUUGCAAGUGUUGGGUGAGCUUCUUCAUGACGGAGAAGAAAAUCAAGAGCACCCACUUUCAAAUUUACGAUCUUUGACGCUCUAUCAAUUACCAGCAUUGAGAUGGAUAUUCAAAGGCUCACCCCAUUCUUUCACCCUCCAAAGUCUUAAGGUUGUAGCCAUAAAUGAUUGCGGAAAAUUGAAAUCCCUUUUUUCACCUUCCCUUAUUCAAAGCCUAGUGCUUUUAGAAGAACUCGAGAUACAAUUCUGCGACGAAUUGAAAACUCUUUUCGCUGAUCCGGAAAUUGAUGGUGAAAUAGAAUCAAAGCCUUCUUCCCUUCCUCUCCGCUUGCCCAAAUUGAAUACUCUUUCCAUCAAAGACUGUGCAAAACUGGAAUAUGUUGUGUCAAUCACCUUGGCUCAAGGUCUUCCUGCUCUUGAAUCGCUUUCGGUUUCUUGCUGUGAUGAGUUAAAGCAAGUAUUCGGCAUGCCAAAUGAACAAGAUGGAGUUCAACACCAUGGUAGCCUGCUCCUUCCAAGUCUACAAUAUCUAAAACUUCGUGGGUUAGAAAACUUGACUAGUUUUGUCCCACAAAACUAUAUUGUCAAAACACCAUCUUUGAAAAGAAUGAAAGUUAAGGGUUGUUCUAAAGUGAUGAACCUUCCCAUUCAACAAGCCAACAAUCAGCUGGACUUAAAGUUAGAGGUACGCUUUUCUUACUCUUUUUUCCUUUUCUGGAUUUUUUAUUUGAUUUUUCUAAUUAUUAAACUUUUUCAUACCAUGCCCCUCCCAACCUUAAAAUUGAGCUUAAAAAAUAUAUAAAAAUAGUUGUAUUUGCUGUUUAUAAUUAUCAUAUAUCUUGUUCGUAAUUGUUAUGCCAAUCUGUUGUUAUAUAUAUAUUUUUAUUAUACUAAUAUGUUAUUAUAUUAAUCUAAUAUUUAAUUUAUUCUUUCCUUAAUUAAUUAAUGAUUUGUUUUCAUUUAUGUGAUGAAUUACAAUUAGGAAACUGGAUUAUCGGCAUUCAAGGAAUUGUUAUGCAAUACAAACGAUCUUAUUCUUUACUAUAUUGGGGGUCACAAAAAUCUCGUCCCAGAUCUUAUAGAUUUGGAACAUUUAGACGGAUUAACUUCCCUCUCUAUUAACUACUGGCAAGGUGGUGAAUGCUUGGUUGAUAUAUCCCAAGCAAUGAUGGAUUUCAAGUACAAUGACCGAUCUCCCAAGUGUUUCUUGCAAAAUCUCAAAAUUUUGAGAGUUGUUGGAUGUGGAAAAUUUUCAAAGAUAUUUCGAAUGGAUGAUGGAAUAGAAUCAAACGCACAUGACUUGCCAAACUUGAAAAUUCUAGAGAUUAAAGGAUGCUCGAGUUUAGAAUAUGUCUUCCCACAUGCUUCAGUUGGAGUUUUUUCUUAUCUACAGAAGGUAGAACUUGUUAAAUUGAGAAGCUUGAGGAGUAUUGUUGGAGAAGAAAACUUUUUGGAAGCACCUACUUUGGAAAUUUUACAUAUCCAAGAAUGUUCCGGGUUUACAAAUUUUACGAAAUGUGUUUCUUUGAAGGUACUUUCGCUUACACUUUUGAUUACUUAAUUCCCUUGUUUUUUUAUUUCAAAAAGAAGUUAAAAAGUUUGUAAAUUUGUCUGUCAUUUUUAUUAAAAUCUAAUUUCCUAAGAAAAGUGGAAAGUCUCUAAUGCACAAUUUGUUAAUAGACUUUUACAUCAAUUCGUGUAAUUAAAAGUUAAAAAGAAGACUAAAUAUGAGAGUGCAAUACUUACUUGGUUGAUAUUGAAAGAACUUAUAAGAAUAACACUUUCCUGUGCUUUUGUGCAGGACUUGACCUUCUUUCUGGAAGAUAUAGAUGGUGAAGAUGUCAAGUCAUGCAAUAUGAUAAACACUCAGUUGAGUAAAAAAUCACCAGAUUUCGAAUAUUUAACUUUGGGAAACUUUGAACAAUUGUUUCAGCUUCAGGGUGGAAAUAUCAUCUCAAGUCUAGAGAGAAUGGAGCUUUCUAAUGUGAUUAGGUUGCAAGAUAUAUGGAAGGUUCCCAUCCAUGUUGCAACCAAUCUUAGAGAACUAAGGGUUUGCCGCUGCAAUAAUUUGACAUACAUCUUUCCAGUUACGCUCAUUCCACAUUUACCACAAUUAAGCAUCCUAAACAUAGUGUCAUGUGAGAACUUGAAGCAAAUAAUUGGAAAUGAUGACAUUUUAGCAUCUUCAUCAUCAUCACAAGGUCCUCAGCCGGAGAUGAAAAUGGUAUUCCCUUGGUUAAAGCAAAUACUACUUCAAAAAUUGUCAAAGCUAGAGAGCUUCAGCCCUGUGCGUUAUCAUCUGGAAUUCCCAGGUUUGCAUUUGCUUCGCAUUAAGCAAUGUUCCAAGAUGAUCACAAGUUUCAGUGCAGAUUAUUUAACGUUGGCUGUGCAUGCUAAAACUGAUCAGGUAAUUUAUCCUCCCAACACUCUUUUACUUGAGUUUUUCCACUAUUGUUUCUAAUAUAUAUGAAAUUGAGUAACUUUCAUUUUAUUUUUAUGUUAUUCUCAAUGAAAUUUAAUUUGAUAUGAAAUGAAGGCAUCUCAGCUAAAUGAUACCAGUCCCUCACGGGAAGAUAUAAUCUGGGGAAGGAGAAUUCCUACCUUACUACCUCAGUAUAAAGAAGUACCUCAGUCUAAAGAAGAAGCUGAAGACAUUUCACCCUCUUAGUGAAAAAUGUUGCAAAAAUCAUUCUUGAACCUAAAUCACGUCAAUUGUACCAACAGUCAACACUAGUCAAUUAACUAGGUAAAUAUGGCAUGACCAUUUACCCCCCUUCUCGCCUUGGUUUUUUGGUUCUUUUUAUUUUUCUUUUUAGUUCUAAUUAUUACUUAUUUAUUGGUUAUGUUUUUCAAAGUCUGAUCGAUCGAGUUGCUUCUUUUAUGGAAUAUCUACUCGUUCUUUAUUUUUUGUACAGAGUUUGAUGCAUUUGCACCUUGAAAAGCAUUUUAAAACACCCAUUGGUUAAUUUUUGUUGCACUGAAUAAAUUAAUUUGUUGAUUUUGUUUGACAGAAAUAAAUGAGCAUUUAAAAGCUAAAAUCUUGACAGAAAUAUUUGGUACGUCCAAGGCAUAGUUUAUUUACUAAGUACUGAUUUGUUCAGCUAUAUAUCUAUUCCUUUUCAUUGUAUUGGGCAGGAUUCUAUAUUGAGGGAUUACACACUAUGCCAGCCCUCUAAUUUAGGGGACUGCAUCAUCUCUACCGUAAUGGUGGUGUUGCUAAUUUGCCUGCAAUCAAAGAGAAGUAUGGUCAGUACAUGGUGAGUAGGUGCUCCAUCUUUACUGGGCAAACAUUUUUACAACAAUGCUACAUAGUUCGCUUAAGUUUUUCAUAAGAGCUUGAUCUGAAUUUCAGACCUUGCUUCAAGUGGUGAAGAGUGGGAAUGGGCAAGUUCCAUUACUGACUAUUUAUUGAAACCAUUAAUGUCUUCUCUAGUAACAAAAGUCCUACUGCAAAUGUAUAUUUUCCUGAAAUCUGUCAUGUUUACAUACUGUUGAUUGAAUUGUGCAAGAUUAUGUGGAGCUUUUAAGUAUUAUGUGGAGUCUUUGGUUCCAUAGGAACCUUUUUGCAUGGCAAACGAAAAGUGCUUCAACCGCUCAUAUCCAAGCUUUUUCUGUCUCUUUUAUGUAAGAUUGGAAUGAUGUAUGACGAACUAUUGAUAAAGUUCAAGAGCCUGGAGCAGUUUCUGGUGUUGUGGGUUCAUGCUGGUGAAAGCCGCCUGUGGAAUGGGUGAAGUGCAAUAUUAAUGCCACGUUAUUUAAGGAGGAGAAUGCUGCAGGCUGGUCUGCUGUAGUCCGUGAUGCAAAGGGUCAUGUUAAUCCAAUGAUGGCUCCUAAAGUUGCUGAAUUAUACGCAGUCAAGGAGGCCUUAAUUUGGGCACAGUCGAAACAAUGAUGUCUAUAAAUUUGGAACGCUGGUUUAAAGAUUAAUAUAUCCAACUUUAGUCUCAUUUUCUGUAUUUAUACUUCAUUUAGACUCUUAAAAGCACUAAAAAGGUAACUCAUAUAAUGUGAAUUAUAGUGAAUGGAAGAUUUCUAAGUUAUCUUAUUUAUGUUCUGCUUAUAAAUAUUUCAUAUGAUGGAUCAAUUCAAGAGAUAGGGAUUAGAAUUAGGUGUAUGGAUUGAGAUUUUAGUUAUCGUUUCUCCUCUUUUUUUUUUUAAUCAUUCCUUAUAUGUGUUUUUAAGUUAUUAAUGAAAUAUUUCCUUUCAAAAAUAUAUAUACCUAUUUAUCAAAUCUAUUUACUAUUUAUCAUCAUUAUAAUGAUUAAGUAUUAUUAAGAAAGUUGAUUUUAUUUUUUUUAUAUAAUUUUGUCAUUCACUAAUUAAGUGGAUGUACAUGAUUUAUAAUAUAUAAAAUAAUUUCAUAUUAAAUAUUUAAAUAAUUCCAUUUUAAAAUAUUAAUUCAUUUAAUAAAAUAUGACUAUACUUUCAAAAAAAAUAAAAUAUUAUUAGUAUAUUUUUAUAUUAAACAUUUUAUUUAAAUAAUAUCCUCAUUAUUUAUAUUUCGAAUAAAAUUAAGUUUACUAAAAUUUGAUAUAAGAAAAUGUUAUACAACAUCUAAUUUAAUUUAUUAUUGUUCAAUCCAUAGACAACACCUAUAUCUACCAUUUAUAAAAAGAAUUAAAAUUAUAUCUAUAAUGUUAUUUAAGCUCCCGAUGGACUUGGUGUCACGAAUCAGUCGGGCAUCAAUUCAGUUAGAAAAAAAUGGAAAUGUUCUUCUGUAAUGAAAAUAAAUCAUAUUUGUCGAAACCAUUUUUCUGAAAAAGGGGUCGACUUUGAUUUUGAAAACGAAAACGAACAUGGGAAUCGCUACAGAUCCUUUUUUAUGAGGUGUGACCGUGUCACCUUGUAAAUUGAUCGCUUUAAUAAGCGAUUUGAUUUACUAAAACAAAGACUUUUGGUCUACAAAAUUCAGGAAACGGUUCGGGAGUCAGUUACGCACGAGGAAUGAUUACCACCCUCGUAACGCCCGAAAUUAGUAACUAGUUGAUUAAUUAAAGUUUUAGUGCCGAAAUUUAAAAAUUCGAAAGAAGUUUGAAACGCGGUCCCUCUUUUGCAUAACGAUAUUUUUAUUUGAAAUCUUUUAAUUAAAUCCAAACUUAUAUAAGAAGCUUUCUUAUUUCAAGUUAAUGAAAAGGACAUGUCCCGUAAGUUAGGACAUGACAUCUCGUAUUCUCGGAAAUAAAAUCGCUCGUCAUAUAGUUAUUGUUUAAAUCUCAAGUAUUUUAGUUUUAAAAUGUAUGUUCAAUUAUCUAGAUUCAAGGAGAAAGUCAAACCCCGUAAGUUAGGGCACGACUUCUCGGAUCUCCAAAUACAGAACAUUGCCUUAAUUUUAAAUUUUCCUUCAUCGAGUAACUACAAAUGUAAUAUCUAAAACGAUAUGUAUCUAUCUUAUUUGGGCAUAAUACAACCAUGGGGGAAUAUGUCUAAACAUGAUUCAUGAUGUGAUUUUAAUGAAAUAAGAUAAAAUGGUAAUGUAGAAAAUGGAACAAUGAUAUACGAAUAAAAUGUUGCGCUAGUAAAUGAUAAUAAUAUGAACAUACUAAUAAAAACAAUUCAUAAUAAAUAUAAUGGCGAUAAUCACAUAAUAUAUACUACUCUAAUACUAAUAUGAAUAAUCAAAGAAAAUAAAAUAAAAUAAAUAAUAAUAAUAACGACAAAAUAUGUGCAAAAAAAAAAGGCCAAUACGAGUUUUAAAUAUAAUAAGGAUGAGGAAAUAAAUAAAUGACUACAUAAAUAAAUGAAUGAAUAUAGAGGAAAAUAGUUUAUAAAAUAUUGAAAAUAACGGACCAAAUUAAAAUAUAAAUGAAAUUAGGGAGCAAUUUGUAAUAAAAUACAUAAAUAGAUAAUGAUAAUAUAUAAAUAAAAUAAAUAAAUAAAUAAAUAAAUAGAUGCCCGAUAAAAAUAAAGGAAAUAUUUGAAUAUAACAAAAAGCAAAAAGAAAAUACUAAAUAAACAGAUAAAUAAAUAAAUAAUUUGAAUAAAUAAAGGACCUGAUUGUUACCUAAAUUAAAUUAAAAGGAUAAGUUAAGAUAAAAUAAAUAAACAAAAGACUAAAAUGAAAGGCGCGAAAACGAAUGAGGACCCAAGGAGCAAUUAUCCCAAUCCCCAGCACACGCGUCCUUUCUCUAGGAGAUCAGCGAAUUGAGGACUUAAUUGAAAGCGGGAUAAAAUUGAAUGGUAAAAUCUUUAAAAAUAAAAAAAUAGUGAAAUUAGGACUGAAUUAAAACAACCUAAAAGACGGAAGGACAAACAUGCAGAUCCUGGAGUGGGUCGGUCGGUUUUCGGGUCGGCCUCAAAACGACGCCGUUUUGAGGCGCUUGGGGCCUGGAUGAAACGUCUCUGUUCCACUACUGCUAUUUAAGUUAAUUUUUUUCAAAAAUCUCAUUUCUGCCCAUGAUAUUAUUUAUUUGAAUUAGCAUAUGAUAUUAUAAAAAUAGAGGACUAAAUUAUGUUACAUUAAAAGUAGAUGGAUUAAUUUUAAAAUUUGAGCAUAAUAGAGGAACCAAAAUUAACUUUGACUUGUCUAUUAAUAUAAUAGGGUAAACUACACCACAAAUCACCCAUUUAUUGCUCUAUUUCUUUUUUGAUCACUCAACUAUCGUUUUUUUAAUUUGACCAUCUAACUAUUGCACUUUUUUUUUGUCACCCAACUAUCAUUUUUUUUUUAAAAUUUGGACAUGCAACUAAUUGAAAUUGUUUUUGUUUGUCCAUUCCCAUUAAGUAUUUGACAAGAAAAAUGACGUGACAAUUAAAAAAUUAGUAUAAUAACAAAUUUAACACCAACUUUUAUAUAUUAUAUUGAUUUAUUAUUAUAUCAAUUUUAAUUUCAUGGCACUUGACAAAAAUAUACCAAAAAAAAAAAUCUAAUUUAAAUAAAUGAAAAAAAGGAGGAGCAAUAAUGUAGUUUACCUAUAUAAUUAUAAGAUGUGGGCCGAACCUAAUGGCCUAUAAUGUUUUAUUUUCCGAGACUGCCCUGCAAUCAUUUAAGCAAGUCAACUAACGUCAAGCUGAUCUCCUUUGAUUUUGCAACAUUGGCUGCUGAAAUACCGGUAUAUUUCUCAUCACUUAGGCAAACCAUUCCAGAGUUGAUAUUAAAGAAGAAAACAGCAGAGAGGGUGAAGCAACGCCAAGGUAACAUAUAUUUUCCACAGUAGCUAAGUAUAUUUAUUUGAAUCAACAUCUGAUUUGAAUCGCUUUUCUCGCAACAAAUUCGUAUAAUCAGACGCUUUUCUCGUUUGCUUCAUCUGAGUGUAAUAUUUCAGGUAAGUUUUUCUUUCAUUUUAAAAGAAGGAAGACGAUGGGUGUGGGUUUGAGAAUAAUCUGAUUUCUUCUUUGUUUUGGAGGAAUUUCAAAAAUCUGACUUCCCAGUUUCGCAACAAUCUUACCUUUUAGGUUUUUCUAAGGGUAAAUUAUAAAAAUAGUCACUUUUGUUUGAUUUAAAUUACAUUUUAAUCAUUUAUGUUUGAAAAUUGAUGUUAAAUGCCAACUUGAAUGUCCAGUUGCUAUUUGCUAAGAUGAAAAUAGAUUUUUAAUUAAAUAAAUUUAAUAUGGACUGCCAAAUAGGACAUCCAAGUUGAUAUUUAAAACUCAUUUAGACUGCCACGUAAGACCAUUAUUAGAGAGGUAACAGAGCUUAACGGUAAAGUCACCACUUCGUAACAAAAUGAUAACGUAAGUGACUAAAACAUAACAUUUCAAACAUAAGUGACUAAAAUAUAAUGUGAGGCAAACAAGUAACUAUUUUUGUAAUUUAUCUUUUUUUUAAUAUUACAGUCAUUGAACAAUUUUACAUCUCAUAAUAUAAUAUAAUAAGUAGAGUAGAUGAUAGAGAAGAUCCAUAAUAAUUAGACCUCCUCUGCUUUCCCCAUAUGUGUUUUCCGGCCUCUUAAGACUUUUGUCUAGCAAAUAUUACAACUUCUACUUUCCAUAAGUUAUGGAUUAGUAUUUAUAUUUUAAUUUGAUUAAUUUAAGCCAUUCUUAAUUCCUGUAAUUUUUAAAUUAUUAAAUAUAAUUAAAUUAUUUUAUUUAAUUAAAUCACUUUAAUUAUAUUCAACUUUUACUUCAUAUAAUUCAUACAAAGUAACAUUACUAAAAAUAAUAGCAUAAUUAACAUAUACCAAUUAUUUUAUCAUUCAAAUAUAGUGCUAAUAUUUUUUAAAUAAUUAUUGAAGUCUUCAUUAUUCAAUGUACUAUUCAUAAGUAUUUUAUAUAUGAAAUAUAAAAUACUUAUCAUAUAAAUUAUUUAAAUUUGCUAUUUAGAACCAACAUAUAUUUCCCAUAGAAACACAAUGAUUAAAAUAUAACUUAAUUUAAUAUAAAUAUUAACUUUUUAUUUACUAUUCUAAAUUUUAGCAGAAUCAAAUUUUUUAUAAAAUUUUUUUAUUUAUAAGUAUGAUAAAUUUUAUUAUCAAAUAAAUUUGUUUAACCAAACAUUUUAGUAAAAUUAAUUUUUUUUAUAAAUAGGAUUAAUCUUAUAAAUAAUAAAAUAUUUAAAAUGAUAAAUUUAAUAAUAUAACGAACAAUAAAAUUUAUAUUGAUUAGUUCGAAUCUAAACUCGUAUUUUUAUAUAUAUUAGUCUUUAACAUCAUGUGCAAUGUUUAUAUUUUUAUUAUUCUUUUUACAAUAUUAAUUAAAGAAGAACGUAUGUUUGUUUAAAAGAUGGAUAUAUCUCAUAUAUUUAUUUUCUUAUCUUUACAAAAUUAAUUAAAAUAUUAUAAUAAAAUAAUUUAGUAUAACAUAUAAAAUAAACUAAAUAAAUGUGUGAUCAUAAUGAAUGAAGAUUAUAAUUUUGCAUCAUUAUCGAUUCAAAUGAUCUUUCAUCUCUUUUUUAUCCCGUUGUCAUUUGACAAUCACUUGAAAAUUUCUUCGAAAACCUAUUACUUUAAUACUCAUUAUUUUUUAGAUACUUAAAACUUAUCAAUCUAACGGUCUUCAUUUGUUGAAUAAUAUUUAUAAUGAUAGAUCUUAAUUUUAAUUGGUAUAUAAAUAUAACACUAAUUAAAUGAUAAUUGAUUUAAAAUAAUAUUUAUUAUUAAUAAUUAAUAUACUCAGUUGCAUAGUUCAAACCAAUAAAAACUCUAUUAUACAAAAAAUAUUAUUAUAAUUUUAUCUAUUAUUUUUUGUUGAGAUUUUAUCUAUUACUAAUAUACCUAUCAUACCUAUAUGCGUGUGAAAAUAUUUAGAAUACAUGUGACCGUAUUUUCAAAUGAAAAAAAUUCUAUUAUUUAAAAAAAUUUUAAACUCGUACUUUUAUAUAUAUCAAACUUGUACGCAUCUAUAUUAUUAUUAUUAUUAUUUUGUACAAGAGGGACAUGCUACAAAAUUGAUGUGAAUAAAAUCAUAAAAGAAUUUGAAAUGAUAAGAUAUUACUUAUUGAUUAAAUUGAAUAGUUUAAGUAAUAAUGAGAAUGUAAUUAAAGAUGGAUUAUUUUAACAAUUGUUAUGAUUUAAUAAAGGUAAAAUAACAACUCUAUCUUAAAAAUUGAUGAUUAAAUAUUAAAUUUCAAAAAACAAAAAGUAUUUAAAAAAUUUAGAUUAAAGUUUGAUUUAAUUUAUAUAUGCAUACUAAUAAUAUAUAAAAUUAAGGAUAAGCUACACUUAUGGUCACUUUUGUUUGAUUUAACAAUGUCUUUAUCAUUUUUACGGAGAUAAUGCUAACUCUAACAACCAUAUUUUUUGCUACAAAGAUAAUAUCAAUUUCAAGCUCUAGUGGUCUCGUGUCUUAAUCAAUUUUUAGCUCAAGCAUUGGAGAGAGAUUGCAGGUAAAGGAUAUGGCAUUUUAUAUUUCCAAUUUUGUCAAUUGAAUAAAAAAACAAAAGGUAUUUUUGAAAGUCAUUUUAUAUAAAAUCUUUAAAAUAUUUUUUUUACUUUUAAAAUUUUUAAUUUUUUAUAAUUUAUAUUUACUUUUUAAAAUUUUAAGAAUUUUUAAAUAUUUUUACAAUUUUUAAAAUUUAGACUAAAAUGACAAAUAUUGUAAACAUUGAGGACUAACUUUGUUGAAUUUUUAAAAUUUAGGAUCAAAUUAGUAGAAUGUGUAAAUAUUGAAGGGUUAAAUUUUUUAUUAGGCCAAUAAAAUAAAGUCACGUUAGACUAACUCACGGAAGAAUGACUAAAAUAUUUAAUUUCAAAAAAUUAAAUAAUUAAAACAAAAAAAAUUAAUAGUUGGGUGAUUGAAAUAGAACAAUAUGAAUAAUUAGAGGACUAUUCUUGUACUUUACAACUAAAAUAUUAAUUUAAUUUAGGUUUAACAUAUUUCUGUUAAUCCAAUUGUAAAAAUAUGCAGUAAUUGUUGGUCUAACCAAAACGAUUUAAUAGUUUCACAAAAAAAAUAGUUUAAUUCAAAAUUUAUUAAGAAAAAAAUAUUUAAUAAUGAAAAAAAGAAAAGAAUUUUUUUAAAAAAAUUGUAAUAAUAAAAAAUAUUUUUUUAUAAAAAUAAGAAAAAUAUUUUUUUAAUAAUAAAACACAAAAAGAAUUGACAAAAAUACUGUAAUGCGAAAAGGGAAAAUUGUAAUUAAAUAUUUUUAAUAUUAUUUUAAAACAAUUUAUAAAAAUAAUUAAACAUUUUAAAAAGUCAAGAUGCUUUUAAUUCAAUCAAAGUACUUUGCACGUUGUAUCGAAAGUAUAUUAUUUAAAUUUUAUAAGAAAAAUAUUUUUUAAAUAAAUAAAAAGCACAAAAGAAAAUAAUUUAAUUAUAAUAAGUAUUUUUCGGGUAAAAAGAGGGGAAAAAAUAAAAGAAUUCAUAAAAAUGAUAUGAAAAGGAAAAGUUAAUUAAAUGCUUUAUAAUAUUAUUUUAAAAUAGCUCAUAAAAAUAAUUAAAUAUUUUAGAAGAAUAUUUUAGUUUUUCUUAAUACUUUUUGGAGCUGACACAUAAUUUAUAGAUAGAUAGAUAUGUAAUCAUACCCUAAAAAUCUAUCCUUUAUAAAGAUCUAAAUGUAGUUGUUAUUAUUACCUUGCAGAGUAUUUGGUGAAUUAUGGAAUUUGUAGGACCAAUUUGUGAAGCACUAAGGCGCUUAGGAGAUCCAACAUGUACAUACAUAGAGCAUCACAGAAAACUUGAAGACAGGAUGAAUGAUCUUCUGGCAAAACAACGCCAACUAAAUGCUAUGAAGAGAGAUGUGGAGCUGAGAAAAAAUUCAGAGCUUCGAUGGGGAAGACUUUUAAGGCAAGAAGUAGAGAACUGGCUUCAAGAUGUGCAAACAGUCAAUGGCAAAAUACAGAACGUUGAUGAAAGAAUGCAAAAUGCGUCUUGUUUUUCACGUGGGCGCCUUGGGAAACAAGUUUCCCAAACAGUUGAACAAGUGAAGGAAAUUAUUGAACAAGGCAGGUUCACUGGAGCUCUAGUAAUUGAUGAUCCAUCUGCUGCUGGAGUGCCUUUUCAGUUGGAAGAUUUGGAAGGUGAAACCGCGGUGAUUGCAGACAUUCGGAAGCAUUUGAUGAGUGAUGAAAUUGGAAUGGUUGGUGUAUGUGGAAUGGGCGGGAUCGGGAAAACCACUAUAAUGAAGCACAUAUACAAUCAACUAUUGGAGGAAACUAAAUCUAAACCCAUGUUUGAGAAAAUCAUUUGGGUCACUGUUUCACAGGACUUCAACAUCACCAGGUUACAAGAAGACAUUGCAGAUGCCAUGAAUAUUGAAGAUCUUCCGAAAUCUGAACAAAAGCGUGCAGCUGUGUUAAGGAACAAAUUGCGACAAAUAAGACAUGUAUUGAUCUUAGAUGAUGUUUGGGAAGGGUUCGUUCUCGAAAAGGUAGGGAUCCCUGAACCAAUAUCCAGCAAUCGGAGUAAGUUGGUAUUAACUAGUAGAUUGAAAGAGUUUUGUAAAUCUAUAGGCUGUCAUGAGAUAGUCGAAGUGCCUCUACUUUCCGAUGAGGAGUCCAUGAAUUUAUUCUUGGUUCAUACCGGACAUGAGGUUCUAAAGGUUCCAUCUUUGGAAGAAAUUUUGGGCGAAAUUGUUAGAGAGUGUGAUAGGUUACCCCUUGCCAUAAAAGUAAUAGCUAGUAGCAUGAAGGGAAUCAAUGAUGUUGUUGAAUGGAGGAAUGCAUUAACAGAGUUACGUAACCAUGUAACAAGUGUGAAGGACACAGAUAAAGAAAUAUACGGGCGAUUAAAGUUCAGUUUCGACCGUUUGAAAGAUUCGAAUAUCCAAAAUUGUUUCCUUUAUUGCUCACUGUACCCAGAAGACUAUAGAAUUCCAAGGGUGGAAUUAAUAGAAUACUGGAUAGACGAGGGAUUUCUUGAAAUGGGGAGUCGACAACAAUUGCAUGAUAGGGGUCAUACUAUAUUAAAUAGGCUGAUAAACAACUGUUUGUUGGAAAAGGCUGGAGAUGAUGUUAAGAUGCAUGAUGUGAUGAGAGACAUGGCAUUGUAUAUCAAACACCUUCAUUUUAUUGUAAAAGCUGGCACCGGAUUGAAAGAACUACCAAGCAAGCUAGAAUGGAAAAAAGAUGUUGAAAGGGCUUCAUUCAUGAUGAAUAAGGUAUCAGAAAUCCCUCUGAGCUUGUCACCCAAUUGUGGAAACCUUUCGACCUUAUUACUGAAAAAGAAUAUGUCCUUGAAAAGGAUUUCCGAAUCAUUCUUUCAGCACAUGCAUAGUCUCAGCAUUUUUGACCUUUCUUAUACCGGUAUCGAGCAAUUGCCCAAUUCCGUAUCAAACUUGGAAACGCUCAAUGCAUUGGUGCUUCGUGGAUGCUACAAGUUGAGAUAUGUGCCUUCACUAGAAAAGCUUGAGGCUCUACGAAAGCUAGACCUCCGGGGUACAGGCAUUGAAAAGGUGCCUACAGGUUUGGAAAUGUUAACAAAUCUAACAUAUCUCAAUUUAUGUACUGAAAGCUUAAAGGAACUGCCAAUUGCAAUUCUACCUAGGCUUUCUUGUCUGCAAUGUUUGGUAUUAUAUGUUAAAUCAGCUUGUGUAAAAAUGAAUGGAUUGGAACUUGCCAGAUUAAGCAAGCUAGAGGUUUUUGAAGGGAGAUUUAAUGAGUUGAUAGACUUUAAUGCCUACACCACGUCUAUACAAGGUCGACAGCUCACUUCUUACUUGCUUGUCAUGGCACCACUUGGAGAAUGCAUAGAUUAUGUUUUUCGUUUCAACUCGAAUAGAUGUUGCGACGGCUGCGAGUUCAGGCUGAGGAAGUCACUGUCAAAGUUCCCAGGUACGGAUGCAAUCAAAUCCAUAAAUUUAUAAAAUUACUCAGUUAUUUAUAAAAUUUCUUUUUGUUUUUCUAUGUAAGGUUUUUAGUUAAUUAUUCAGUUAUUUAAAAUAAUAAAUGAAUUUAUAAAAUUACAUAUAUUAAGUUUUCAGUAAGUAGUUUGCACAUAUAAUUAGUUAUAUAAAAUAAUUUUAUAUGUAAUUAAGUACAAGUAAAUAAAUUAAUUGAGUCUUAAUUUAAUUUGUAUAAGCAUUAUUAUUAAUGUAGAAGAAUGUAGAUUCAAAUGCACUUAACUAUAUUAUCUUCUUAUUUUCUAUUUUUUUAUUGGACAAAAGCACUACUAUAUCUAUCAAUCUUAAUAGAUCAUCAAGUCUAGUUACUUUUUAAAUUUCGAACGUUUAAAAAAUUAUGUUAGUCAUAAUUUAUAGCAAACUAUCUUUUUAAGGAAAAAUUUAUAAAACAUAAAAUUUUAUUUAUAAAUUUGAUUAAUGAGUACCAUGCUUAUAAAUACUUAUUAAAAUUAGUUAAAAGAAGAAUUAUUAAAUUUCCAUUAAGAUUUUGUUUUGGUAUUUUCAUGUUCGUUUUAUGGUCCGGGCAUAUGAUUAUCCUUUCUAAUAAUGUUGUCUCUAAGAGACGAAGAAAGAUCCUCCAAAAGAAAGAAUGUAAUGUAUUUUGUCCUUGAACUCAACCACUUAUUAGUUCAAUUAAGAUUUUCUUUUUAAAUUCUCUUUUAACAAAUUAAUUAAAAAAGUUUUUGUAAAGAUUACCUUAUCAAAUGUUUUAAGCAAUCUUUAAAUUGUUCUUUAAUUAUUUAGACUUAGUGACAAAUUUAGCCGCUAACAUUUAUAUGUUUUAUCAAAAUGACCCUAAUUAUAUUUUUUUUAACAUUUUUUUUUGGCUAUCAACAUUCUUUUUUCAAUUUACUUUUUCUAACAAAUUUAAGUAAUAAAUUACAUCAUCAUCUCACAUAUAAAAUAUAAUUAGAGCCGAUUUAACCAAUAUGUAAAUAUAAGUGAUUAAAUUUAUCCUUAUAAACCAAUUAUUUAUGCGUUUGUGCUUUUAACAUGUGGCUUUAUAUAGCAAAGUGGUAGGGUGGCAGUUGCACCAAAAAUAAAAAUGAUAAUUAAUUAUAGCUUUACCGUGCAAAGUAAUAAUUAUUAUAUCAGAAAUUGAGUUUGAUAAGGAAUUUCAAUUCUGAUUGGUGAAGCUGUGAAAACUGUGUCCUUUACUGGGGAAAAGAAGACGAUUGUGGAAGCGACUCUAGAAGUGUCUGGUAAGUUAGAAAUGGGACCCACUAAUAUUGCGGCGAGGUUGACGAAACGGCGUUUGGAAGUGCAGCUCAUGGAUGAGUGGUGGGAGCCUCCAAUUCUCCCUAUGAAAAAUGUGAUAUUAAGCGGGUGUCCAAUAGGAAGAGAAGAUCCAGCAGAGCUCCCAAGUGAUGUUAGGAGUCUCAGAAUUUUUAGAUGCCACAACAUCAGAAGCUUAAGUGAUUUGCCCUUCUUUCAACGAACCAAUGAGUUGGGGUUCUGUUCGAUUCACGAUUGCAGAGGGAUAGAAUCUGUGCUUGAUCUGUCGUCACAAUCCCAAUCAUGCACCCCAUUUGAGAACCUUGAGCUCUUGAGGCUUGAAAAUUUGGAUAACCUUAAUGUGCUUGUUAAAGUAGCAGAAGCAUAUGUUGUUUCUACUUUGAGUUCACAGUCUAUUCCGGCCAUCUUUUCCCAUCUUAAAUCAUUUCAUAUUGAAGGAUGCUCAAACAUGAAGCAGCUCUUUCCCUUUGACUUGGUACAUGACCUCCAAAACCUAGAGAACCUCAUAGUUCGUGGUUGUGGACAAAUAGAGGAAAUAAUAGGACCAAAAGAAGAGGCUGAGGAUCACAAGGGAAAUGGAACGCAAGCUCCAACAAAGUUCAGCCUUUCCAAAUUAAAGGAGUUAGAAUUGACGUGCUUACCAGAGCUGAAGAGCAUAUGCAGUUCAAAUAGGGAAAUGGUAUGCAACUCUCUUAGGAAAAUUAAAGUAUGGGACUGUACGAAGCUAAAAAGGAUGCCUCUGUGUCUUCCUCAUUUUCUAGAUACACACCAAGCAGCUCCUUCUGUUCGUCCUUUCGUAAGUGUCCUCGCGCAUCCAAAGGAGUGGUGGGAAUCAGUAGAGUGGGACUAUCCGAAUGCUAAGGAGGUUCUGCGACCUUGGUUGAACUUUUAUUAGCGCUGCUGGAAGCCUUUGCUGUUCAAAUCAAAUUCCGGAUCAAGCUAAACAGUGAGUCUUCAUUUGUUGCUUUUAUUUCUAGAAAAAAAAUUGAAGAUUUUUUAUUCUACCAAAAAGAAGACGGGCAAGAAGAGGAUUAUGAUUGGCAAAAUAGAGACCAAAGAGAACAAAGCUAUUACCAAUGUUUGAAACAAAUUUAUAUCAAUUAGCAUCAUGCUUUGUUACCAGCUGUAGGCUAAUUUGGUUGAAAUGGUUUUAAUAAAGCACGGUCUCAUUUGCUUCUUUGUUUAACCCCAGUGAUUAGGCUUGCUCUAGAACCCUUGAGAUUCUCAUUAUGACAUUAAUGAUUUGAAUGAACGAACAGCCCCUUUUUCUUCUUUAUUUGGUAACUGCGCUUUAAGUUGAUAUAAAUAUGUUUUCCAAUGUAGUAUUCUUGUUUGCUUAGAUCAAUGUCAAAAACCUUGCCUCCAAUGCUUCCCUUUCUUCUCCACCUUUUUUUUUUUUUGAAUUCUUUGUGGGGUCUUAUUAAAUACAGGUUGUUUAUACCAUUCUAAAGCUAGCAAAGCAGUUGGCUUGACAAUCAAAUCUUUGAGAAACAAAUCAACCCAACUCAUCACUGUACCUUCAUUCUUCUGUGGUGGUUCUAUCUUUGAUGUGGUACUUCGUCGGAUGCAUCCUUCUCUUGUGGUUUUAUCUUUAAUAAAUGAACUUCAAUUUGGUUUCAAUGUGAUUGGAUUGUUGAUGUUGUAAUUCAACUUUGUACUUGAUAAUCCUGCUUCUAGUUUGCAUCAUUUUUUACCAUGUGGUUGUGUUUCCUGUGGCUUAAUUGUCUCAUUUAAUCUUGGAACUUGCACAUUUAUAUAUAUAUUGAACCAUCCCAAAGGUAUAUACCACUUCUUGAAAUGGUGUUUUAUUUAGGUGGCCUUUUUGCUAUUGUGAACCAUCCCAAUGCUAAGCAGGAUCUGCUACCUUACUUGGUAAUGCUAUAGCGCUACUGAAAGGCUUUAUCCAAAACUCUAUCUAUUCCUUGCAUCUGAUGGUGGGUUAAUGUUUAGACAUAAUCUAGACUUGGAUUUGAUUAAAUGAGCGUUUAUCUAGAUUUUUCAAAUUAAAUUGAUUUGGUUUCAGAAUUAGAAUAAAAAGCUAGUUUUGAAAUUUAUUUUAUUUAAGUUGGAAUGUAUUUUAUUUUGAGUUUAAAUUAAUUAAUAAAAUAAUUUUAAUUUAAUAUAUUAAGUCAAGAUUUUUAGUUGAUUAAGCAAUUUAUUAGUGAUUAAUGGAACUAGUUCAAAAAUUUAUCUUAACUGAAAUAAUUACAUUAAAAAAAUUAAAAUAUCAUAGAGUGAACAUUAUCAUCACAAUUUGCAUUCAUGUAGUUAUAUAACUCUACUUUUAGUUAUCACAACAGCAGAACAGGUUUUUAGCGGCGUUUUUUUUUGCCUUUAGCGGCGCUUUUAAACGCCACUAAAUCCAUUUCUGGUUCUUGAAGAAGCGCCGCAAAAAAUGCCGCUAACGACAACGUCGCAAAUUUUUGCGGCGCUUACAGAAAAAAAUGCCACUAAAGAUCAUGUUCUUUAGCGGCCCUUAGAAAAAAACGCCGCUAAAGAUCAUGUUCUUUAGCGGCGCUAAAAAAAUAAACGCCACUAAAGACCAUCUUUUUUAGCGGCGCUAAAAAAUAAACGCCACUAAAGACCAUGUUCUUUAGCGGCGCUUUAGAAAUAAACGCCACUAAAGAGCAUGUUCUUUAGCGGCGCUUAGAAAUAAACGCCACUAAAGAUCAUGUUCUUUAGCGGCGCUAAGGAAAUAAACGCCGCUAAAGAUCAUGUUAUUUAGCGGCGCUUAAGAAAAAAACGCCGCUAAAGAUCAUGUUCUUUAGCGGCGCUUUGAAAGAAAACGCCUCUAAAAGUAAUGUUCUAUAGCGGCGCUUGUUUAAAAACGCCGCUAAAAGUAGUAUUCUUUUAGCAGCGCUUAUUUCAGAAAUGCCACUGUUUGAUAUGACUUUUAGCGGCGCUUUUUUAAAAAACGCCACUAAUUUUAGGAUUUUUUUUAAAUAAAACUUUCUGUUUUUUUCUGCCCUCCUGCAACAAAAAAUUAAAAGCAACCAAAUCUAAACUAACAAAAAACAAUAAAUUUAUAUAAUAUUUCAAAUUAAAUGACUAAAAUAAUAUUAAUUUAUAUAAAUAAAAUUGAAUUCAUACUUUUCUUUACAAAAGCGUUAAAAGUAUUUAUGCAACAUACACUAUGACGGCGGAAGUUGCGACUGCUGAAACAUCUUCAUCAUAAUCUGAAGCUGCUGUUGAAGUUCGUUGUACUUUUUGCUCUGCUCCGCUUCUCUCGAUGCCGCAUCUUUUUGAAGUCGUAGCUAUAGUUCUUCAUAUUUCUUUUGAACCUCUGCUUCUAUCGCUGCUUCUCUCGCUGCUUCUCUCGCUGCGGCCUCUGCUUCUCUCGCUGUGGCCUCUGCUUUAAGUUGUUGCUGAAGUUCUUCAUAUUUCCUUUGAACCUCAAAUGUGAUCGCUUGCAUCUGAGCCAUCUGGUCUUUUAACCUCUGAACUUCAGCUUGAGAUUGACUCCCCGAAGCCAUGUAUUGGUGCGAGCUGGAUCCAAAAUAUUGGGUUGGGCUGAUAAAAGAUCCUUGAAAUCGAACCCGACCAUACUUUUCAGGACCCAAUACUUCAGUAAUAAUCCGGUUAUCAAUGUCUUCAAGAUGAACAGAACUAUCACUAGAAGCAAUCGCUUCGUACUCCGUCUUUUUUUCCUUUAGUUUUUCCUAAUAAAUAAAUCACAUAGUUAGGAACGCAAUAUAUAUAGUAAAAAAAACAAAUGCAAUAUAACAAUAGUCGCAUUACAAGCAAUGAAUUAAACCAUUAGAAAAUAAACACUAUAAAUAACUAAAACAAGUGAAAUCAUAUUAAGUAAACGUACCAUAAUUUCACCAGCUUCAGGAGUCAUAGCAGAUCCAUCUUUUUUCUUAUGUGUAAUUUCAAAAAGUUGUAGGCGUCCAACUUUUUGACCGGAUGACCGUUCCUACAAUAUAGUAGUAAAAAUAUUAUUUAAUAGAAAGUUAUACAUAUUUGAGAAUAUUAAAAAAUUAAAAAUACCUCCGCCUCAGCUACACAUGCAAAACUUCUCGACCCGGCUGUGUGAGUGAAUUUUUGUUGCUGCCGGCUGCUUUUUCCAACUCGCUCACGAUCCUACGUUAUAAAAUUUUUAGUACGUAAAUAGUAAAUACUAUAAACCAAAAUAAUUACAAUAGUUUGGAAGUACGUCGUACCUCGCCUUUCUGAGAAUACCAAAAUCUAACCGCAUCUUCCCAUUGGUACCUCAACAUACCCGGCGGGACAUUUUGCAAUUUCUCAUCGAGGGUGGUUUUUGUCUUAUAAUAAUUUUUCUUCAAAGUACUUUUACUGUCUCUCCAUCUUUUUCCCAAUGCCUUCUUUACAUAAGCAUCGGAGACCUCUAAAGCAAAUAAAGUAAAUAUAAAUGAAACUAUUUCCCAAGCAUUACAGAUGACAUUAACAUUUUGUUACCUUAAUAUUAUCGAAGGCUUGGUUUUUGUUGCUAUCGGGCAUUUGACGCCAUGACUCGUAGUUGAUAGGCAACAUAUUCGGAUUUCGUGCUAAAAUGCCCAUGUAUCCUGCUAAAAGUCGAGCUUCUGAUUCAACAGGCUGACCAAAACUGUUUCUGCGUACCUUGACACGCUCGGCUGGAUCUAACUCGUAUAACUCUCUAAGUAGCGUACGUCCUCGACCUCUACGCGUCCCACCAUUUUCAGCUACAAAUGGUAUAUUAUAAUAUAAGAAUUUGAAAAAUAAAUCAAUUAUAAGUUAACACGCAUGGAAUUAAUGUAAGUUACUUUGAACUUCCGUAAGAUCCUCGUGUGUAAUCGAAACAUUCGAAGAUCCAAUUGCUGUCUGUUGUUCAGUACUAUUUGUUUCUAUCGAGUUUGGAUCAUUUUGAACAAUGCUUUCCCUUAUAAUUUUUCUUCUAGGCAUUUUAUCUGCAAUACACAUAAAAUGUAAUUAAACUUAAUAAUUAAUUACAACAAUAACAGCACAUAUAAAAUAGUUGAGUUAUAUAAUAAGACCAAGAUUUAAUACUAAUGUAAGUAUAUAAUUAAACAAUCGUAAAAUCUUACUACAUCAUUAUUCGUAAAAAUCUUCAUCCGUAUCCUGACGAACCCAUUGAAAUUGUGCACUAGUACUAAGGGUAUUAUCGUUUAAGUUUUGUUCUGGAAAUGGAAAAGUUUUUGAUCUGUCGUCGAUGUUAUCUCUACUUCCACUGCCCAUGUCAAACAAGUCUCUAGGGAUGUUACGGAGUACAACGUACCAACCCUCAUCAGUUGGAUCUUUUGAGUAAAAAACUUGUUUGACUUGACUUGAGAAUACAUACGGCUCAUCUAUCAGUUGUUGUCCUGUGUGAAUCAAUCGGUCAAAGUUCACCAUUGUAAAACCAAAUUGAUCUUGCUUGAUUCCACGAGCUGUAUUAACAUCGGCCCAAUCACCUCGAAAUAAGACAACUUUCCAUUUGCCGUAGUAAUCCAACUCAAUUAUGUCAGUAAGCUGUCCGAAAUAUUCCACAUUUCCCUCGACUGGAUUAUUGUCCCUAGCGCUAGCAUAACUUGUAAUUGCAGAAUUAACAACUAUUCCACAAUUUUGCGUUCUCCUCAACCUCUCGCGAUAUUUUGUAUGAAAUCUGAAUCCGUUGAUGAGGAACGCACUAUAUCUUUUAACCACUCGAUUUGGACAUUGGGAGAGCCAUUUAACUUCGUCGUUUACGCUCUUCCCAUUCGAAACCUAUUGAAUGGAAAGUAAACUAAGUACUUAAAAAUGUUAUGAGAAAGCAUUAUUAUUUGUAAGCGAAAGCUCCAACUACAUACCGUUUGGCUUAACCAUUCAUAAAAAGAUUCUGUAAACAACUUCUUGAUAUCUCGAUGUUGUGUUCUUCGGUUGCGCGAACGAGAUCUCAAUAUUUGUUUGUACUCACUAUAUAUGUUAAAAAAAUGUGAUCUUUGUUAGAAGAUAAACAAUUUUUAGUUUGAUAAAUAUUUAUAAAAUUUGUAGAACUUACUUCCGUAAAGGUUCCAAUGAUUCGUGGUGAAACAGAACAUAUCGUUGUGCUUGUACCCACAAUAAAUUAUCUAAUUCCGCAAUUUCAACUUUGCCGAUUGGUUGUCCAGAACUUUGGAACAAAUAAGUACUAUCGGCUAAGUUAUAGUCUGUGAGUCCAGCAUUCCUAUUUGGUCUGUUCAACCUUGUUUCGACAUCUUCCAAAUAUCUUGAGCAGAAGGUCAUACAUUCCUCUGCCAAGUAGCCUUCAGCAAUCGAUCCUUCUGGAUAUCGCUUGUUGCGACAAUAAGACUUUAAUUUGGAUAGGAACCUAAACACAAUAUACAACAUUAUCAUAAGUUGUAACUAUAGGCAUAGAGGUGAAUGAAAGAAAAUUUUAAAAAUACUUCUUUAACACCUUUCUAUGGGAUACAUCCAUCGAUAGAAAACGGGUCCGCAUACAUCCUCGACUGUGCAUCAUUUUCAUCGUCGUUCCCAUCUUCUGUGUUUCUAUUUAUCCAACGGGAGUGGCCGCAUACAUGACAGCACUGUUGGUUUUUCCGAUCGCCCCAAUACAACAUGCAGUCAUUUGGGCAACUAUGGAUUUUGUUGUACCCAAGGCCUAAAUCUUUUAUCAUUUUCUUCAUAUCUUUGCAUGACUGAGGGAUUUUUGUAAACGGAAACAUUUCUCUCAAAAACUCUAGUAGCAUUGUCAACGAGUUUUCGGUCCACCCUCCCAAACAUUUUAACUGAAAAAGACGAACACAGAAGGCCAUUUUUGAAAAUUUUGAUCCCUCAUACAAUUCUUCGUUCAUGUCAUUAAGUAGAGCGUAGAACUUCGCCGCUUCUCUAUUUGGCUCUUCAUGAGGUACACUACUUCCCGGUUUGGUAAAAGUAGUUCCACCGACGUUACAAUCAUCAUAUGCCAUAAAAUCCCCUGGGAACGAUUACACACCAUGAUUGUGCAUAUUAAAUGCAUCCCGCAACAUACCUUCCAUGUCAUCCCCUCUAUCAGACUAAUGGUAAGCAGUCCCAGGAUAAGAUACAUCCAUCGUUAAAGAGGAAGUACUUCUAGGGCAUUCUCCAUGAAAAAUCUAUUGCUUAUAACCCUUAACAAACCCAUCAACAAUUAGAUGCUCGUAUACAACCUCACGAUAAUGCCAGUUUAGGUUGACACACUUUUUACACGGGCAAAGAAUCAUGUUCUCUUGGCUUGCAUAUUGAAAUGCAAAAUUUAGAAAACUCUGCACCCCAUUUCGAUAACCGUCGCUUACCCUUGACAAAUUUAUCCAAGACCGGUCCAUUUCUUAAUUCUUGAAGUCUGACGUUGACAAUAAAUUGCACGGUUUUAGGAUUUGACAACAAGAUAUACAUUAUAUAAGUUAUGUAAGUUAUGUAAGUUAUGUAAGUUGUGUAAGUUGCGUAAGAUGUGUAUUAUGAAACUUAUGUAAGUUAUGUCUUAUGUAAGUUAUGUAAAUUAUGUAUUAUUUACACAUGUAAGUUAUGUCUUAUGUAAGUUGCGUAAGUUGUGUAUUAUGAAAGUUAUAUCUUAUGUAAGUUAUGUAGGGUAUGUAUUAUUAUGUAACUUAUUUAAUUUAUGUAGGGUAUGUAUUAUUAUGUAACUUAUUUAAUUUAUGUAGGGUAUGUAAGUUAUGUAAGCUCUGUAUUAUUUACGCAUGUAAGUUGUGUAUUAUGUAUUAUUACGUAAGUUAUGUAGGGUAUGUAUAAUAUUAAAAAAAUAGUAAUAUACUUAUUUAAGUUAUAAAUUUAUUAUUAAUAAAAUUUAAAUAUAGCUUACAUACGUAAAUGAAUAUAUGUAUAAUAUUAAAAAAAUAGUAAAACUUAUUUAAGUUAUAAAUUUAUUAUUAAUAAAAUUUAAAUAUAGCUUACAUACGUAAAUGAAUAUAUGUAUAAUAUUAAAAAAAAUAGUAAUACUUAUUUAAGUUAUAAAUUUAAACUUAAAAAUAAAUUAAAAGUUUGAAAUUUUUUGUAAGUUAUCUAAAAUUAAACUUAAAAAUAAAUUAAAAGUUUGAAAUUUUUUUCCAUGAUUAAAAUUAAAUAAAAGAAAACAAAACAAACUAAAUUUCGGGGAUUAAAAUAGCAACUAAAGGAAAAAAAUUUGUUUUGGAGGAAAACAUAUAAAUAUUUGCAAACUAUACGGGCUUUAACCAAAUGUUUAUAUUAUUUAGACAUAAAUAACCUUCAUUUUCGAAAUAAUUUACUUGUUAUAUGGAAUAAUAUGUAUACAACAGUUAACCAUGUUUUAUAUCAAUGAAACUGAAAUGUGAAAAGAAAUUGGAUUAAUUUGUUAUUGAAUGUAACGUAUAGUUCCGAAAUUUUGAAUAAUUUUAAAAUAAAAAAAUUUAAUCCAAUUUAUUAAAUUUAUUAAAUUGCUUCUAUUUUGCUCAACAUAUAUAGCAAUCGUUGAUGGAUGAUAACAAAAAACAUAAGUCAGAAAAGUACAUGGCAAUUGUAAAAUAAGUAAAAUGAAACAUAAGCUAGAGGAAAAUAACCAAAACCAAUUACAUGUAUACAAAACCAGAGCCCCAAAAGAAACAUUUUUCAAAAAUCAUCUUGCUAUUUCCAUAUAAUAUUCACAAAAAGUCAGACCAUUUUAGUUUAUAGAUUUACUUACCACUAUAUUACAGUUUAAAAUUUUUAAAAAUACAAGAACUAAACUUGAUCAAAUUUCUGAAUCGGUAGUAAGUCCAUAUGAUUAACUGUGCAGUGACUAAUAAGUCCAUACUUCAACAACAAAUGUUAUCAUUAAUCUAGACAAUAAAAGCAAAAGAAUCAAAAAAAAGAAUGAAUCUCAAAGUUCAGCCUAAUAAAGAGGUUGAAAGAAGAUUUAUACCAAAAAUAUUACUUUGCUCAGAAUGUAAUUUGAACUUACAAAUUUUGAACAGUGCUGUAGUGUUCCGUUCCUUGCCACUACUGGAUUUUUGUAAUAGUAUGUAUAGUAGCCCUGCCAUAGCAAACAUUAAUAGAUGUGAAUCAAUAGGUUUUGAGAAUGAAUCUCAACAUCAAUAACCUACCCCUCAUCCUGAGCUAUUUUCGACAGAAAAGAAAUAAAUGAUUAACCAAGGUAGUAACGUACUAAGUUUACAGAGAAGAAUUCUUCUCUUAAAACCAUUUUCAUUGUCUGAUCGAAAUGGUUAAGGUUAUGAAAAUUAUUACCUAAAAAUGUUCUUACUUUCUUAACCCUAAUUUGAAUUUACCGUAUUAAUACCUAAAAAUGAUCUUACUUUCUUAACCCUAGUUUGAAUUUUCUUAUUUCAAUGGCUACUUGUCACUUCAGUGGCUAUUUCUCAACUAAAUACGACGACCCUCAUCAGUCGGCUAGGUAGAAUAAAAACUGAAUUGUAUGUUUAAAAAUUAAACUGUACGAAAAAAAGGAAUAAUGUGAAAACUAAAAUAUGUGAAAACUAUUGCAUUUCACGAAUAAAUAUAGAUGAAAAUGCUGAAAUAUGUGAAAAAUGAAAACCCUUGAACUACCGUCGGCAAGAGAACAAACCUCUAAGCUGGCGAUUUCAAGGUUGCCGAUUUCGGGAAACUCGUUGGGCUGCCGAUUUUCGGGUGAACUUAGGGAUUUCAGGGGGAAUUCUCUAAAAAUCUUAAAGUUUGGGGAACUAAUUAGGGCUGCUGGGGAAAUGAAUGUCGAAAGUCUGCUAGGGAAGAAAGGGGAAAUAAAAAUCGGAGUAAGAGGAAAACGGAGGGGAAGCAAACGACGACGUUUUGCUAAAUGAAAUAAACCCUUGUGGCUUUUAACUAGACGUGCCGCUAAAUCCAUGGAAAUUGCGGCGUUUCAAAACAAACGCCACUAAAAACCCACAAAAAUGGUGACGUUUGCAUUAAUACAACACAAGGAAUUCCGACGUUUUUGACAUUGCGCCUCUAAAUCCUGCAGCAUUUACGGCGUUUGACCAAAAACGCCACUAAAGAAGCUAUCAACACGGUGCCGUUUUGCUGAACACAGAUUCAGGGUAAGGGCAAAACAGAGGACAGAAAAACGAUGACGUUUGAGUAAUAGAAAUAAACUAUUGCGGCAUUUAUUAGAAACGCCGCUAAAUUUCUACCUACUGCGGCGUUUAAUCCAAAACGCCACUAGAGAACCUCCAAAACGGCCGCGUUUGGGUUAAUAGAAAAUGACGUUUGCAUUAAUACAACACAAGGAAUUGCGGCGUUUUUGACAUUGCGCCUCUAAAUCCUGCACAUUUACGGCGUUUCACCAAAAACGCCACUUGUGAAGCCAUUAACACAGCGUCGUUUAGAUAAAAAUAGAAUUAGAACGAGGGAGAAAAUGUAGGAGACCAAAACGACGGCGUUUUACUCUCUGCAAUAAAUGUUUGCGGCGUUUAACUAAAAACGCCGCUGGAUACACACAAAACACAGCCGUUUUGAUAAACACAACGCCGUUUUCAUUAAAAUAUCUUAUCUUUUUGCGGCGUUUUCUGUAUUGCGCCGCUAUAGGUCUACAUAUUGCGGCGUUUCUCUGAAAACGCCACUAAAUAAGCCUAUUGAACGGCACCGUUUUUAUGACAACAUAAUUCCUUUAGUAUGAAAUUUGUUUCUAUAUUUGAAAGGUUUAAUUAUUUCUUAAAUAAAUUUAAAUUAAAUUUGUUCUGUUCCACGCUAUAUAUUUAAUAUGUAAAAUUUUAAUUAUAAUUGUAUACAUGAAAAUAAUUUUAAAUAAUAUCAAAACUCGAGCUAGAUAUAUGUCUUCCUUCUGAAGAAUAUUAUGUAAUUUUUUGUAUUAAAUUAAGAAGGCAAAGCUUAUGAUGUUACGAUAGAAUCGAAAAAAAUUAGACGGAUCAAAACAAUCCGAAAUAGAUGUUCAUGAAUAUUGGUUAAUAGAAAGGAUCGAUAUAUAUAUAAUUCUAUUCCCUUGACUGAUCUUGAUUUUAGUUCAACUAGUAUUCGUGUCUGCGCCAUUCUUCAAACAAGAGCACGAACAUAUGACAUUGUAAGAACCCUACAAUUAGUAAGGGUGAAAAACGCUUCAUUAAAAACACUAAUUAAUCAAAACCCCGAAACACUAAACCCCAAAAUUAUACACCCUAAACACUAAUCCCAAUUACCCCUAAACUUUAAACCCCAGCACUUAAACCCUAAACCAUAAAACAUAAUCACUAAACCCAUAAUCCAUAAACCUUAAAUUGUAACUCUUAAAUCUUAAACCAUAAACCUUAAAGCAUAACCCUUAAACCCUAAACUGUAAAACCAAACCCUAAAUAUAUCCCCAUAACCCCUUAAAGCAUAACCCCUAAAUCCCCCUAACCCCUAAGUCAUAACACCUAACCCUUAAACCACAAAACCUUGAACCUUAAUUCCUAAACCUUAAAUCCAUACCCUGACCUACUCAUGAUUAAACUCUAAACCAUAUACUAUAAUGAUAAUUAAUUCAAUAUUUUAAAAUUAAUACUACCUUUUUUACGAUUAUAUAAGAAAUUAUUUAAUAUAUAAACUAAAAAAAUCAGUAAUGUAUCCAAAAAACUUUAAAAAUAUUUUAAAUAAAUUUAUUUAAAUCCCUGAGCAUUAGCGGCGCUUUAUUAAAAACGCCGCUAAACCCCUGAAAAGCUAAGAAAAUGGUGUCGUUGGGUUAAAUUUUUUUUGCGGCGCUUUCAUAAAAGCGCCGCUAAAAACUCAGCAUUAGCGGCGCUUUAUUAUAAACGCCGCUAAACCCCUGAAAAGCUAAGAAAACGGUGUCGUUGGGUUAAAUUUUUUUGCGGCGCUUUUAUUAAAGCGUCGCUAAAAACCCAGCAUUAGUGGCGCUUUACUAAAAACGCCGCUAAAUCCCCGAAAGCAAAGAAAACGGUGUCGUUGGGUUUAUUUUUUUUGCGGCGCUUCCAUAAAAACGCCGCGAAAGCCCUGCAUUAGCGGCGCAUUAUUAAAAACGCCGCUAAACCCCCCCCGGAAGCUUAGAAAACGGCGUCGUUGGGCUUAGUUUUUUAAAGCGCCGCUAAUUCUUAUUUUCAGUGGCGUUUUCAAUUCAGUGCCGCUAAUGAUCGAUCUUUAGCGGCGUUUGUUAUUAAAACGCCGCUAAAUACACCGCUAAAAGCCUAUUUUGGUGUAGUGUAUCCAUAAUUAAUUUUAAAUAUAUAUAUAUAACAAUGAAAAGUUAAGAAAUUUCAAAAAAAAAAAAAACACUUUUUGUUGAGGCCAUAGAUCAAAUGGUUAUAUUUGUUAAAUGACUACUCCAACCGUUAAAACCAUCUUUGUGAAAAAAAAUCAGCUUGAUCAAGAUUGUAUACAGGAGCUAGAAUUGAAUUACUCAAAUAAUUUAAAUUGUUUUAAAAAAAAUUAAUCAACUUUAAUAAUUUCUUUUGAGAUUAAAAAACUUUAAUCAAUUUUAAAAAAAAUUAAAUUUUAUCCAUCCCUAAUCUUUUAAAUAUAAAGAAAGACUCUAAACAGAUUUUUUUUUAUUAAAAAAAUUAUAAGAUGAUAGAUAGCUACUUAUCAUUAAAUUUAGAAAAUAUUAAAUUACUUUUAUUUUAUUAAAAAAUUAAAAUAAAUUAUUUUUUAAAAUGAAAUAUUCAAAUUACCCUAUGUAUCUUUUAUCCAAAACUAUCUACAAUAAUAUAAAAUAUUAUAUUAAUAAAAUUAAAAUUAAUAAAACAAAUAAUCUUUUAAAAUCAAUAUUUACUUUUGUUAAACAAUAUAAUUAUAUUCGAUACUUAUAUUUACUAAUUUAUCAAAUAAUUUUUAAUAUACAUUUAAAACUUAUAAAAUUUAAGGGUAAAAAUGCAGUGGUUAAAUUUUUAAUAAUUAAAAUUUUAAUUUAUCAUUAGAUUAUGUAAUAAACAACAAUAAUAUAUAAAUAAUGAAAGUCAAUUACGCUCAUUGUCUUCCAUUAAAGAAAAGUUACACUCACGGUUUUUCAGUGAUAUUUCAGAUUUAUUUUUUAAUUAGUUUUUUAAUAAUACAUUUUUUUUUAUCGUAAUCAAAAUAUCUAUAGUUGACAGCAGUUACUAAUCUCUUUUUCGAAGGUAGACAAUGCAUUUUUAAUUACAAUAAUUAGUAUAUUCGUUAUUUAAAUUAUUGAAGAUAAUUAAAUUAUAUUAUCUUAUUUUAAAAAUCAAACUUAUAAUAAUAAAAAAUUUAAAAUGAUAAUUAAAGCAUUUAUAUUAUAUUCAAUGUAGAAUAUAAUUUUACUUCAUUUAAUUUAUACAGAACAACAAUACUAAAAAUAAUAAUAUAAUUAACAUAUAAAAUUAUUUUGUCAUUCAAAUGCAGUGCUAAUAAAAAAAUUCUUAAUAAUUAUUAAAAAAUUGUAAAAAUUAUAAAAAAAAGUAAUAUAUCAUAGGGAUCAUAUAUAAAAUCAUUUAAUAAAAAAAUUAAUCUUCACAAAAUUCCAAUGUAUCCCAAAUAAAGUCAUAAUAAUAAAUUUCUUGAUAUUAAUCAAUAAAGAUUAAAACAAAAAAUAUAUAUUAUCAAAUUAGGAAAACCUACUUGAAAAUCUUGAAAAAUUAAUAUUUAUCAUAUAAAAUUCUAGAGAGAAAAAGAGAAUAAGAAAAAUAUUGGAGAAAGUGAUGAAUAUUAAAAAGAAAAAGAAUAAGGAGUUUUGAAAUUUUGAGUAGGUUGAGAGAUAUUUAUUUUGUUUUAUAUAAAUAAAAUAUUUUUAUAACAAACUUUUUUUUUUGAAGUCACUUUGAGUCCACGAUUUUUUAUUGACUUCGCCCACAUAUUAAAAGUAUAAUAUAAAUAAAAGAAUAAAUAUAUAAUCUUUCUCUAUUUUAAUUAUUUUAUCUACAUAAUGUGAUUUAUUUAAAAUAUAAAUAGUAUGAUAUUUUAAUUGAUUAAGUUUUAGUUCAAUUGGUAUGAGUAUUAUUAUCAAUGCAAUAACACAAUAGUUUGAGCGCCCCUCCUUAAUUUUUUAUAUAUAAAAGUUUUAAUUUAUAAUUUCAACUAAAUUGAACCCAAACAAGCAUAAUCUCUUCAAUCAUGGUUUAGUCAAAUUUAUUAUCUUUAAGUUUGAGAUCUAAUCUUUUAAAUUUUAAUUUGACAUAAUUUAUCCUCUAUUUUUAUAAUAUUAUUUGUUAGUCUAAAUUAUUAAUAUCGAUUAAUUAUUUCAACUAAAAAGCUAAUUUAAUUGUUUCUCAAAAACAUUAUAUCACACAUGAUCAGUUAGGAUGUGUUUUAAGAAAAAAUCUACUUCAAUUAAUUAGUUAUUUGAAUUAGCAUAUGAUAUUAUAAAAAUAGAGGACCAAAUUAUGUUACAUUAAAAACUAGAAGGAUUAAUUUUUAAAUUUGAGUAUAAUAGAGGAACCAAAACUAACUUUGACUUGUCUAUUAUUGUAGCAACCCGAUUUUUGACCCAAAUCGGAACAGUGGUUUCGGGACCACAAAUCCGAAUUAGAAAAAUAUUUUAAUAUUAUUUUCUGUGUUUAUUAUGAGUGAAUUUGAUUGUGUGAAAUUUCCGUGUUUUAAUUUCAUCGUUUAAGUAUCCGAUUUAAUAAAAGGGUUUAAACGCGUAAAAUAAAAAUUUAAGGGUUAAAUCUAAAAGCACCUAAAUGUUGUUGUCUUUUUAAAUGGGAGGAUUUAUGAUGUAAUAAGACCAAAAGUUAGAUAGUGGGUGGCAUUUGACAAGAGUAACCUUAAUAUAUAUGUUAGACAUAAUUAUUAGUAAAAGGUUAAUAUAGUAAUAAGGUAAAUAUUAACUUUAUAAUAAAAUUAAGUAAUGAAAAGAUGAAUAGGUUCAUCUUGGUUAGCCGAAUGUUGAAAAGGAAGGAACCAUACAUGGCUUUUUAAGUUUCGGCACUUCUUUAGCUUGGUUGAGGUAUGUUUUGAUUUCGAUUUUUGAUGAUUUUUACGUUUUUGUAAUCGUUGCUUCGUGUUCUAUUUAGCCCAUGCUUUAAUUUUAGAAUUUGAAGGUGAUUUUGAGAUAUGCCAUUGAUGAAUACUUGAGUUUUAUGAUAGUUAAUGAUGAAAUAUGGAAGAUAUGUGAUAGAUUAUAAUGUUUGUUUUUGAAUUUUUGAUGAAUUUGAUUAUUUUGGGUUAAUUUGUAAGAAAAUAUUAAAUUGAGGGACUAGAAUGUGAAAUAAAUGUCAUGCAAGGACCUAUUUGAGUCUAGGGAAUAUUCGGCCAAAGUACAUUGUGAUUAAUUUGGAAUAUUUUGUGUUUUGUGCAAUUUGGACUAAAUUGUAAAAAUGUUAAAUAUCAGGGGCAAAAUGGUAAAUUACCUAUUUAUGUGUUUUUGGACGGAAUUGAAUGAAAUUAUGUUUGAAUGAGUUAAAUUUGAAUGUGUAUAGAUCAAGAAUUAAAGAAAUCGGACUUGGAUCGGGGGAAAAUAAAGUCGUUGAUUAAUUGUUCCGUUCCGGUUUAUCGCUGUUCGAGGUAAGUUUAUAAGCAAUUAAAUGUUAAAAUUUCUGAAUAAAUUUUAGUUAUAUAAAUGCUGAAAUGAAAUAUGCAAAUAUAUAUAUAGCUGAAUGCGUUUUAGUUCGGAAAGUAGAAAUUGAUGUGAAUGCGAUUUAUCGAUAUUUAGCACUAAGUGUGCGAGUAUGGAAUAGCUACGGCUAAAUGAACGGCACUAAGUGUGCGAAAUUAAAAUAAUGAUGUUGGAUAAUGGGCACUAAGUGUGCGAAAUUAAAAUGAUGAUGUUGUAUAACGGGCACUAAGUGUGCGAUACCGAGAGCAACUUUGUUAGAUGAGAAAGAGCACUAAUUGUGCAAUUUCAUUAUGGCCUCGAUCAAUUAUUUUAGUACAUGAUAGUACAAGUAUACAAUGGAUGAAAAAUACUUGAGAUCAAGGUAAUUUGGUUAUUUCAAUUUUGAUGAGAAAAAAAUUUAUACGAGGAAAAUGAAAGUAUAUGAGCAUAUGAAAGUUUAUAUUUGGUCAAUUGGUAACUAUAUGUGAUUUUAUACUUAUGUUUUAUAUGCACUUAUUUAUGAAUGAGUAUAUUCGGUGAAAAGUGGGUAUAUGAAUUGAAUAUGAAAAUAACUAUGUUAUUAUUUAAAGACUUAUUCGGCCAAGCUGAAAAUUUGUUCAUAGUUACAUAUUUGAUAUUUAAGCUUUGCAAGCUCGAAUAUGUAUAUAUACGAAUAUGAUUGCAUUAUUUGAUUUUGUUAUUGAAUUAUUAAUGUCAUUAAAUUGUACAAUUGCUUAUGACUUACUAAGCUGUGGUAGCUUAUUUUGUAUAUGUGUGUUUUCUUUCGAUUUUAUAGAUUUUGGAAGCUAGUUACGGGUUCGGGGAUCGUCAGCGUAGUUAAUCACACUAUCGUCCGUUCAUCGGUAGUUAUAAAAGUUAAAUAUAAAAUCUAUGGCAUGUAUAGGCUAUACUCCCCUUUUUAUUAUAUUUUGAACAAAGUGUGUAUAUAUAUAUAUAUAAUAGGCCAUGCGAAAAUGGCUUGUUUAUUUUGACAUGAAUGGUUUCAUGCUUUGAAUGUGAUUAUGGUUGAUGAUUUAGCUAUGUUUCAUAGAUGGUUAAGACUUAUAUAAAUGAUGUUAUGCUUUGAGAGAUUUUCAAUUUUGAUUAUUAUGCGUAUUGGUUGUGAUAGACAAGUAAAGAUGAUUAAUAUGAUACGAUGUAAGUAUAAGUUACAUUCGAAUUCAUGGAUGGAAACAUUUUAGUUUUUGGCAAUUGAGAUUGAAUUUGAAUUAUCAUAUAUUAUGUGAAAAAUUGUAUAUUGUUUUAUUAUGAAAAUUGAGUAGUUGAAAUUGGUAAUUUGCAUAAUGAGCAUUGUUUAUGGAAUUGGUCUUGUAAAUGACCUUUGAUACAAUUGAAGGUUAAAUAAUACAUAGUAAAUAUAUAUAUAUAGGAUGGGCCUUGGUAUGUCAUGCAUGAAAUUGUUUGAGUAUUAAUGUAUUUGAUAUUAGUUAAAGUAUAAGUAUUUAAGUUUAAUUGUAUUCGGCUAAAACUUGAGAAGUUGACCGUAUGAAUAGUAAUUAUAAUUGAUUUGUUAGUCGAGUAGGCGAAAUGAGUAUGACCUAAAGUGGUGUUUGAAAUAUUUUGCAUAAAUUUUAAUUAUGAAUUAUGUGUUUAUGAAUUUGGUUCGGUAAUACCUCGUAACCUUAUUCUGAAGAUGGACUCGGGUUUAGGGUGUUACAAUUAUAUAAUAGGGUAAACUACACCACAGAUCACCCAUUUAUUGCUCUUUUUUUUUGUCACUCAACUAUCAUUUUUUUAAUGUGAUCAUUUAAUUAUUACAUUUUUUCUUUUUUGGUCACCCAACUAUCAUUUUUUUUAAAUUUGGUCAUACAACUAAUUGAAAUUAUUUUUGUUUGUCCAUUUCUAUUAAGUGUCGUUAAAUAUUUGACGAAAAAAUGACGUGACGAUUAAAAAAUUGGUAUAACAAUAAAUUUAACUCUAACUUUUAUAUAUUCUAUUGAUUUAUUAUUAAAUCAAUUUUAAUUUCAUGGCAACUGACAAAAAUAUACCAAAAAAAAUCUAAUUUAAUUAAAUGAAAAAAAAAACCAAUAAUGUAGUUUACCUAUAUAAUUAUAAGAUGUGGGCCGAACCUACCGGCCUAUAAUGUUUUACCACGAGGGAAUGUAAAAUUUCGAGACUGCCCUGCAAUCAUUUAAGCAAGUCAACUGAAGUCGAGCGGAUGUCCUUCGAUUUUUCAACAUUGGCUGCUAAAAUACCCGUAUAUUUCUCAUCAUUUAGGCAAACCAUUCCAGAGUAGAUAUCAAAGAAAAAAACAGCAGACAGGGUGAAGCAACGCCAAGGUAACAUAUAUUUUUCACAGUAGCUAAGCUAAGUAUAUUUAUUUGUUAACUCUGAUUUGAAUCGCUUUUCUGUGAAGUAGGUUACUCGCAACAAAUUCGUAUAAUCAGACGCUUUUCUCGUUUGCUUCAUCUGAGUGUAAUAGUUCAGGUAAGCUUUUCUUUCAUUUUAAAAGAAGGAAGACGAUGGGUGUGGGUUUGAGAAUAAUCUGAUUUCUUCUUUGUUUUGGAGGAAUUUCAAAAAUCUGACUUCCCAGUUUCGCAACAAUCUUACCUUCUAUAGUUUUUUUUUUUUUUAAUCUUAAAGUCAUUGAACAGUAGAAUAUAAUAUGUAUAAUAAAAUAUAAUAAAUAUAUAGAUCCAUAAUAAUUAGACCUCCUCUGGUUUCUCCGGUCUGUGUUUUCGGGCCCCUUAGACUUUUGUCUAGCAUCUUCUUUUUUGUACAACUUUUGAGAACUGUCGUCCACUGUCUGUAACUUUUUUAUAAUGAAAGUUUCUUUCAUAAAAUAAUCAUAAUUAGAAAAACGUAAUAUUUGAUUGGGUGAGAGAAAAAGACAAUAUAGGCAAGCUACUCAUAUUUUUAUUUUAAAUCAUUUCAAAAGAAUUUUUUAAUUUUAGUUAUCUGAACAUAAAAAUGAAUUAAAUUGACCAAUAAGUGGUAAUAAAAGAUUAACUGUACAUUUUUACCUUAAUCACUCUAAAAUUUAGAUAAAUUAUUCUUUAGUCACUGUAUAUAAAAACUAUUGCUACAUUGGUUUACCCAGUGGAUAACAUUUUACCUUAUAUAAAGAUAAAUUCCUAUUAUCACAGCUUUCCUCGUUUGCCUCAUCUUUGUAUAAUAUUUCAGGUAAGCUUUUCUUUUAUUUUCAAAGAUGAAAGACUAUGGGUGUGGGUUUGAGAAUAAUCUGAUUGCUUCUUUCUUUAAGCUAUGGUUUUGGAGGAAUUUCAAAUCUGACUUCCAGAUUUGAGUUUCGCAACAAUUUCUAGUUUUUUCUUUUUUAAAUUAAUUAUUCCGCCAUUAAAUGUAACAAAAGGCUAACAACGUAUUUUCACAUUCAUCACACUAAAACAAGGGGUUGUUACUGCUUUGGUUUAGGAUAACAUUUGAUCUUAUAUUUUUGUAUACGUUAGUUUUGUAAUUUAAUAACUUUUCUCAAUUUUGAAAAUUUUAAAUAUUCAAAGUCUAUUUGGACAUCACAAAAUAUUUAGUUGGAUAUUUAAUUUUGAAAAAUUGGGUGGCUAAAAGAAACAUAUUUAAUAGUUGAUUGACCAAGAUAUAAUAAACUAAAUAGUUAAAUGAAUAUUCAUAAAAUAUUUAUUAAUUUAAUUUUAAUAUAUUUCUGAUAACCAAAUUAUAAAAAUAUUCACUAUUGGUCUAACCAAAAUAAUUUACGUGUUUAACAGAAAAUUAUAUUUUAAUUUAAAAUUUAAUAAGAAAAAUAAUUUAUUAAUGAAAAAGGAAAUGACAAAAGAAUUUAAGCUAUAAUAAUAAGAAAAUCAUAUUUUAAUAAUAAAACACUAAAAUAAAUUCACAAAAAAUAAUAAUAAAAGGGAAAAGCUAAUUAGACAUUUUAGAAAGUUAAAAUGUUUUUAGUUCAAUCAAAGUACUUUGCACGUUGUAUCCAAAGUAUAUUAUUUAACUUUUAUAAGAAAAAUAUUUUUUAAAUAAAUAAAAAGAACAAAAGGAAAAAAUAAAUAUAAUAAGAAAAAAUAUUUUACUGGAAAAAAAAAAGAAUUCAUAAAAAUUAUACGAAAAAGGAAAAUCAAUUAAAUACUUUAUAAUAUUAUUUUAAAAGAACUCAUAAAAAAUUAAAUAUUUUAAAAGGGUAAAAAUGUUUUAUUUACAUAUUUUAUAUACGUAUUUUAGAAGAUUUUAUAUAUUUUGGAAGAAUAUUUUAUUUUUUAAUACCUUUUGGAGCUGACACUUAAUUUAUAUAUUGAUAGAUAUAUAAUCGUACAUUAAAAUCUAUCCUUCAUAAAGAAGUAAGUGUGACUAAUGGACGUAGUUAUUAUUACUACAUUGCAGAUUAUUUGGUGAAUUAUGGAACUUGCAGGACCAAUUUGUGAAGUGCUAAAGUGCUUAGGAGAUCCAACAUGUACAUACAUACAGCAUCACAGAAAACUUAAAGACAGGAUGAAUGAUCUUCAAGAGAGACUAGUCCGACUAAAUGCUAUGAAGAGAGAUGUGGAGCGGAGAAUAAACGCAGAGCUUCGAUGGGGAAGACUUUUAAGGGAAGAAGUAGAGAAGUGGCUUCUAGAUGUGCAAACCGUCAAUGAUACAAUGCGGGACAUUGAUGAACGAAUGCAAAAUGUGUCUUGUUUUUCACGUGCACGCCUUGGAAAACGUGCAGUUCAAACAAUUGAACAAGUGGAGGGAAUUAUUGAACGAGGUAGGUUCCCUGAAGCUCUAGUAAUUGAUAAUCCAUCUACUGCUGGAGUGCCUUUUCAAUCGGAACAUUUAGAAGGUGAAAUCAUGGUGAUAAAAGACAUUUGGAACUAUUUAAUGAGUGAUGAAAUUGGAAUGAUUGGAGUAUGUGGGAUGGGUGGGAUCGGGAAAACCACUAUCGUGAAGCACAUAUACUAUCAACUAUUGAAGGAGACUAAACCUUUGUUUGAUAAAAUCAUUUGGGUCACUGUUUCAAAGGAGCUCAACAUUCCCAAAUUACAGCAAAACCUUGCAACUGCUAUGAAUAUUGUAGGUCUUCCAGAAUCUGAACCAGAGCGUGUAGCAGUAUUAAUGGAUAAAUUGGGACAAAGAAGAUAUGUAUUGAUCUUAGAUGAUGUUUGGAAAAAGUUCUCUCUGGCAGACGUAGGGAUUCCUAAACCAACCUCCAGCAAUGGGAGUAAGUUGGUAUUAACUAGUAGAUUGAUUGAGGUUUGUAGAUCAAUGGACUGUAAGGUAGUCAAAGUGCCUCCACUCUCCAAUGAGGAGUCCAUGAAUUUAUUCUUGAAGCAUGCUGGACGUGGGGUUUUAAAGGUUCCAUCUUUGAAAGAAAUUUUGGACAACGUUGUUAAGGAGUGUGAUGGGUUACCCCUUGCCGUUGCUGUAAUAGCUGGGAGCAUGAAGGGAAUAUAUAACGUUGAAGAAUGGAGGAACGCAUUAAGAGAGUUACGAGACCAUGUAAGAAGCGUGAAGGGCACAGAUGUUGAAAUAUAUGAGCGAUUGAAGUUCAGUUUCGAUCGUUUGGGAGAUUUGAAAAUCCAAAGUUGUUUUCUUUAUUGCUCACUAUAUCCAGAAGACUAUAUAAUUCCAAGGAAGGAAUUAAUAGAAUACUGGAUAGAUGAGGAAUUUCUUGGAAAUGGGAGUCGACAAGAGUUGCAUGAUAAGGGUCAUACUAUAUUAAAUAGGCUGGAAAAUAAUUGUUUGUUGGAAAAGGUUGGUAGAGAUAUUGUGAAGAUGCAUGAUGUAAUGAGAGAUACAGCAUUGUAUAUCAAAGGUUCUGGCUCCCGUUUUAAGGUACAAUCUGGCAUCGGACUAAAAGAACUACCAAGCAAGCAAGAAUGGGGAGAAGAUCUUGAAAAAGUUUCCUUCAUGGUGAAUAACGUAUCUGAGAUUCCUCCGCACUUGUCACCCAAUUGUGAAGUUCUUUCUACCUUAUUAUUGCAAAAGAAUGAAUCAUUACAAAGGAUUUCAGAAUCGUUCUUUCAACAUAUGCAUAGACUCAGCAUUCUUGAUCUUUCUUAUACCAAUGUCAAGCAACUGCCAACUUCUGUGUCAAACUUGGAAAAGCUCAAAGCAUUGGUGCUUCGUCGAUGCUACAACUUGAGAUAUGUGCCUUCACUAGAAAAGCUUGAGGCUCUAAGAAAGUUGGACCUCAAUCGUACAGCUAUUGAAAAGGUGCCUAAAGGUUUGGAAAUGUUAUCAAAUCUAACUUAUCUUAAUUUAUGUGCUGAAAGCUUAAAGGAGCUGCCAGUUGCAAUUCUACCCAGGCUUUCUUGUCUGCAAUGUUUGAUGUUAUACGUUGAAUCAAGUCGUAUAAGAAUGAAUGGAUUCGAUGCUACCAGAUUAACGAAGCUAGAGAGAUUUGAAGGGAGAUUUACUGAGUUGAUAGACUUUAAUGCCUACACCAAGUCUAUACAAUGUCAACUGCUCACUUCUUACUUGCUUGUCAUGGCACCACUUGAAGCCAAGUUUAACGUGAAACAACGUAUAAAAGGCAUAAAUUGUGUUUACCGUUUCAAGUUGUUGAAUGUGGACAGCGACAAAGGGAGGCAGAAGGCGAUGAUGCUCGCAAGCGGGCUCCAAGGUACGGAUGCAAUUAAAUCCAUAAAAAUUCAAUAGAGUAGGGACCAUUUAGAAGGCCGAUUAAGGCCAGUGCGGGUAAGUUGGUAGUCCCAACUGUGUUGAAUGUCAUCGUGUGGCGCUGUGGAGACUGUAUCUCCACCCUGCUGCAUACCCAUGUUUUCUGACUGGACCCUUAAAGGUCCAGUGCCACUCACCGCACUCCCCUUCCCAUUAUAUCUCCUAAAGCUUUAUUAUAAUAAUAAUAAUAAUAAUAAUAAUAAUAAUAAUUAUUAUUAUUAUUAUUAUUAUUAUUAUUAUUAUUAUUAUUAUUGUUGUUGUUGUUGGACAAACCUUUAUUUCUCCCCCCAUCUUCUUGUUGUUUGUUGGUUUUUUCCCUUUUAUUUAUUCAAGGCUUUUAGUUAAUUAUUUAGUUAUAAAUGAAUUUAUAAAAUUAUCAUAGUAAAGGUUUAGAGUAAAUACUUUACACAUAUAAUUAAUUACACAAAAUAGCUUUAUAAUUAAUUAAUUACAAAUAAGAGUAAAGAGCCAGAACAUUGUAAAUUCUAAAAUAAAAGCAUAAGAAUAAUAUAUAUAAAUAUAUAAAUAAAUCAAGAAAUAAUCGAAUAAAUUGCCAUUAAUAUAUAAUCAUUUUUAAUAUAAAAUAAUGUGUCAACGAUUAAAAUUUUUAAGAUUUUAAAUGUUAAAUAAUGUUAUUAGGGAAAAAAAAGGUUAAAUAAUAUUAAAAUACAUAUAAAAACAACAAAAAAUUUAUUUUUUAAGUAUUAAUUAAUGUGAAUAUGUUAUUAUCAAUUCUUUUUAAAUAAUAUUAAAAUACAUAUAAAAACAAACAAAUUUUAUUUUUUUAAGUAUUAAUUUAUGUGAAUAUGUUAUUAUCAAUUCUUUUUUUUUAUUAAUUUCCCAUUACUUAUAGCAAAACUACUAUUUGGCAUAAAAAUAUUUUAAUAAAAUUUAUUUAUGACAUAAAUGUCAAAUUAUUUAAAAAUUAUGUUACACUCAAACUUUAGUUUGGCAUUUGUAUUUGUUUUGUUAAUAUAAUUUACUCACUGCCAUUUGUUUUUAUUAUCUAAUCACUUCGUAUUAUCCAUUUUGGUUCUACUGUGUUAUAGUUACUUGUACGUAGAGCAAUUAAAUUCUCUUUUACAAACCUUUUGAAUAUCACUUAAACCAAUUAUUUAAAUUCUAAAAUAAUCGUAUAUGACUCUACCGAGUGUAUUUUAUAAAGUUAUACUAAAUAUUAUAUUAUUUAAAUUUAAAAAAAUUAUAAAAUUAUGCUAAAAAUUAUAUUGUAAAAAAUAAUUUAUAUGUUACAAAAAGUCUUACAAUCUUUUUUUUUUUUAGUUAUGAAAAAAAAUUAUAUAAUUUGUAAGAAAUGUUAUGAAAGUUAUUGAACACUAUAUAAUUUUUUUAUAAAUAUUUUAUAUUAUUUUUUACCUGAUUUAUUUAUUAUAAAAAUAGUUAUAGCAUAAGUUUUUAUCCAAAUUAAGUUUAAGUUUUUAUAAUCAAAACUAAAUUAUAAAGUUUGUAAUAAUAAUGAUUUACUCAUUUAUUUCAACAUCAUAUAUUUACAAAUUAUGUAGUUUUCAUUCUUUAAAGGUUUAUUUAAAUUGUUAUUUAUUUAAACACUUAAAUUUUACAUUCCAACCAAAUAAAAUAAUCUUAUAUUCACCCACAAUUCUAUUAUUCCACAAACUAACUACACCUUUAAAUUUUUAUUUAUUUAUGCUCCUGUGCUUUAAUACGGUAUGGUGGCUAAUGUAGUACCCCCCCCCCCAAAAAAAAAUACAAUUGGCAAUAGUAACACUAAUGAUUAAUUAUAUUAGAAAUUGAGUUUGAUAAGUACUAUCAUUCUUGAUUGGUGAAGGUGCGGAAUCUGUUUCCUUGAUCUCUAAAGAUAGGACGAUUCUGGAAGUGUCUGGUGACUCAGAAAUGGGACCCACUAAAAUUGCGGCAAAUUGGAAGAAACGAGGUAUAGAAGUGCAGCUCGUGGAUGAGCGGUGGGACCCUACCUCUCUUCCUAUGAAAUACGUGAUAUUAAGCGGGUGUCCGAUAGGACGAGAAGAUCCAGCAGAGCUCCCAAGUGACGUUAGGACUCUGAAAAUUUUUGGGUGCCACAAUAUCAGAAGCUUAAGUGAUAUGCCCUUCUUUCAGCAAACAAAUGAGUUGGGGUUCUGUUCGAUUCACGAUUGUAGAGGGAUAGAAUCUGUGCUUGAUCUGUCGUCACCAUCCCAAUCAUGCACCCCAUUUGAGAACCUUGACCUCUUGUGGCUUGAAAAUUUAGAGAACCUUCAUGUGCUUGUUAAACUAGCAGAAGCAUCCGUUGUUUCUACAUUGAGUUCGCAGUCUAUUCCAGCCAUCUUUUCCCAUCUUAAAUCAUUUUAUAUUGAAGGAUGCUCAAACAUGAAGCAGCUCUUUCCCUUUGACUUGGUACAUGACCUCCAAAACCUAGAGAACCUCAUAGUUCGUGGUUGUGGACAAAUCGAGGAAAUAAUAGGAUCAAAAGAAGAGGAAGAGAAUCACAAGGGAAAUGGAACGCAAGCUCCAACAAAGUUCAGCCUUCCCAAAUUAAGGGAGUUAGAAUUGAAGAACUUACCAGAGCUGAAGAGCAUAUGCAGUUCAAAUAGGGAAAUGGUAUGCAACUCUCUUAUGAAAAUCGAAGUAAAGAAAUGUACCAAUCUAAAAAGGAUGCCUCUGUAUCUUCCUCUUUUUCAAGAUACACACCAAUCAGCUCCUUCUGCUCAUCCUUUUUUACUAAUCCGCAUAGAUCCAAUGGAGUGGUGGGAAUCAGUAGAGUGGGACUAUCCGAAUGCUAAGGAGGUUCUGCGACCUUGGUUGAAAUUGUAUUAGCGCUGCUGGAAGCCUUUGCUGUUCAUAUCAAAUUCCGGAUCAAGCUAAACAGUGAGUCUUCAUUUGUUGUUUUUAUUUCUAGAAAAAAAAUUGAAGAUCUUUUAUUCUACCAAAAAGAAAACGGGAAAUCUGCAAGAAGAGGAUUAUGAUUGGCAAAAUAGAGACCAAAGAGAACAAAACUAUUACUAAUGUUUGAAACAAAUUUAGAUCAAUUAGCAUCAUGCUUUGUUACCAGCUGUAGGCCAAAUUGGUUGAAAAUGGUUUCAGUAAAGCACGGUCUCAUUUGCUUCUUUGUUUAACCCCAAUGGUUAGGCUUGCUCUAGAACCCUUGAGAUUCUCAUUAUGACAUUAAUGAUUUGAAUGAACCAACAGCCCCUUUUUCUUCUUUAUUUUGUAACUGCAAGCUUUAAGUUGAUAUAAAUAUGUUUUCCAAUGUAGUAUUCUUGUUUGCUUAGAUCAAUGUCAAAAACCUUGCCUCUAAUGCUUCCCUUACUUCUCCACUUUUUUUUUUUUUUUUAAAUUCUUUGUGGGGUCUUAUUAAAUACAGGUUGUUUAUGCCAUUCUAAAGCUAGCAAAGCAGUUGGCUUGACAAUCAAAUCUUGGAGAAACAAGUCAACCCAACUCAUCACUGUACCUUCAUUCUUCUGUGGGGGUUCUAUCUUUGAUGUGGUACUUCGUCGGAUGCAUCCUUCUCUUGUGGUUUUAUCUGUAAUAAAUGAACUUCAAUUUGGUUUCAAUGUGAUUGGAUUGUUGAUGUUGUAAUUCAACUUUGUACUUGAUAAUCCUGCUUCUAGUUUGCAUCAUUUUUUACUAUGUGGUUAUGUUUCCUGUGGCUUAAUUGUCUCAUUUGAUCUUGGAACUUGCACAUUUAUAUAUAUAUAUAUUGAACCAUCCCACAGGUAUAUACCACUUCUUGAAAUGGUGUUUUAUUUAGGUGGCCUUUUUGCUAUUGUGAACCAUCCCAAUGCUAAGCAGGAUCUGCUACCUUGGUAAUGCUAUAGCGCUACUGAAAGGCUUUGUACUUAGAUCAUCUUGAUUUUAAUUAAUUUGCAUCAUUUCAUUAUUUGAUUGUAAGUGUAUUUUCUCAUCUUGCGAAUUGGACUUAAUAAUCUAAGUUGUUUGCUUAUCAAUUAUACUUUUUACAAAACAAGUCCAGGAAAAGAUUGCAAACAGGGUUACAGGAUUGCUGGGAUUUCAAUUUUAUGUGUAUGCAUAUUAUUUAAUUUCUUAGGAUUAGAGCUCAUUUAUUUAUUUAUACUAGAUUUAUGGCACACUCAAUUGUGUAAAUUUUGGUUACAAUGAUAAAAUUAGUUCACAUCGUGCAUAAAGUUCUAAAUUCAAAUCAAUUUAUAGUAAGUUUUUAUUGAUUUAUAUUGUGUAAAAAAACAAAAACACUCUCAUUAGAAAUAAUUAAAGUUAAAUAUGGGUGAAUAUUUUAAUAAUUCCGUAGUUAACUUAAUACCUAACAGAAUCGAUAUAGUACUUAAAAUAAGUAUACACGUAAGUAUAGAUGAUGACUAUAAAAUAAUUUAGGCACUAAUUUCAGAGUGUUGUUAUAUCCAAUACCCACCACCUAGAGGCUUUCAAGCUAUAGAAAGGGUCCAAAACUCUAUCUAUUCCUUGCAUCUGAUGGUGGGGUAAUGUUUAGACAUAAUCUAGAUUUGGAUUUGAUUAUCUAGAAUUUUCAAAUUAAAUUGAUUUGGUUUCAGAAUUAGAAUAAAAAGCUAGUUUUGAAAUUUAUUUUAUUUAAGUUGGAAUGUAUUUUAUUUUGAGUCUAAUUUAAUUAAUAAAAUAAUUUUAAUUUAAUAUAUUAAGUCAAGAUUUUUAGUUGAUUAAGCAAUUUAUUAGUGAUUAAUGGAACUAGUUCAAAAAUUUAUCUUAACUGAAAUAAUUACAUUAAAAAAAUUUAAAAUAUCAUAGAGUGAACAUGAUAUAGUUUACUUUUUUUCAUCCUACUUAUGAGUCUUCUUGAAUAGUUUCAUUAUCUUCACAAUUUGCAUUCAUGUAGUUAUAUCACUCUACUUUUAGUUAUCCAUAAUUAAUUUUUUGAAAAAAUAUAUAUAACAAUGAAAAGUUAAGAAAUUUCAACCAAAAAAAAAAAAAAACACUUUUUGUUGAGGCUAUAGAUCAAAUGGCUAUAUUUGUUAAAUGACUACUCCAACCGUUAAAACCAUCUUUGUGAAAAAAAUCAGCUUGAUCAAGAUUGUAUACAGGAGCUAGAAUUGAAUGACUAAUAAUUUAAAUUGUUUUAAAAAAAUUAUUCAACUUUAACAAUUUCUUUUGAGAUUAAAAAAAUUUAAUCAAUUUUUUAAUAAAUUAAAUUUUAUCCAUCCCUAAUCUUUUAAAUAUAAAGAAAGACCCUAAACAGAUUUUUUAUUAAAAAAAUUAUAAGAUGAUAGAUAGCUACUUAUCAUUAAAUGUAGAAAAUAUUAAAUUACUUUUAUUUUAUUAAAAUAUUAAAAUAAAUUAUUUUUUAAAAUGAAAUAUUCAAAUUACCCUAUGUAUCUUUUAUCCAAAACUAUCUACAAUAAUAUAAAAUAUUAUAUUAAUAAAAUUAAAAUUAAUAAAACAAAUAAUCUUUUAAAAUCAAUAUUUACUUUUGUUAAAACAAUAUAAUUAUAUUCGAUACUUAUAUUUACUAAUUUAUCAAAUAAUUUUUAAUAUAAAUUUAAAACUUAUAAAAUUUAAUGGUAAAAAUUCAGUAGUUAAAUUUUUAAUAAUUAAAAUUUUAAUUUAUCAUUAGAUUAUGUAAGAAACAACAAUAAUAUAUAAAUAAUGAAAGUCAAUUACGUUCAUUGUCUUCCAUUAAAGAAAAGUUACACUCACAGUUUUUCAGUGAUAUUUCAGAUUUAUUUUUUAAUUAGUUUUUUAAUAAUAUAAUUUUUUUAUCGUAAUCAAGAUAUUCACAGUAGAUAGUAGUUACUAAUCUCUUUGUCGCAGGUAAAUAAUGUAUUUUUAAUUAUAAUAAUUAGUAUAUUCGUUAUUUAAAUUAUUGAAGAUAAUUAAAUUAUAUUAUCUUAUUUUAAAAAUCAAACUUAUAAUAAUAAAAAAUUUUAAAUGAUAAUUAAAGCAUUUAUAUUAUAUUUAAUGUAGAAUAUAAUUUUACUUCAUUUAAUUUAUACAGAACAACAUUACUAAUAAUAAUAAUAUAAUUAACAUAUAAAUUUUAUUUUGUCAUUCAAAUGCAAUGCUAAUAAAAAAAUUGUAAAAAUUAUAAUAAAAAAAGUAAUAUAUCAUAGGGAUCAUAUAUAAAAUCACUUAAUAAAAAAAAUUUAAUCUUCACAAAAUUCCAAUCUAUCCCAAAUAAAGUCAUAAUAAUAAAUUUCUUGAUAUUAAUCAAUAAAGUUUAAAACAAAAAAUAUAUAUAUUAUCAAAUUAGGAAAACCUACUUGAAAAUCUUGAAAAAUUAAUAUUUAUCAUAUAAAAUUCUAGAGAGAAAAAGAGAAUACGAAAAAUAUUGGAGAAAGUGAUGAAUAUUAAAAAGAAAAAGAAUAAGGAGUUUUGAGAUUUUGAGUAGGUUCAGAGAUAUUUAUUUCUUUUAUAUAAAUAAAUUAUUUUUAUAACAAAAUGUAAUAUCCAAAAAAAUUUACAGUAAGAUAUUAUCUUUGAUAUAAUAAAUAAGGAAAUAAAAUAAAAAAAAAGGAAAAUUUUAGAGCUAAGUCAACAUGGGGAAGUAUAUUAUAUUACAUAUAAUAUAAUAAGUAGAGUAGAUUAUAGAAAAGAUCCAUAAUAAUUAGACCUCCUCUGCUUUCCCCCAUAUUUGUUUUCCGGCCUCUUAGACUUUUGUCUAGCAAAUAUUACAACUUCUAGUUUCCAUAAGUUGUGGAUUAGUAUUUAUAUUUUAACUUGAUUAAUUUAAGCCAUUAUAUUUUUCUAAUCGGUCUUAAUUCCUGUAAUUUUUAAAUUAUUAAAUAUAAUUAAAUUAUUUUAUUUUAUUUAAUAAUUCAAAUAUUAUAAUAAUGAUAACUUUCAAAUUAUAAUUAAAUCACUUUAAUUAUAUUCAAUAUAAAUAUAUUUUUACUUCAUAUAAUUCAUACAAAGUAACAUUACUAAAAAUAAUAGCAUAAUUAACAUAUACCAAUUAUUUUAUCAUUCAAAUAUAGUGCUAAUAUUUUUUAAAUAAUUAUUGAAGUCUUCAUUAUUCAAUGUACUAUUCAUUAAAUUUUUAUAUAUGAAAUAUAAAAUACUUAUUAUAUAAAUUAUUUAAAUUUGCUAUUUUGGAACCAACAUAUAUUUUCCAUAGAAACGCAAUGAUUAAAUUAUAAAUUAAUUUAAUAUAAAUAUUAACUUUUUAUUUACUAUUCUAAAUUUUAGCAGAAUCAAAUUUUUUAUAAUUUUUUUAAUUUAUAAGUAUGAUAAAUUUUAUUAUCAAAUAAAUUUUUUUAACCAAACAUUUUAGUAAAAUUAAUUUUUUAUAAAUAUGAUUAAUCUUAUAAAUAAUAAAAUAUUUUAAAAUAAUAAAUUUAAUAAUAUAACAAACAAUAAAAAUUAUAUUGAUUAGUUCGAAUCUAAACUCGUAUUUUUAUAUAUAUUAGUCUUUGACAUAUGUGCAAUGUUUAUAUUUUUAUUAUUCUUUUUACAAUAUUAAAGAAGUACUUAUGUUUGUUUGAAAGAUGGAUAUAUCGCAUAUAUAUAUUUUAUUAUCUUUACAAAAUUAAUUAAAAUAUUAUAAUAAAAUAAUUUAGUAUAACAUAUAAAAUAAACUAAAUAAAUGUGUGAUCAUAAUGAAUGAAGAUUAUAAUUUUGCAUCAUUAUCGAUUUAAACGAUCUUUCAUCUCUUUCUUAUAGUGUUGUCAUUUGACAAUCACUUGAAAUUUCCUUUGAAAACCUAUUACUUUAAUACUCAAUAUUUUUUAGAUACUUAAAACUUAUCAAUCUAACAGUCUUCAUUUGUUGAAUAAUAUUUAUAAUAAUAGAUCUUAAUUUUAAUUGGUAUAUAAAUAUAACACUAAUUAAAUGAUAACUGAUUUAAAAUAAUAUUUAUUAUUAAUAAUUAAUAUACUCAAUUGUAUAGUUCAAACCAAUAAAAACUCUAUUAUACAAAAAAUAUUAUUAUUAUAAUAAUUUUAUCUAUUAACUUUUAUUGAGACUUUAUCUAUUACUAGUAUACCUAUCAUACCCAUAUUCGUGUGAAAAUAUUUAGAAUGUAUGUGACCGUAUUUUCAAAUGAAAAAAAAAAUCUAUUAUUUAAAAAAAUAUUUUAAACUCAUACUUUUAUAUAUAUAUCAAACUCGUGCACAUCUAUAUUAUUAUUAUUAUUAUUUUGUACAAGAGGGACAUGCUACAAAAUUGAUGUGAAUAAAAUCAUAAAAGAAUUUAAAAUGAUAAGAUAUUACUUAUUGAUUAAAUUGAAUAGUUUAAGUAAUAAUGAAAAUAUAAUUAAAGAUGGAUUAUUUUAAUAAUUGUUAUGAUUUAAAUAAAGGUAAAAUAACAACUCUUUCUUAAAAAUUUAUGAUUAAAUAUUAAAUUUCAAAAAAUAAAAAGUAUUAAAGAAAUUAGAUUAAAGUUUGAUUUAAUUUAUAUAUGCAUACUAAUAAUAUAUAAAAUUAAGGGUAAGCUACACUUAUGGUCACUUUUGUUUGAUUUAACAAUGUCUUUAUCAUUUCACGGAGAUAAUACCAACACUAACAACCAUACUUUUUGCUACAAAGAUAAUAUCAAUUUCAAGCCUUAGUGGUCUCGUGUCUUAAUCUAUUUUUAGCUCAAGCAUCGGAGAGAGAUUACAGGUAAAGGAUAUGGCAUUUUAUAUUUCCAACUUUGUCAAUUGAAUAAAAAAAAAUAAAAGGUAUUUUUGAAAGUCAUUUUUUAUAUAAAAUCUUUAAAAUAUUUUUUUACUUUUAAAAUUUUUAAUUUUUUUUAUAAUUUAUAUUUAAUUUUUAAAAUUUUAAGAAUUUUUAAAUAUUUUUAUAAUUUUUAAAAUUCAGACUAAAAUGACAAAUUUUGUAAACAUUGAGGACUAACUUUGUUGAAUUUUUAAAAUUUAGGAUCAAAUUAGUAGAAUGUGUAAAUAUUGAAGGGUUAAAUUUUUUAUUAGGCCAAUAAAAUAAAGUCACGUUAGACUAACUCACGGAAGAAUGACUAAAAUAUUUAAUUUCAAAAAAUUAAAUAAUUAAAAAAAAAUUAAUAGUUGGGUGAUUGAAAUAGAACAAUAUGAAUAGUUAGAUGACUAUUCUUGUACUUUACAACUAAAAUAUUAAUUUAAUUUAGGUUUAACAUAUUUCUGUUAAUCAAAUUGUAAAAAUAUUCAGUAAUUGUUGGUCUAACAAAACAAUUUAAUAGUUUCACAAAAAAAAAAAUAGUUUAAUUCAAAACUUAUUAAGAAAAAAAUAUUUAAUAAUGAAAAAAAGAAAAGCAUUUUUUUAAAAAAUUUGUAAUAAUAAGAAAAAUAUUUUCUUAUAAAAAUAAGAAAAAUAUUUUUUAAUAAUAAAACACAAAAAGAAUUCACAAAAAUACUGUAAUACAAAAAGGGAAAAUUGUAAUUAAAUAUUUUUUAAUAUUAUUUUAAAACAAUUUAUAAAAAUAAUUAAACAUUUUAAAAAGUCAAGAUGUUUUUAAUUCAACCAAAGUACUUUGCACGUUGUAUCGAAAGUAUAUUAUUUAAAUUUUAUAAGAAAAAUAUUUUUAAAUAAAUAAAAAGCACAAAAGAAAAUAAUUUAAUUAUAAUAAGUAUUUUUCGGGUAAAAAGAGGGGAAAAAAUAAAAGAAUUCAUAAAAAUGAUAUGAAAAGGAAAAGUUAAUUAAAUGCUUUAUAAUAUUAUUUUAAAAGAGCUCAUAAAAAUAAUUAAAAAUUUUAGAAGAAUAUUUUAGUUUUUCUUAACACUUUUUGGAGCUGACACAUAAUUUAUAGAUAGAUAGAUAAUCAUACCCUAAAAAUCUAUCCUUUAUAAAGAACUAAAUGUAGUUGUUAUUAUUACCUUGCAGAGUAUUUGGUGAAUUAUGGAAUUUGUAGGACCAAUUUGUGAAGCAUUAAAGUGCUUAGGAGAUCCAACAUGUACAUACAUAGAGCAUCACAGAAAACUUGAAGACAGGAUGAAUGAUCUUCUGGCAAAACAACGCCAACUAAAUGCUAUGAAGCGAGAUGUGGAGCUGAGAAUAGAGGCGGAGCUUCGAUGGGGAAGACUUUUAAGGAAAGAAGUAGAGAACUGGCUUCUAGAGGUGCAAACCGUCAAUGGCAAAGUACAGGAGGUUGAUAAAAGAAAGCAAAAUGUGUCUUGUUUUUCACGUGGGCGCCUUGGGAAACAAGUUUCCCAAACAGUUGAAGAAGUAAAGGAAAUUAUUGAACAAGGCAGGUUCACUGGAGCUCUAGUAAUUGAUGAUCCAUCUACUGCUGGAGUGCCUUUUCAGUUGGAACAUUUGGAAGGUGAAACCGAGGUGAUUGAAGUCAUUUGGAAGCAUUUGAUGAGUGAUGAAAUUGGAAUGGUUGGUGUAUGUGGAAUGGGCGGGAUCGGGAAAACCACUAUAAUGAAGCACAUACACGAUCAACUAUUGGAGGAGACUAAAUCUAAACCCUUGUUUGAGAAAAUCAUUUGGGUCACUGUUUCACAGGACUUCAACAUCACCAGGUUACAACAAGACAUUGCAGAUGCUAUGAAUAUUAAAGAUCUUCCGGAAUCUGAAGAAAAGCGUGCAGCUGUGUUAAGGAACAAAUUGCGACAAAUAAGAUAUGUAUUGAUCUUAGAUGAUGUUUGGGAAGGGUUCGUUCUCGAAAAGGUAGGGAUCCCUGAACCAAUAUCCAGCAAUCGGAGUAAGUUGGUAUUAACUAGUAGAUUGAAAGAGUUUUGUAAAUCUAUAGGCUGUCAUGAGAUAGUCGAAGUGCCUCUACUUUCCUUUGACGAGUCCAUGAAUUUAUUCUUGGUUCAUACCGGACAUGAGGUUCUAAAGGUUCCAUCUUUGGAAAAAAUUUUGGGCGAUAUUGUUAGAGAGUGUGAUAGGUUACCCCUUGCCAUAAAAGUAAUAGCUAGUAGCAUGAAGGGAAUAUAUGAUGUUGUUGAAUGGAGGAAUGCAUUAACAGAGUUACGUAACCAUGUAACAAGUGUGAAGGACACAGAUAAAGAAAUAUACGGGCGAUUAAAGUUCAGUUUCGACCGUUUGAAAGAUUUGAAUAUCCAAAAUUGUUUCCUUUAUUGCUCACUGUACCCAGAAGACUAUAGAAUUCCAAGGAUGGAAUUAAUAGAAUAUUGGAUAGACGAGAGAUUUCUUGAAAUGGCGAGUCGACAACAAUUGCAUGAUAGGGGUCAUACUAUAUUAAAUAGGCUGAUAAACAACUGUUUGUUGGAAAAGGCAGGAGAUGAUGUUAAGAUGCAUGAUGUGAUGAGAGAUAUGGCAUUGUAUAUCAAACAACUUCAUUUUAUUGUAAAAGCUGGCACCGGAUUGGAAGAAUUACCAAGCAAUUCAGAAUGGAAAAAAGAUGUUGAAAGGGCUUCAUUCAUGAUGAAUAAGGUAUCAGAAAUUCCUCUAAGCUUGUCACCCAAUUGUGGAAACCUUUC